rnacentral:lncRNA from 1 species
AACUCUCAACUUAAGGGUGUGUGGGGAAGAGGGAAACGAGUAAGACCCAAGAGCCCCAAUAAACUCACGGGUCCAAGAUGGGGUCUUGGCUGAGAAAUCAUCAGUGGUGAGUUUAGCAAAAGGGUUGACGGUGAGAAGAGAGAUAAAGGUGUAUAAAUAAUGUAGAAGGCUGUGAGUUAUGGUCGUGGCUGUGGCUGUUUCUUUGGCGGAGGCUGUUGUGACGGCGGCGGCCGACGUGGUGGUGGCGGUGUCGAGGAUUUCGAGGUAGCCUGAGUCACGAAGCCAUGACUCGAAUGCUGGGUCGGGUACGUUUAGAGAUAACGGGUUGGAUGCGAAUACCUUCCCCAUUACAAAAAAGCUAUCCGAUUUCGGUUGAAUGAGAGUAAAUAAAUGUCAUUAAUUUAAAAUGCUUAAGGAUUUUUAGUAUUUUAAAGACCGUACAAAAUAUAACUUAAUUUUUUUAAAUUUAAUAGAUGAGUGUGUAGAAUAAUAGAAUAUUUAAAGUAAUUAUUAGGUGAUGUUUGGUUGGAAACAGAGAAUGAGAAUAGGAAAAUAAUUUAAAUUCUACUUUUAUUUUUAUUGUUUGAUUGUACAAAAUAUAUAAGAAUUUAAUUUUUAUUAAAAUUUAAUAUCCUUUAUAAUGUAGAAUUUAAAUUCCAUACCAAAGAGUGAAGAAUUCAAAUUUCUCUUAUGGUAAAAACCCAAGCUUCUAAAUUUACCCUCCAAUAUUUUAACUUAUUUAAUGCUAUUAAUAAUUAUUAUUUAUGAUUUUAUUUUAUUAAUUUAAUUUUAUAAAUAAUUUUAUAUUAAUUAAAUUUAAUGAAUGAUUUAAGAAAUUUAAUAAAAUAAAUAAACUUAUUUAUUUUAUUUAAUAUGAAAAUAUAUAAAUAUAAAUUAACUUCAUCGGACCGUCGCCGGACCCUUUGACAUCGCCGGAAGCCGCUGAAAUUCCGUCGGAAAGUCACCGGCCACCGCUGAUCGGUGUUAACUUUUGUUGACCGAUGUUGACUUAUAUUGACCGCUACUGUUGACCGGCUUUUAUUUAAAUUAAAUUAUAUUAAAUAGUUAGUAUAUUAAAUUAUUUUAUAUUUUAUAUUAAAUAUAAAUCAUGAAUUGUUUUAGAACUUUUUGAAAUUAAAACGAUUUAGUAUUAAUAUCAAAUUAUAUUUUAUUACUAAUAUAGAUAAUUUAAUAUUUAAGAUAGAUAAUAAAUUUAUUCAAAGAAAAAAAUUAUAAUUUUUUUUCUUAUCAAAUUUUAUAUCAAACUAAAUAAUGAAAUUUAAUUUCACUAUUCUCAUCGACUCAUUUCUCUUCCAUUCCACUCUUUUAUUCUCCUCCCAUUUCUUAAAACCAAACACCACCUUAGAGCUUGUAAUGCUUUGGCUGAUUCAUUAGCUAAAUUAGCUUUAAGUUUUGAAAGACCUGCUCUGUGGCUGGAAAAUUUUCCAUGACAAUGUUUUGCUGUUGUUUUCAAUGUCAGUUUGGAAAGCUUUACUUUCCCUUAAAAAAAAAAAAAAAAAAACACCACCUUAGAGGAUAAAUAGGCAUAUCCAAUACUUUAACUUAUGGUUGGUUGUUUUUUUCACUGAUUUUUUUUUUUAUUUGAAUUGAAUUAAUUACUAGUUGUGACUCGAGCUCAAGAGAGUCGAAGAGAGAGAAAAAGAAAAAUGGAGUGCUUCUCUUGUCCCUUUUAAGUGAAUAUAUUUAGGUUGGGUACCAAAGGCCAGUUUAAUCUUUUAUACUGCAUGGCAGCUUUUUACUCAAAUAUCAAAUGAGCUUGCUCUUCACGUGACGCUAAUUUUACCAAACUUUAUUUUUUUUCCUUGAUUAGCUCGUGUAGGACAGUUGAGGUGGCAACUUCUUAUUUAUUAUUCUUAUACCACAUGUCAGCUUUCAACUAGUCCAUAAAUAUCCUUCAAAAUUUACCUCCAAACAAAUCUAAUAACCUCUUGAAAACGAAAAAUUAAAAAUUUAUUCAAUCAUUCAAUGUUAAGGAUAUUGGCCAAGUAAUGGAAUGCUAACAAACCAAAUUAAAUUUCUACACUUACUCUUUUUCUUUGGCCUACACCAAAUUUCAUCACUUAAUUUUCCUUUAAUUAAAUAAAACAAAUACAUUAUAACUGCUUACUAUUUACAUCUGAAUAGAGCAAUGAAGACUGGUUAUUAAAGAUCGGUUGUUAAAUGGAUAUGGAUGAAAAUGGUGUUAAAAGACUGGUUAUGAAAAAUCUUUUAACAUAAAUCUUGCGUUUAAGAAACUUUUAGUUCACAACCAUGGCAUAUGGUAGCAAUGAAAAAGGCUCUUGCAGGAUAUAUUCAAGCAAAUUGGUUUGGGUAACGACAAACAAAAAAGCCUUGCAAGUGAUAAAGUUCCUCCUUUGCCCACUCAAAUGCAUUACAUAAUGUCGCAGUACAUUUUAUUUAUGCAAAUACGUAUAUACAUGCAUAUCUUGAUAACUAUUUUAACAUGUGAUCUAAUAUAAAACAUAAUUUCGCUCUGAAUAUUUUUAUAAUUGAUUUGUUAUAAAUUUGAACGAGGGAUUGCAGUUAUACCUUCUUGAAUUUUAUAGAUGUUUUCAUGCAUGCUCUACGAAAAAAUAUUUGAUGUCGUGUCAAUGCUCACUGCAAAAUAUAUCUUAGGUGCUCGCACAUAUACCGUAGGCUAUAGCUAUACAAAAACUUAUACUUUGCUUUCUCGAAUGCACACACUUGCACGCAAAAUUCUAUUAUUGAAAGUCGCUGCUUACUAUACACGGCUUUUUUCUAGCCUUUUAUUAGACGUGGUUUCAAUUUAUUGAACCAUUAGAGGGACACAUCAGUAGUCACAAAAAAGCCCCUCUAAAUGGCAAUUCUUGUAAUCAUUUCGCUGCCGCUCUUCAUUCCAGUCCCAAGUACACGGCCCAAACUUCAACUUUCUCCGGGAAGGCAAUGAAGCGUGGCUCAGUCUCAGUAAUAUGUCCCUCAUAUUCCAUUGAAUGAGCCAAAGGAGGAAUACUUCGAUAGUUAGUAGCAACUAGCAAUCAUAUUGAAGGAAUUUUCUGUAUCAGAUAAAGAAAGAGCAGCAGAGAACAAAGCUGUUAAUCAAUCAACAAAUGUAAAGCAGUAUUAGUAUUUCUGCCUUAUUGUAGUGCCUAAGCGGGUAUUAGGAUUUCUCCACAAGAACGUUUACUAAGAUAUUCAGCCAAGUGUGAAGUUCAUCAAUAAUCAAUCUUUUCUCGAAAUAAACGAAACAUAUUGAGUGCCAGACUUGCCCAGCCUCUGAAACAGGAUUUCAGAGCAAGCAACAGAACAAAAGACAGAAAACACAUUCAACUCAACCCAAACACUAGAAAGCAUCACAAAUAUUAUUUAUUUUUUGUACACAAUUAACGAACCGAGGCUGAAGCACAAAUCAAUGAACUCUCAACUGAAAAAUCCGAAACGAAACUUCUUAUUUAUGAAUAGACAGCGGAAACAAAGAAACCAAAAAAAAGUCCACCACCGUAGGAUCAGGAUUUAUUUGUGUAGACAGCAGAAGUGACGACGGAAAGGAUUCUGGUUGAAAUUGAAGCUCGCACUGCAGUCAUGAUGUUUUCUGCUCUGAUUUCACCUACACAAGUCAUUUAAGAAAUUGUGAAAAAUAAGAAAUUUAAAUUACAUUUUUUUUUCUUAACUACUAAAACAAAUGAACACCGAUGUCUGCUAGGUUCAUGGUUGAAUAUGGAAGAGUACAUAAGUCUCCACUGUUGCUAAAGAGGGCUUGAUGAUUGGGGUGAGCAUCGGAAACUCUAAAGGGUACUUAAUGUUGAGACAAAUUAGAAGAAAACACUUUGUAUAACCAUUUUUAUAUUGGAGAGAAGGGAAAAAAAGUACAUGAAAUUGGAUAAAUAAUUAAAAGUUGAAGAAAUUGGUUAAAACGAGAAACAUACAUCAAAUUCCGUAAGGAUAUAGUUGAAUGCCGCACUGUUCCUUAUCCUCAAAUUCCCGUAGCUUUUGUCUCAGCUCUGGCUGAGGCCACCAGCAAUCGAACUUGUUUAAGCUCUUUAUGUACCAGAGCUGUUCAGGCAUCUUUUUCAAGUAAGCACAAGGGUUGAUAAUCAAGCAUUCUAGUUUUGGCAUGGCUGCAUUCCCCAUAGUCCACUCCUCUAGCCAUAGCAUUGAUUUCAGGUGCAACACCUUGAGGUUCGGAAAACCAUAAGAGCCGCAAGUCAGCUUUCUACCUGAAUACGAGUUUUGCUUCAGUUUGAGCACUUGAAGAAGCGGCAGCUUUUCUAGUGUCGGCAUGGGAUCAUCCAUUAGGUCAGUAUUAGAAAAACUCAAGUGGGUUAGACUAUGAGGAAAUAGGUAUUCAGCAAGGACGAUUUUGGAGAGCCGUGGCAUCUUGCUUUCAUUCGCCAGCUUCAAUGACUCGAGACAGCUCAAUCUGCAGAGACUUUUGGACAACAAAGAUUGAUUAUAACUUAAAUCUCCCCGUAUUCGGAGAUUUCGAAGAUUAGGUAGUCUGCCCAAUAUAUCUUCAGUACAGCAGCAAGGAUGCAAGGCUGAAAUGAAAUUGAGAUUUUCCAGAGAGCCACAGAAUUUUCCUGGAUGCGCAGGAAGUGUGAUUGAGCCAAAAUUUAGAUGCCUGAGUUUGUUCAUCUUCCAAAAUUCAUCUGCUGUAUGAUCUAUAUAGCUAAAGGGCAUGUCUAGGGUGUAGAGGUUCAGAAGAUUGCUUAACAAUGAUGAAGGCAGGCUGUUGAGGGAAGGGAUAUUCAACUUCAAAUAUCUCAAAAGAAAUAAAUUUUCAAUUCCGGAUGGAUACUGGAUGAGAACAAGAGAUCCCAAGUCCAAUACUCUGAGAAGUUUGAACAUUCCACAAAAUUUCUCCCAAUCUAUAGGGUCAAGGUGGCGGGUUUCUGGAGAGCAGCACAACAAAGAAUGCAGUUGCGAGUCAUAAUCAUCUAAGCAAGCAAAAUCACCCUCUCUUUCAACAGCGUUUAACCGUUUGGCUUUUUUUGGUGAUUUACCUUUUGGAUCCAUGAAAGGGGAACAGAUGAAUUCCACCAUAUAAGGAACUGUGUGCAGCACGGGACGCCAACGACCAGGAAUAGAGCAUGUGUUGAUAGUGCCUCCGGCUUUUCUCUUCUUUGCUUCAACAAAGCCUUCCUUGAUAAGUUGUUCCAAGUAACUCUCAGCAGUUGCCUCACUAUUGUCUGGAAUGAAACCUUCAGCUAUCCACAACUGAUAUAACUGCCUGGUGGAUAUCUCUUGGUGUGCGGGAAACACAGAUAAGUAGAUAAAACAAGGUUUCAAGCAAAAAGGUAACAUUAAACAUUUGAUGUACCGAAGCCCAAGGGGUGUCUCCACUGCUUCCCGUAUAUUUUCUUCUAAUGAGAUGCUUCCAUGAUAUAAGAUGAGGAAAGGCCGUCCUUUAUAUGUAGCUCUCAAUGGUCCUCCAGUGGGCACUAAAUCAAGCCGCAUGUUCUCUCCGUCUUCGAACUGAAAUGAGAUGAUGAUCCUAAUGUCAGUGAGUGUUAUUAAUACUCUACUUCCAUUCUGAUUAUCCGGAAGUAUUUCUUGAAUAACAUCCCACAUAUCAAUGCUCCAUACAUCAUCAAUCACAAUCAAAUACCGCUUGGUCAUCAGAUAUUCAUGAAGAAUAAUUUUUUUCAUUUCAUAAUUUUUAUCCAUUAUUUCACUCAACCUAGAUGAAGGCAUCAGAAACUUAAUAACGAUAUCUAAUAUUUGGUCAGCAUCAUAUUCAUUGCUGUAAGGUUCUGUAAUCCAAGCGUGACAAUCAAAAUAAUGCUUCACAUAACUGCUGUUGUAAGCCUCUCCGGCGAAAGCCGUCUUGUCCAACCCAAUGCUAUCAAGUAUGGCCACCACUGAAAGCUGAGGUGGUCCCUCAAUGUUAGAGCAGCUCAUUAUGCUGAACAGAAGAAGGUGAAGACUAAGAUGAAGAAAAUACAGAGCAAGUUACAGGGCAAGUGUGUCAGCAGUGCCAGCUCAGCUAACAGCUCAGCAGAUUAGUUAAAGAUGGUUGUAAGCAUGAUGUGCAUUGUACUGAAGUUAGUUAGCUUUGAUUACAGUUAGUCUUUGGAUUAGUUAAAUGAAGUUACCGUGAUUGCAUUGUAUAUAAACAGGUGAUGCUUUGUAAUUAAAUGUUAAGCAAAAUAAAAAUCAAAGUUUGUUAAGGAAAUAUCUCCAGAAUUAUCAAUUCAUUUUCUUAGUAACCAAACAACUUUAUUUCAUUUUCUUUCAGUGCGGAGAGGCCGAAAAUUUGCUGGAGGGAUACCAAUUAAUUUGGCAGAUUUCUGAAGAGCGAAAUGUGUUUGAUCGGAGGCAUAAACAACCAACUUAGUAAUGUUGUCAAAGCCUCCUCCAAGUUUUUCCAAUGCUUUGUCUCUUGCAGCUGCCAGAGUGCAAACGAGGGAUUCACAAGUGCUUCCGUGCAGGACACCACCACCUGUUCCGGAAAACAAAAAUGAAGAAGGAAGCUUGAGCAUUUUCCCCAUCCAAUCCAUCACAAUGGAUUCGAGUUCAGUUGCUACCGGAGAAGCGAGCCAGUUGAAGCCAACCACGUUGAACCCUGAACAAAGCAUCUCACCAAGAAAGCCAGCAGUGCUUGCAUUUGCUUGGAAAUAACCAAAGAAAUUGGGGCUUUGCCAGUGAGUGAGGCCAGGUAAGAUGCAGUCGGUGACAUCUUUUAGAAUAUCAUCCAAUGACUCUGGGGAAUGCGGGGCUGUGUCAGGCAACCGAGCCGACAAAUAACCAGGCUCUACUUUGCUUUGAACAGGGUAUUUCUCGAUGUUUUUGUAAUAAUCAGCAAUGAAAUCGAUAACAGCUUUCGAUUCGUCAGAGAAGCUCUUUGGCAUUACUCUUAACACAUGAGGCAAGAAUGGAACAAAAUCAUAAUACUAAAGAUCUUUUUAGUGCAAACUAUGGGAUGAUGAAUGCUAACUACUCUCAGUUUAGAGGAAAUAAUAAGAGAGGUGGUUAUAGUGGAUAUCAAGGGCAAUUUAAUGCUGGAAAUAGGAAUCAAAAUGGAGGAAGAGGAAUGUCUUUCAAUUCAUUCUCAAGAGGUUUUCCAGCUGGUGGAUAUACUGGUAAUGCUGGUGGCAGAGGACAGCAAAUGAAUGCAUAUGCUUAUAAACCUGUGCUUAACAACAGGCAUAAUUUCAAUGUGAAUCAUGGCUCAACUUCAAUGCCCAAUGGAAAUGGAUCUGAUGAUAAUGUGCUUAUCUGUCAAAUCUGUCAUAAAGCUGGACAUGCAGCUGAUGUUUGUUGGCACAGACACUUUGAUGGCUAUGCUCCUCAACCCAGACAAUUUGGAAGGGGCAGAGGGCAUAAGUCUGCUUAUAUGGCUAACUUUGAUCCACAAAUUGGCUUUACUUCACAAUUUGAAGAUUCGUUUGCUACAGAAUAUCCUGGUUAUCAUGGGUACCAUCCACCUGAUAUGAAUGCAUCAGUUGCAUCAGUAAGUCAUCACUCAUCUGAUAUGCAUUCUGUACCUGGAGCAGCUUAUAUUGCAAAUUUUGAAGGACCAGCUGAUGAAGGGUGGUAUCUUGAUAGUGGAGCUACGCAUCACAUCACUAACAGCAUGGCCAAUAUGCAUAUCAGAGAUCAAUUCACUGGAGCAGAUCAGCUCAUUAUUGGAAAUGGACAAGGUUUGCCCAUAACUCAUGUUGGUGAUGCAUCAUUUCUCUUUAAAAGUUCCAAUUCUACACACAAACACUCACCUAUAGUACUUAAAGAUAUUCUGUUGGUGCCUUCCUCUCAGUUAUCAUCAUCUUUUCUUUCUCAUAUGUGUUCCAAUAAACCUUUGUCUAUGCUUUCUUGUUGUUGUUUCAAUUCUGUUCCUUCUGGAGUAUUUACAGAAUCUUAGAAAUCAUGUAAUCAAACUGAUGAUUCAUCUUGUAAAACUUCAGUUAAUAAAGCUAUUUUGCUUCAUAGAAAGUUUGGUCAUCCCAAUCAUCAAAUAUUAACUCAUAUACUCAAAACAGCAAAAUCUAUUCAUUUACCUGCAUAUCAAAAGCAACAAAUGCAUCAGUACAUCUGUGAGGCCUGUCAAAUGGGCAAAACACAUAAACUUCAUUUUCCAAUUACUGAAACCAAAACCUCCAAAACUCUAGAACUUAUACACACUGAUUUAUGGGGUCCUUCUCCCAUUAUUUCUAGAGAUGGUUAUCAGUAUUAUAUAAGUUUUGUAGAUGACUACAGCAGGUAUACAUGGAUUUAUCCUUUGAAGCUAAAGUCUGAGGCAUUAGAAGUCUUUAAGCUCUUUAAACUGCAGGUUGAAAAUCAGUUUAGCACAACCAUUAAGAUGAUGCAAUCUGAUUGGGGGGGAGAGUAUAGACCAUUCACUGAGUUUUUAAGCCAAUUUGGUAUCAUCUUUAGACAUCCUUGUCCUCACACUCAUCAUCAAAAUGGGUUAGUUGAAAGGAAGCAUAGACAUAUUGUUGAAUUGGGUCUGACUCUCUUAGCUCAAGCUCAACUUCCCUUUAAGUUCUGGUGGGAUGCAUUUCAUACUGCUGUAUAUCACAUCAACAGACUUCCAUCUCCUGUUUUGCAACUUUUAACCCCAUAUGAAAAGACAUUCAAACACAAACCUGAUUAUGAUUUUCUCAGAUGUUUUGGGUGUUCUUGUUAUCCUUACUUGAGAGAUUACAAUAAACAUAAAUUUGCCUACCAUUCUAGUAAGUGCAUAUUCAUUGGUUACAGUCCUUCACAUAAGGGCUACAAAUGUUUACACCCUUCAGGUCGAGUCUAUGUGGCAAGACAUGUUACCUUUGAUGAAUCAGUUUUUCCUUAUGCCACUGAGUUUGUUUUUCAUAGUCAUGCUAAAACUGAUUCUCAAAUUUCUCAUUCCCAUACACCACAGCAAAUCCAUCAUAUCUCUUCUUUGCCUGUCAAUAACAGCACUGGUAAUCUGAACUCUGUAAGAUCUGGAAGCAGCAGUUCAAGUCACUCAGAUCAUCUAGAACAGACAGCAACUGAUCAGAAUUCACAACAAGCUACCAUAAAUGACAGGUCACCUUUUCAUACAUGUCCAACAAUUGUUGAAUCUAUACAAAAUAUUCCAAAACCUCCACAUCACUCUUUGCCUAUACAAAGUCACCAUCCUAGCAACACUUCUUUCUAUCCAUAUACACAACCAAAUACACAUCAGAUGAUAACCAGAAGUAAAGCAGGGAUUUUCAAACCCAAAAUUUAUACUGCUGUGCUUACUCACAAGGAACCAGAUACUGUGCAAGAAGCAUUAAAUGAUUCAAAGUGGCUACAAGCUAUGAGGGAGGAAUAUGAUGCCUUGAUUAAGAAUAAUACAUGGACAUUGGUUCCAAGACAAGCUGAUCAGCAUGUGGUUGGAAAUAAAUGGGUGUAUAGAAUCAAAUAUAAUACAGAUGGAAGUGUAGCUAAGUAUAAAGCUAGACUUGUUGCAAAGGGUUUUCAGCAAGUGGCAGGGAUUAACUAUUUUGAGACAUUUAGCCCAGUUGUGAAGUCAGCUACAGUUAGAGUAAUACUUAGCUUGGCAGUGAUGAAUCAGUGGAGAAUAAGGCAAGUGGAUGUCAAUAAUGCCUUUUUGAAUGGAGAGCUAACAGAAGAAGUUUUCAUGUCUCAACCUGAUGGCUUUAUUGAUGCUCAGAGAUCUGAUUUUGUAUGCAAAUUACACAAGUCUCUGUAUGGGCUCAAGCAAGCUCCUAGAGCCUGGUAUGACAAGCUUAAAGGAUGCUUAAUAAGCUGGGGUUUCACUACUACUAGUUCUGACACCUCAUUGUUUGUUAGGAAGAUCAAGACAUCUAUGAUCAUAGUUCUUAUAUAUGUUGAUGACAUACUGAUCACAGGUCCAAAUACUGAGGAGCUGGAAGGUUUUAUAACUGAAUUCAGCAAAACUUUUGCUCUAAAGGAUCUGGGAGUGUUAUCCUAUUUCCUUGGAAUUGAGGUAUUAUAUGAUGCAGAUUGUAUGUACUUGUCACAGAGAAAGUAUAUCAGAGAUUUGUUAUCGAAGGUAGAAAUGACUGAAUGUAAGGGCAUUGAUACACCCAUGAGUACUGGCUCUAAACUGCAAAAGAUAGUUCAGGGGGAACUUGGAUACUAUCUUGAAGAUCCAACUCAUUAUAGGAGCAUAGUUGGAGGAAUGCAGUACCUGAUACUUACCAGACCUGAGAUUGCGUUUGCUGUAAACAAGCUUAGUCAGUAUGUAGCUGCACCAACACUACAACAUCUAAUGGCAUGCAAGAGAGUUAUAAGAUAUCUAAAGGCAACUCAAGAUUAUGGUUUAAAAUUUUUCAGAGAAGGAAGCUUAACACUCACUAGUUUUACUGAUGCAGAUUGGGCAUGUGACUUAGAUGAUAGGAAAUCAGUUGGUGCUUAUUGCAUUUAUUUAGGCAAUAAUUUGAUAUCCUGGUCUUCUAAGAAACAAUCAGUGAUAACCAGAUCAAGUGCCGAGAGUGAGUAUAGAGCUUUGGCAUCAGUGAGUGCAGAGCUGACAUGGUUACAAUCCUUAUUUUCUGAGUUGGGAAUAAGUUGCAUAGAAAAGCCAAUCAUAUGGUGUGACAACAUUAGUGCCACUGAACUAGCAAAGAACCCUGUGUAUCAUUCAAGAACAAAGCAUAUCGAAAUUGAUAUGCACUUCAUUAGGAAUAAGGUUCUUGCUGGUGAGUUGAUUAUUCACUAUGUACCAAGUGAAGAACAGAUUGCAGACAUAAUGACCAAGCCUCUUUCAUUUGUAAGGUUUAACUACUUGAGGUCCAAACUCAAUGUCCAUCUUUGUCCUCUGAGUUUGAGGGGGGCUGUUAGAGCAGCUCAUUAUGCUGAACAGAAGAAGGUGAAGACUAAGAUGAAGAAAAUACAGAGCAAGUUACAGGGCAAGUGUGUCAGCAGUGCCAGCUCAGCUGACAGCUCAGCAGAUUAGUUAAGAUGAAGAUAUACCGGCUUCAGCUUUAGAAGUUUUGAUGCGAUCAAUGAUUUUGGAAUCCAUGUGCUUAAGUUGUUGCAUCCGUUGCUUAAUAUCAGUGAUUCUGCUUUGGAGUCCUUGCAGAGCAUCAAAAAUGUCCUUGCUGCAGCUGCUUUGAGUCUUCUGUUGAGUGAUGCUGUUGAUGAAUGUGUCAAUCACCUUCUCAGAUUCAUACGUAAACCAAUUGAUUUCGUCCAUAACGGUCGCCAGAUCUGGGUCAUGACUUUCCUCCUCCGCCAUUUUUUCGAACAGAAGGAGGGAGAUAUCAUCUUCAAAUUCGCUCAGCCAAGAAGUAACGAUUUCAACCUCCGCAUGAAGGUUCUGAAUAGGUUGUUUUGCAGCAUCAGGCAACGUGACUUCUUCACCAGCUAACACCCUUCUCAGCCUCUCUGAAAAUAGUCUGAAGUUGAUGUGCAUAUCUCCUCCUCUCUCAGAUUCACCCUGAAAUCAGUCCUGUAGCAUGCAAAGAAAUAAUUAAAAGAAAAACAUGCUUUAAAGCUCUCAAUUCAAACAUUAGUGCUGGCUCCCAUACCUCCCUUCUCUUAGCUAGCUCUCCGGUCAAGAAGUUGAAUCAAGAUCGUUGACUCUCAGAUUAUAACAGAUCAAGGAAGAAUCUUACAAUAAUCUCGUCUCCCAUAUGAUCAAGACCAAUUUGUUUUAUACAUCCACUUUUAAGAAAGGAAGGGUAAAAACAAUUCCACUGGGACUAUAAAAGCUUGUCUGAAAAGAAAAGAACGGAGCAAGCACAAGAGCGUUAUCAAUUAUUUAAUAAUUAAUAACUAAGCCGUGGAAAAAUGCAAAAUCAUGUCAGGUGUUACUUGUUAAAUUUAUUGCGAGACUUGCAUGUAUCUAUAUCACAAAUAAAAUUUGUAUCCCAGGGUUAUAAAUGUAAAAUUACUCAAAUAAAUAUGCAUUCUUAAUCAUGUGUGAUGCUGUCUUAUUUCUGAGAAAGUACUAAAUCGUUUGUAAAAUUUUAUAGUUAAUAUAUGUUCAAUUUUCUUUUUAGCAUUCUUUUUUAAGAAAUGAAAAAUGAUAAAGAAUUCUAACAACGGGUGACAAAAAUAAUAAUAAAUUGUGCAAUGUUACAAUGUUAAUUGAAAAAUAGUUAUAAUUUUUUAUUUAACAUUAUAAAUAAAAUCUAUAGUUGUUUUCUCACUACUGUAUCAUUUUUUAAUUCAAAUAUCAGUAUUAUAUGAGCUCUCACCUUUUAGAAAGUAUUAUAUCAUAAGACACUAUUUAUAAUUAUUUUCAUUUGAGCCCUUAGUGUUAAAAAUAUAACAAUCCAUCAAUGAAAUCAAUGAUAAUGGAAUUCUAAGUAGGAAUGGCAGAAAAAUCAAGUCUAGCUAGAGCAUGUUUUCUAAGUAUUCUGGCUGGUCUUGGGCUCCGGCUAAAAAGUUCGAACUCAGCUCGAAAGCCAACAUUGUAUAGUGGGAAUCUAGGACCAAUCACAUGGAGAUGAUUUGUAAAUUUUUGUACACAAUUUUAGUAUGCAUAUCAGAAGAGAGGCAGCAAUCUUAGUUGAUACUUUUAUUUGACAUAUGAUGUAAGAAACGGAACAAAGAUUGUAACGCCACAAAUUUUGCAAUUCAGCAUCCAAAAUAUCACUAGAACUUGCAAGACAAGCUUUAAUCUCUUCAACAAAGGUCGAAUUGCGGGCAGGAACACAAACGCAGAGAUGGGUAUCAAGAUCGCAUUCGAAACGACUGACAGGGAUUGUCACAGUCGGCAUUGCUUUUACAAGUGACUGCUUUUGAUUCCGGUUGAGCAUCAACUGCCGGCAUGGAAAUAUUAAACAACACACUUGCAUAUAUAAAUGCCAAACAAUUAAUUAGCCUAAUGCUAAUAACACGCCUGCAUAUAUAAAUGCCAGCCAAUUAGUUGUCAUAUUAUAGUUAAUUAUGCAUGCAUUAAAAAGAUGAGGAAAAUAAGAUUAAGGAACAAACAUGAGGCCACCAACAGAGUGAUGAAAAAUGUGGAUUUAAGUUUAAGUUCCAUAAUGUUUAUGUAAGCAAAAGUGCAAAACUGAGAGUCUGUGGAUAAUGAUAUUAUUAAAUUUAAUAUGGGUUUGGUUUGCAUAGAUUCAUGAAUUUCUCUAGACAUUAUAUGCGCCGGGGGAGAAUUUAAUCCACUUGACAACUAAAAAAUUCAGAAAUCAAACCUCGAUUUGACAAAUUAGAAAUUUAAAAAUUAAAUUUUUUUCCAUAUGCAUGCUCUCGUUUUUCUCUCUAUCACAGCGGUAUAAUUGGAAUUAUUGUUAUGACAAUUUGAUUCUCUUUUCUUACAUGUUGCAGGAGUCAUGUCCUCCCGUUGAGGUGACAAAAUGACUAUGGAUUGUGCCUGAGUGGAGUACACCACCAGUAUGAUUAUCUCACUCCCUUUCGAGGUUUUGUUGCAGUAAUUUCUCAUCUUUUAUAGGGUACCCUGCUCUUCAUUGCUUCUGUAGAAGUCUUAUGAGCUAAUUGCUUCCGAAUCUUUAAAUUUCUUCAAUGAGGAACCUUUGUUUGGAAAAUUGAUUUUCAUCUGAUCCGAGAAGGGUGCUUUGAAGCAGAGAGCUUACGAAAUGCAGCAUGCAAAAUCAUGACUACAAUGCAGUAGACUAAUUGUUAGCUCACUCUAAGCAAAGGCAACGUUCAUAAAAGAUGAAGAAGAGUUUCUAAUAUUUACCAACAUAACCGAUAGCAAGUGCACAGAAUAGAGUCAUCUGAACAUUCAGUAGCAUAAGAACAACCAAUGUAGCUGCAAAGAUGAGAUGUAAUUACUACUGUGAAGUCGACGAAAGAAUUCCACUAUUUAUCAACAACUAGACUGUAGUAUAAUGGAAAGACCUGCCAAGGAAAGUUUAAAGCAAAACUCAUCCAGAGAAGGCAAGAACAUUAGUAUAGAAGCAGAAGUGCACACAUUCAUAUUUAGGGGUAACGAGAAAUGUAUCAUAAAUCACUUGCUCUAGCACAGUACUAUUUCAUGCUAAUUUUCUUGCUCGUUCUAUGGUUAGGACCCUUUGAGCGGAAAGAAAUCAAAUCACAAUGCUUAUUCUAGCUAGAAACUCCUGAAGUCCAUGCUUGAACCCUGUGUCAAUUGGUCAUAGACUCCAUAUUCUCCCAAAAGUAUGACAUUUUUUUCUUCCACUGAUUAAUGGAACUUAAAACUGUUUUGCCACAAUCUUAGUCAUACAAACCCUUUCUCUUUACAUUUCUUAAGGUCAUCAGACCCAAACCAGAACAUGUUUACUUCCUAGGAGAAAUCUUAAAUAUCUUAAUCAAUACGGAACUGUGUAGUUCAGACAGCAUUCCCUUGGCCAACUAGACGUAACGAUUUGCAAUGUCCUAGUAAGUCUAUGAGUGGAACUAACAGUGCCCUUCCAAUACGGAAAAACAAUCGUCAAAAACAAUUUUUUUACCCCAUCAACCACAUACAGUAUAAGACUGUAGCUGGUUAUCUCAAUAUCGGCUGCCAUUUUGAUUCAAAGAAGAAAUAUUUGAGAACUCACCACAUUGUGCAAUGCGAACCAGAACCUGCCUAAUCACAGGAUGCCGAUCCCAGUUCCAUUUGUCACUACAGAACUUGAAAAAAUCCCAAAGUGCCAAACUUGAUAUCAACCCAACAAGUGCAAGUGGCAUCUGGUAUCUAUAAGAUGGAGACAGAGACAAUGUCACUAGACAGAUGAUACACAGAAAAAAAAACUUGUAAUACAACUAACACACACAAUACUAUGAUUAAAAAAAUAUCUCCAUCAGUUAAAAACUAAACAAUGGAAAGGCGAGACUCUAUGAACUAAUGCCCUGAACCAGCACAAAUACCAAUUCUCCCGGAGUAUUUUAAGUAUUCAUAUAGUUGUUUCAAAGCACAGGAAAAAAAAAAACAACGCAAAAUUGCAAACUCAUAGUGUUGUUAUUUAUCAAUUGAAACCCAGAAAAAAAAAUCUGUAACUUAAUUAUUCAUUUAAGCAGAUUGAAACCCUUACAAACACAGGUAAGCAAAUCAAAAUUAUCAUUAAAAAUCCAAUCAAGGCCACAUAAAUCUAAUCACAUCCAAAAGCAUCCCAAAAUCUCGUUCAAUAUUCAUACACCCACAUACAAAAACCAUUCAAAAAUUUAAUUUUUUUUAACUCAAAAUAAUAACUCAGGAAAGGAAACAAAAUUCUUACAGAGAGCAAGCAAAGAAGAGGAUGAACAAAGAAGCAUAAUUCCUGGCAUAACGUUUAACAUUCUCAUGAACUCUCAACUUAAGGGUGUGUGGGGAAGAUGGAAACGAGUAAGACCCAAGAGCCCCAAUAAACUCACGGGUCCAAGACGGGGUGUUGGCUGAGAAAUCAUCAGUGGUGAGUUUAGCAAAAGGGUUGGCGGUAAGAAGAGAGAUAAAGGUGUAUAAAUAAUGUAAAAGGCUGUGAGUUAUGGUCGUGGCUGUGGCUGUUUCUUUGGUGGAGGCUGUUGUGACGGCGGUGGCCGAUGUCGUGGUGGCGGUGUCAAGGCUUUCGAGGUAGCCGGAGUCGCGUAGCCAUGACUCGAAUGCUGGGUCGGUUACGUUUAGAGAUAACGGGUUGGAUGCGAAUACCUUCCCCAUUGCAAAAAGUUAUCCAAUUUCGGUUGAACGAGGGUCACUAAAUUAUCAAAAUAUUAAUAACUAAUUUGUAACAAAAUUCAUAUGAUAUGAUAUGAUGAUAUAGGCCUUGGUUAGUGGUUUUCUAAACAAUUUAUUAUUAUUAUUAUUCUCUUAAUCAUUCCAAGUUUAAAUUUCGAAGAGGUAGGGGAUAGAAAUAAAUUAUAUUAGGAUUUGUCGAUUUUUCAAUAAAAACUUCAGUAUUAUAUGCUUAAUUGUUUUAAAGAAUUUUCUUUGAGUAUUGUUUUGAGUAAAUAAAUGUGAUUAAUUUAACAUGCUUAAGGAUUUUUAGUAUUUUAAAGACCAUACAAAGUAUAACUUAAUUUUUUAAAUUUAAUAGAUGAGUGUGUAGAACAAUAAAGUAUUUAAAGUAAUUAUUAGAGGAUAAAUAGGCAUAUCCAAUACUUUUAUUUUUUUGAAAAGAAAGUAAAUCUUUCAUAAAUCACAACACCUCAAAUACAACUUGAAUCUCGACUGGAAUAGUUCCUAGCCACAUAGAAGAAGAAUUUCUUCCCAAAGCUAACUUAGCUAGAGAGUGGGCAUAAGCAUUACAUUGACUUGUUAUGUGAUGAACAACUUUUUGAAAAACUUUCAACUGAUUUCGGAUCUCCAGAAUUGUCCAAAAAAUUUCUGUUUUGCUGCUCUUGGUGUUGUUUACAAGUUGAACCACCUCUAAGCAAUCUGACUUAAUGAUCAAGGAAGUUAAAUCUGCUUCUUUUGCCAACUGAAGCCCCCAUUGCACAGUCUCUGCCUCAGCUAAACUGACUGGUCCCUUAAGAUGAAUUUGAUUAAUACCGGCUGCAAUUAUCUUUCCAUUAGAAUCUCUAAUCACUGCUCCCACGCCUGCAAUCUGAUUCUUAGUAUUGAUGGCAACAUCCACAUUAAUUUUGAAAAUAUUUUCAGGGGGAGGGAACCACUUCUGUUGUUUCUCUCCUCUGGGGUGGGCAAUAUGAGAAGGCUUUGUCUUUCUUACUCUUUGAAAAGCUGAGCCUUUACAACAUGAGCAGGGAGGGGACUCCACUUUUGAUGCAUCAUAGAUAGUUUCUUCUCUGCAAAAACUUUGCCCAAAUUUCUUAAGUCUCUUAAAGGCAUCUAUCAGAUCUGCCUUUGCAACACUUUCCACAAAGUAGAAACUUUUCUUCUCAAAAUUAUGCAUCAUAAAAUACAAAACCAAGCAAAAUCAAAUGAACAACCCCAAAUUUGUAAAUCUGGGUAGACAAACAAUAAUAAACCACCACAAAUCUCUAGAUAUGAGUGGAAGAAUACACCACCACAGAUUUGAAAAUAUGAGUGGAAGAACAAAACCACCACAGAUAUGAGGAUCUGAGUGGAGAAAAUAAGUAAAGAAAAUAAAAAAAGAAGGUUUCGCUAGAAAACCAACUCAUAGAGCUGAUUUUUCGGCGAAAGAAGAAGGUGAAAUGUUACUGGAUGUUCAGAGCCUUUUUUUUCUGGAAAGGCAUAUCCAAUACUUUAACUUAUGGUUGGUUGUUUUUUUCACUGAAUUUUCUAAUUUGAAUUGAAUCAAUUACAAGUUGUGACUCGAGCUCAAGAGAGUUGAAGAGAAAGAAAAAGAAAAAUGGAGUCCUUCUCUUGUCCCUUUUAAGUGAAUAUAUUUAGGUUGGGUACCGCAGGGUAGUUUAAUCUUUUCUACUGCAUGGCACCUCUUUACUCAAAUAUCAAAUGAGCUUGCUCUUCACGUGACACCAAAUUUACCAAACUUUAUUUUUUUCCUUGAUUGGCUCGUGUAGGACAGUCGAGGUGUCAUUUGUUUUUUCACCGUUCAACUUCUUAUUUAUUAUUCUUAUACCACAUGUCAGCUUUCAACUAGUCCAUAAAUAUCCUUCAAAUUUUACCUCCAAACAAAUCUAAUAACCUCUUGAAAACAAAAAAUUAAAAAUUUACUCAAUCAUUCAAUGUUAAGGAAAUUGGCCAAGUAAUGGAAUGCUAACAAACCAAAUUAAAUUUCUACAUUUAAUUUUUUUUCUCAUGCAUGCUCUACUAAAAAUAUUUGAUGUGGUGCUAAUGCUCACUGCAAAGUAUAUAUUAGAUGCUCGUGCAUAUACCGUAGGCUAUAGCUAUACAAAAACUUAUACUUGCGUUCUCGAAUGCACACACUUGCACGCAAAAUUCUAUUAUUGAGAGUCGCUGCUUUCUAUAACACGGCCUUUUUCUAGCCUUUCAUUAGACGUGGUUUCAAUUUAUUUAACCAUUAGAGGGACACAUCAGUAGUCACAAAAAUGCCCCUCUAAAUGGCAAUUCUUUUAAUCAUUUUGCUGCCGCUCUUCCUUCCAGUCCCAAGUACAUAGCCCAAACUUCAAUUUUCUCUGGGAAGGUAAUGAAGCGUGGCUUAGUCUCAGUAAUAUGUCUUCCAUAUUCCAUGGAAUGAGCCAAAAGAGGAGUACUUCUAUAGUUAGUAGCAACUAGCAAUCAUAUUGAUUCUUAAAGGAAUUUUCUACAUCAGAUAAAGAAAGAGCAGCAGAGAACAAAGCUGUUAAUCAAUCAACACAUGUAAAGCAGUAUUAGUAUUUCUGCCUUAUUGUAGUGCCUAAGCGGGUAUUAGGAUUUCUCCACAAGAACGUUUACUAAGACAUUCAGCCAAGUGUGAAGUUCAUCAAUAAUUAAUCUUUUCUGGAAAUAAACGGAACAUAUUGAGUGCCAAACUUGCCCAGCCUUUGAAACAGGAUUUCAGAGCAAGCAACAGUGUUGAAGUCAACAAAUUGUUGAAAAAUAAUAAUAAUUAAAAAUUAUAUUUUUAAUUAUUUUAUUCUUAGCAUAGUAAUUCAUUUCUCCUAUAAAUAGUUAAGGAUUUCAUUCAUUUGAAAUCGUCCCAAAAUUGUUAAGCUUAUAAGUUUCUAAGCUUUUGAGGAAAGUGAGAGAAGUGUGUCUGGGGAAUUUAUCUUUCCUGCAGAGUGUGAGAGUACUGGGUAUAUUUGGGUUUCUGGGAAGUGAGAUUCGUUACUCAAAUAUUGUACUCUAUUAAUUGUUAAAUAAACAAUUAUUCUUUCUUGCCUCCGUGGAUGUAGGUUUAAUUACCGAACCACGUAAUUCUUGUGUCCUUUAUUUUUCUAUAAUUAUUUGGUGCGCUUGAUUCCGCAUUCCGCGCACAACAAGUGGUAUCAGAGCCGAAGGUUCUUACUUGGGGGGAUACGGUACUGUUCACGUAUACGGUACUAUUCCCGUAUUCGGCACUGUUCACAUACGGUACUGUUCACGAAUACGGUGGAGACGGCCAUUUAUACUUGGGAGACAGUCUAUUGUAAGUAGUGUAGAUGUAAGUUUAAUUACUGAACCACGUAAAUUCUUGUGUCCUUUAUUUUUCUGUAAUUAUUUAGUGCGCUUGAUUCCGCAUUCCGCGCACAACAAGUGGUAUCAGAGCCGAAGGUUCUUACUUGGGGGGAUACGGUACUGUUCACGUAUACGGUACUAUUCCCGUAUUCGGCACUGUUCACAUACGGUACUGUUCACGAAUACGGUGGAGACGGCCAUUUAUACUUGGGAGACAGUCUAUUGUAAGUAGUGUGUAUUUUUGCAUGUCUAGGAAAGUUCUGUUAACAAAGGCGAUAAGAGUCUAAGGAUUCUGGUUUUUAAUUGGGAUCGAGUUCCUGUCCAGUUUUCUGAGAACUUUCCUGGUGCAUUUAUUCACGCGAAAUUAACAUCAUAGAGACUAUUUUUCAAGUGGAAAUAGUUCGUUGAGAAAAUAGUAGAAGGUGAAACUUCCAGAAUUGGGGAGAGAUCUACCGAGACUAUUUCAGGAGACACUUCAGGUGGGAUGCGAGAUUUGUCAAAUCGCUAUUCAGCACCUGUUAUAGGAGGCCAGAAGAUCGAUGUUGAAAAGUUUGAUGGGAAAAUCAACUUCGGCAUGUGGAGGCGCGAAGUUAUGGAUGCCCUUAUUCAAAUCGAUCUCGAUGUUGUUAUGAAAAAUAAAAGAUGAGUAUCGUCUGAAGCUUUGGUGAGCAAAGAUUGGGCGAUGGAGAAACAAAAGAAGCGUGGUGGAAAGAAUUCUCGAUCCAAAUCGAGAAGCAGAAAUAUAGCUCGAGAUGAGUGUGCCUUUUGUCAUGAAAAGGGCCAUUGGAGGAAAGAUUGUCCAAAGGCUCAAAAGAGAGAUGGGAAGAAACCAGCAGCAGCAAACAUGGCACGGAAAGAUGAGGGCUCUGAUUAUUCACUAAGUAUUACUCCUGCAGCAUACGUGGCUAGUUCGAGCGAGUGGAUACUUGAUACUGGAGCAACUUAUCAUUUGUGUCCUAUUAAGGAAUGAUUUACGGAUUUUCGUAAUUUGGAAUCCGGUGCAGUUGUGAUGGGGAAUGAUCAACCUUAUCGCACAAUGGGGAUAGGAACAAUUCGGCUCAAAAUGUUUGAUGGAAUGAUCAGAGAACUCAAAGAGGUUAGAUUUGUUCCAGCUUUAAAGAAAAAUCUAAUUUCUGUGGGUGCUUUGGAAGCUAAAGGCUACAAGGUUACCAUUGAAGAUGGUAUAAUGAAGUUUACACAUGGGGCUAUGGUGAUUCUGCAAGGGGUUCGGCGUCACAAUCUGUACUAUUUGAAGGGAGGUACAACUGAUGAAGCAAAUGUUGUUGAAGCGCAUAGUGACACCACCAAGCUAUGACAUGUACGACUGGGACAUGCUGGAGAGAAGUCUUUGCAAACUCUGAUGAGACAUGGACUCUUAAAAGGUACCAAAACCUGUAAAUUAAAUUUAUGUAAGCAUUGUGUAGUAGGCAACUGAUGAAGCAAAUGUUGUUAAGGCGCACAGUGACACCACCAAGCUAUGGCAUGUACGACUGGGACAUUAAGAGUCUAAGGAUUCUGGUUUUUAAUUGGGAUCGAGUUCCUGUCCAGUUUUCUGAGAACUUUCCUGGUGCAUUUAUUCACGCGAAAUUAACAUCAUAGAGACUAUUUUUCAAGUGGAAAUAGUUCGUUGAGAAAAUAGUAGAAGGUGAAACUUCCAGAAUUGGGGAGAGAUCUACCGAGACUAUUUCAGGAGACACUUCAGGUGGGAUGCGAGAUUUGUCAAAUCGCUAUUCAGCACCUGUUAUAGGAGGCCAGAAGAUCGAUGUUGAAAAGUUUGAUGGGAAAAUCAACUUCGGCAUGUGGAGGCGCGAAGUUAUGGAUGCCCUUAUUCAAAUCGAUCUCGAUGUUGUUAUGAAAAAUAAAAGACACUUGUAUAAUGAAGAAAUUUAGGAUCGUAUGAAUGAAAAAGCCUGUGGUCAGAUCAGAUCUUGUUUGACCAAGGAGGUGAAAUACUUGGUGAAAGAUGAGGAGUGUGCGGUGACUUUAUGGCGUACAUUGGAGGAGAAGUACCUGGUGAAAAGUCCUGAAAAUCGCCUUCAUGCAAUGAGCCAAGUAUAUGGUUUUCGAAUGAAGCCUAGGGUGUCAAUGCACGAUCAUGUUUCAAGAUUUGAAAAGUUACUUGCUGAUUUGAAGAAUCUUGAUGAAGAUAUUAAGGAUGAAGUCAAGGCUAUAAUUCUGUUACACUCACUACCAGAGGAAUAUAGCCAUUUUGUGACUACUUUGAUAUAUGGGAAGAGUGUGAUCGUCUUUAAAGAUGUUUGCACAACAUUGACUAGCUUAGAGAUUCGGAAUAAUGAUAAAAAUUCUGAACGAGCAUCNNNNNNNNNNNNNNNNNNNNNNNNNNNNNNNNNNNNNNNNNNNNNNNNNNNNNNNNNNNNNNNNNNNNNNNNNNNNNNNNNNNNNNNNNNNNNNNNNNNNNNNNNNNNNNNNNNNNNNNNNNNNNNNNNNNNNNNNNNNNNNNNNNNNNNNNNNNNNNNNNNNNNNNNNNNNNNNNNNNNNNNNNNNNNNNNNNNNNNNNNNNNNNNNNNNNNNNNNNNNNNNNNNNNNNNNNNNNNNNNNNNNNNNNNNNNNNNNNNNNNNNNNNNNNNNNNNNNNNNNNNNNNNNNNNNNNNNNNNNNNNNNNNNNNNNNNNNNNNNNNNNNNNNNNNNNNNNNNNNNNNNNNNNNNNNNNNNNNNNNNNNNNNNNNNNNNNNNNNNNNNNNNNNNNNNNNNNNNNNNNNNNNNNNNNNNNNNNNNNNNNNNNNNNNNNNNNNNNNNNNNNNNNNNNNNNNNNNNNNNNNNNNNNNNNNNNNNNNNNNNNNNNNNNNNNNNNNNNNNNNNNNNNNNNNNNNNNNNNNNNNNNNNNNNNNNNNNNNNNNNNNNNNNNNNNNNNNNNNNNNNNNNNNNNNNNNNNNNNNNNNNNNNNNNNNNNNNNNNNNNNNNNNNNNNNNNNNNNNNNNNNNNNNNNNNNNNNNNNNNNNNNNNNNNNNNNNNNNNNNNAAGUCUUUGCAAACUCUGAUGAGGCAUGGACUCUUAAAAGGUACCAAAACCUGUAAAUUAAAUUUCUGUGAGCAUUGUGUAAUAGGCAAGAAAACAAGGGUUAAGUUUGGUACGGCUAAUCACGAUACUCGUAAGAUCCUUGAAUAUAUUCACAGUGAUGUAUGAGGACCAACUAAGACUGCAUCAAUUGGUGGAAGCCAUUAUUUUGUUACAUUUGUUGAUGAUUUCUCUAGACGUGUGUGGGUGUACACCAUGCGAGGAAAGGAUGAGGUUCUAGAGAUUUUCGUGAAAUGAAAGAAAUUAGUGGAGACUCAAACUGGCAGAAAGAUCAAAGUAGUACGAUAUGAUAAUGGGGGUGAAUAUACUUCUGAUCCAUUCUUGCAAGUAUGCCAGAACGAGGGUAUUAAAAGACAUUUCACGGUGAGACAUACUUCGCAACAGAACAGUGUGGCUGAGCGUAUGAAUCGUACUUUACUGGAGAAGGUACGGUGUAUGUUAUCUAAUACUGGUUUAGAUAAAAAGUUUUGGGUUGAAGCUGUGAGCUACGCAAGUCACUUGGUAAACCGAUUGCCUUCUGCUGCAAUUGGAGGUAAAACUCCUAUGGAAAUGUGGUCUGGAAAGUAUGCACAAGAUUAUGAUUCCCUUCGUGUAUUCGGGUGUCCAGCUUAUUAUCAUGUCAAAGAUGGUAAACUGGAUCCUCGUGUUAGAAAAGCUAUCUUUAUGGGAUUCAAAAGUAGAGUAAAGGGCUUCAAGCUUUGGGAUCUCGAAGACAAAAAGUUUGUGUGUAGCAAAGAUGUCACAUUUGAUGAAGCUUCAAUGAUCAAAGCUUCAAGUUCUCAGCAGGUGGAGAACAAGACCAAAGAGGUAUUGCAGCGGGUGGAGCUUGACGUAACUCCAUAUGUACCAGUUAGUUCUACAUCAAAGAAGAGUUCAACUAUAGAGGUGACACCUAGAGUUGAAGAAGAGGUUGUUUUUUCUGAUGUCCCACAAAAUGAAGAAACAAUUGAUGAUGUAGAUAAUGAUGAUUUUAUAGCAACAAGGAGGCCAAGAAGAGAGAUAAAGAAACCCAGAUGGCUUACUAAAGAUAUGGUGGUAGCCUAUGCACUUCCAGUUAUUGAUGAUGACUUCCCCAACACUUUCGGUGAAGCAUUACGCUGUAGUGAAAGUGAUCAGUGGAAGUUAGCCAUGGAGGAAGAGAUGAAAUCUCUCCAUCAAAAGCAGACUUAGGAACUUGUAAAGUUACCAAAGGGGAAAAGGGCUAUUGGCAAUAAAUGGGUCUACACCAAAAAGCAAGGAUCUCCAAAUCAAACAACUCCUCGAUACAAGGCAAGGCUCGUGGCAAAAGGUUUUGCUCAAAAGGAAGGUAUUGACUACAAUGAAGUUUUCUCUCCAAUUGUAAAACAUACUUUCAUUCGUAUCCUACUUGCCUAAGUUGCAGAAUAUGAGUUAGAGUUGGCUCAAUUGGAUGUUAAGACGGCGUUCUUGCAUGGAGAUUUGGAGGAGGAAAUCUAUAUGAUUCAGCCUUGUGGUUUCAGAGUUACUGGAAAGGAGAAUCAUGUGUGUAGGUUGAUUAAAUCUUUGUACGGACUGAAGCAAUCGCCAAGGCAGUGGUACAAAAGAUUUGAUCAAUUUAUACAAAGGCAGAAAUUCACCAGAAGUGAACACGAUCAUUGUGUUUACUUUAGAAGACUACCAGAUGAAGCUUUCAUCUAUUUGUUACUCUAUGUCGAUGGUAUGCUUAUAGCUUCGAAGAAUAGAGAUGAGAUCGAAAGAUUAAAGAAGCAGCUGGCUUCUGAGUUCGAGAUGAAAGACUUAGGUGAUGCACAGAAAAUACUUGGGAUGGAGAUUCGUAGAGACAAGAAGAAUGGGAGCGUAUGGUUGACUCAAAAGUUUUAUUUGAAGAAAGUGCUAGAAAGAUUCGGUAUGGAUGACAAAAUUAAAUCGAUAUGUACACCUCUAGCUCCUCAUUUCAAAUUAAGCUCUUAUUCAUGUCCUAGAUCUCAAGAGGAGUGCGAUUACAUGGCUCAUGUUCCAUAUGCUAGUGCUGUGGGUAGUCUUAUGUAUGCUAUGGUAUGCACAAGGCCCGAUAUAUCUCAAGCAGUGAGCAUGGUUAGUAGAUACAUGCAUAAUCCGGGUAAAAAUCAAUGGCUUGCGGUAAAGUGGAUUCUCUGAUAUCUAUAUGGGACAGUUGAUGUUGGGUUAUUGUUCAAGAAGGAUUGUGGUCAAUAAUGUGUUGGGUAUUGUGAUUCUGAUUUCGCUAGAGACCUUGACAAGCGAAGAUCAACAAUGGGCUACGUAUUCACAUUGGGUGGAGGUCUGGUUAGCUGGAGGUCGAUUCUACAAUCGACAAUUGCUCUAUCCACUACGGAAGCAGAGUAUAUGGCAGCAACUGAAGCUGUAAAAGAAGCUAUCUGGUUGAAAGGCUUAUUAGGUGAUUUGGGAGUAAUCUAGGAGAACAUUGCGGUCUUCUGUGAUAAUCAAAGUGCGAUAUUCCUUGCGAAGAAUCAAACAUAUCACGCUUGGACGAAGCAUAUAGAUGUGAAAUAUCAUUAUGUGAAAGAGAUUAUCGAGAGCGAUGUUGUGUUGUUGAGAAAGAUCGAUACCAAAGAUAAUCCAUCAGAUAUGUUGACCAAGGUAGUUUCUGGAGUUAAGUUUCAACAUUACUUGAAAUUAAUUCAAAUCCUUCGAUUGUGUUAAGAUAUGUCCUUCGGGAAUUUUGAACUACGGUUGGUUUGAUCCCAAAUUUUAGAUACGUAGGCAGUCAUAGAGAUGCAACCACUUUGGGGAUGAUGGCUUGUUGGUAGUCGACUCAAAUUUGAAAAAUUUUCGCCGAGGUGGAGAUUUGUUGAAGUCAACAAAUUAUUGGUGCAAAUUUGUUGAAGUCAACAAAUUGUUGGUGCACCAACAAUUUGUUGAAAAAUAAUAAUAAUUAAAAAUUAUAUUUUUAAUUAUUUUAUUCUUAGCAUAGUAAUUCAUUUCUCCUAUAAAUAGCUAAGGAUUUCAUUCAUUUGAAAUCAUCCCAAAAUUGUUAAGCUUAUAAGUUUCUAAGCUUUUGAGAGAAGUGAGAGAAGUGUGUCUGGGGAAUUUAUCUUUCCUACAGAGUGUGAGAGUACUGGGUAUAUUUGGGUUUAUAGGAAGUGAGAUUCGUUACUCAAAUAUUGUACUCUAUUAAUUGUUAAAUAAACAAUUAUUCUUUCUUACCUCCGUGGAUGUAGGUUUAAUUACCGAACCACGUAAAUUCUUGUUUCCUUUAUUUUUCUGUAAUUAUUUGGUGUGCUUGAUUCCGCAUUCCGCGCACAACAAAUAGAACAAAGACAGAAAAUACAUUCAACUGAACCCAACACCAGAAAGCAUCACAAAUAUUAUUUAUUUUUUGUACACAAUUAACGAACCAUCGCUGAAGCACAAAUCAAUGAACUCUCAACUGAAAAUCCGAAACGAAACUUCUUAUUUAUGAGUAGACAGCGGAAACAAAGAAACCAAAAAAAAGUCCACCACUGUAGGAUCAGGAUUUGUCUGUGUAGACAGUAGAAGUGAAGAUGGAAAGGAUUCUGGUUUAAAUUGAAGCUCAGGCUGUAGUCAUGAUGUUUUCUGCUCUGAUUUCACCUACACAAGUCAUUAAAGAAAUUGUGAAAAAGAAGAAUUUUAAAUUACAUUUUUUUCCUUAACUAUUAAAACAAAUGAACGCCGAUGUCUGCUAGGCUCAUGGUUGAAUGUGGAAGAGUAUUUAAGUCUCCGCUGCUGCUAAAUAGGGCUUGAUGAUUGGGGUGAGUAUCAGAAACUCUAAAGGGUACUUAAUGUUGAGACAAACUAGAAGAAAACACUCUGUAUAACCAUCUUUAUAUUGAAGAGAAGGGGGAAAAAGUAUAUGAAAUUUGAUAAAUAAUAAAAAGUUGAAGAAAUUAGAUAAAACACGAAACAAAUAUCAAAUUCAAUAAGGGCUAAUCAAAUUCCGUAAGGAUAUAGUUGAAUGCUGCACUGUUCCUUAUCCUCAAAUUCCCUUAGCUUUUGUCUCAGCUCUGGCUGAGGCCACCAGCAAUCGAACUUGUUUAAGCUCUUUACGCACCAGAGCUGUUCAUGCAUUUUUUUCAAGUAAGGACAAGGGUUGAUAAUCAAGCAUUCUAGUUUUGGCAUGGCUCCAAUCCCCAUAGUCCACUCCUCUAGGCAUAGCAUUGAUUUCAGGUGCAAUACCUUGAGAUUUGGAAAACCAUGGGAGCCACAAGUUAGCUUCCUACCUGAAUAUGAAUUUUGCUUCAGUUUGAGCACUUGAAGAAGUGGCAGCUUUUCUAGUGCGGGCAUGGGAUCCUCCAUAAGUUCAGUAUUAGAUAAACUCAAGUGGGUUAGUGUUGGAGGAAAAUGGGAUUCAACAAGGACAAUUUUAGAGAAAGCUGGCAUCUUGCUUUCGUUCACCAACUUCAAUGAUUCGAGGCAGCUUAAUCUGCAAAGACUACCCAUGUGAGCCAACUACCCAUGUUGCGAAGAUGAGCGACUUUUAAGAGGAAUAAAACUGUCUGCCUCUUGAGGGGUAUUUAAGAAAACAGUGUACACCAGAAGAAGGAAUGAAAAAAGAAAAUUAAUCUUCCAUCGUAGAGAAGGAGAGAAAAUUUAUAUUAUUUCAUCUUUUUUUCUUAUUCUGCUUUAGUUAUUUCCUUUAUAGUCAACUAUCUAAUUUACUCCAAAUCUAACUUAAGCAUCAAAGGGUUCUCGCCAGAUCCCCCACAGGCGAGUUGUGACCGGUUUCUGUAGCUUUCAAGUUGCAGAUUUAAAGUCCAUAUCAACAUUCAAAUUUUGUUCGUACUAGUUUUCCACCAAAAACAAAUUCAGCUGUUGAAGUCCUUUUUCAGCAUCAACAUCUUGGACAUUCUUAAGAUAGCAAAAUCAAUAAACUCAACAUUAUGUUACUGGCUAAAGAGUGAAGAAACCAUAAGAAUCCAAUGACAACCAAAGCAGAAGGAUCAAUUUUAAUACAAAAGGGAAUUCCUCUGCUGCAAACGAGGGCUUUGAUGUGAUUGUAAAGAAUUGAGAGUGAGCAGCAGUACAUCCUCUCGCCAUCAACUUCAUUGCACUGCAUUACAAGGCAAAUGUGAAAACGAUCACAACUGCUCUUUAUUCUCUUAGUGCAAUUGGGCUGCUAAUCAACCAAUAGAGAAAGAACUAAAUUUUAAAUAUUAAAUCUUAAAUCUUUAUUCGCUACAACUAAAUUUUAAAUCUUCCACUUUCAGAACUUUACUCGUUAAAUCUCCUCUUCAAUUCUACCUAGUCCUUACUGGAUCCUUAAAGUCACCAAGGAUUAGUGAUGGUUUUUUAUUUUACGAGGGCUGUUGGACAACCCAGAUUGACAAGGGCUAAAAUCUCCAUAUAUUUGGAGGCUAUGAAGAUUAGACAAUAUGCCCCAGUUUCUUUUUGUUGUGUUUAAUCCUCUGUUAGUACCAAGAUCACACACUUAAGACCCUCUUUGACGUAUCAAGAAUCAUUCCCAGAAAACCAAACUCAAAAUUGAAUCAAAGUGCCUACAUCCACUGAAGAACAAGGACCAUUUCACAAUCAUUCCAAGAAUAUAAAACUUUUUCUCUUUAAGUCUCUCUCUUUCUAUGGCUUUGAUGAGACAUGUGAAGAUGACCCAACAACCAUUUCACAAUCAGUUUUAAGAUGAUGAGAUGUGAUCACAGCACAAACAUUUUUCGUCUAACUGAAGUAAUGAGAUUGAACUGUACCACUAUUCAAAAACUAGAAAAAAGAUAAAAUAAAAUAAAAAACAAUAACAUAUAUGCAACUUGAAUGUUGACAAAUUGAAUACACACCGGUGAAUGUGAAAUAGAAAGUAAAACAAUUAAUCAAACUUUUGUACAAAAUAUUAAUCCGAAUAUGACAUAAUCCUUGAAAACAAAGAAACCAAACAAUUUCAGUGAAGACUGGAUUCUUAUUGAAAUUGAAACUUUGGCUGCAGUACAGUUAAGAUAUUUUCCGCUUUGCUUUGACCUACACAUUCAAGUAAUUGAAUAUCUUAUUUUUCAGUUUUUCUUGAUUAUUUCAACAACCAAUACAUAAGGGUUCUACCUCUUCUAUAAAUAAGGGAUUAAUGAUUAGUGUCAGUAUCAGGGAAUAUAAUGGACACUUCCAAGUCUUUGUUGUGAAAAAAAUUAGAAGCAACCACAAUUAGAAUGUAGAAAACACUUUAUGGUAUCAUUAUUAUUUAGGCUGCUACGUACUAUCAAAUCAAUCAUAGAGACUAGAUGUUUACGUGAAAUUAGAUAAAUAAUUAGAGGUUGAAGUUAUUGGAUAAAAAGGAAAAAAACUUACAUCAAAUUCGAUCCAUGCUAAUCAAAUUCCAUAUGGGUAUAGCUGAAUGCCAUACUGCUCCUUAUCCUCGAAUUCCCAUAGCUGUUGUCUCAGCUUGGGCUCAGGCCACCACAACUCCAAUUUGUUUAAGCUCUUUAGGCACCAAAGCUGUUCAGGAAUCCUUUUCAAGUGAGCACAAGGGUUGAUGAUCACGCAUUCUAGUUUCGGCAUGGCUUUAAUCCCCAUAGUCCAUUCCUCUAACCAUAGCAUAGAUUUAAGGUGCAGCACCUUGAGUUUUGGAAAGCCAUCAGAGCUACAAGCCAGCUUUCUACCUAAAUACUUCAGUUUGAGCACCUGAAGAACCGGCAGCUUUUCUAGUGCCGGCAUGGGAUCAUCAAUUAGCUCAAUAUUCGAAAAACUCAAGUGGGUUAGACUUGGAGGAAAUUGGUAUUCAGCAAGGAUGGUAUUGGAUCGCCGUGGCAUCUUGCUUUCAUUCGCCAACUUCAAUGACUCGAGGCAGCUCAAUCUACAGAGACUUUUGGACAACAAAGAUUGAUAAUAACUUAAAUCUCCCCAUAUCCGGAGAUUUUGAAGAUUAGGUAGUCUGCCCAAUAUCUCUUCAGUAGAGCAGCAAGGAUGCAAGGCUAAAAUGAAAUUGAGAUUUUAUAGAGAGCCACAAUAUUUUCCUGGAUGUGCAGGAAGUGUGAUCGCUCCAAAAUUUAGAUACCUCAGUUUGCUCAUCUUCCAAAAUUCAUCUGCUGUAUGAUCUAUGUAGCUAAAGGGCAUCUCUAGGGUGUACAGGUUCAAAAGACUGCUUAAGAACGAUGAAGGCAGGCUUUUGAGGGAGGGGAUAAUACUCUGAGAAAUUUGAACAUUUUACAGAUUUUCUUGCAAUAAGUGGGGUCAAGGUAUUGGCUUCCUGAAGUGAGGUACAACAAAGAAUGGAGGAACGAGUCAAAAUCAUCUAAAAAUGUAAAAUGAUUCAAUUUUCCGUGAGCGGUGAAGCGUUUCACAUUUUCCCGUAAUCUAACUUCCUGAUCCAUGAUUGGGGAAAUGAUAAAUUCCCCCUUGAAAGCCACAGUCAACAAUGCAGGACUGCAACUCCCAGGAAUAGAGCUUGUGUUGAUUCUGCUUAUAUCACUUCUCUUCCCUGCAUCAACAAAGGCUCCAUUGAUUAGUUGUUCCAAGUACUUCUCAGUAAUUGCCUCGUUGUUGUCUGGAAUGAAACCUUCAGCUAUCCACAACUGAUAUAAUUGCUUGGUUCAUAUCUCAAAGUGUACGCGAAACACAGAUAAGUAGAGACAACAAAGUUUCAAGUAAAAAGGUAACAUACAAUAUGCAACGACUUGAAGCCCUCGGGGUUCAUCAAGUGCUUCCUCUAUAUUUUCUUUCAGUGAGAUGCUUCCAUGAUAUAAGAUGUGGAAAGGCCAUCCUUGGUAUGUAACUCUCAAUGGUCCUCCAGUGGGCACAAAAUCAAGCCCAAUGUUCUCUCCAUUUUCGAACUGAAAUGAGGUGACGAUCUCAAUUUGACUGAGUGUUAUCAAUACUCUACUUCCAAUCUGAUUAUCGGGAAGUAUUCUCGAAUAACAUCCCAUACUGAUAUUCUCCACACAUUAUCAAGCACAAUCAAAUACCGCUUGGUCAUUACAUAUUCAUGAAGAAUAAUUUUUUUCAUUUCCGAACUUUCUUUCAUAAUUUCACUUAACCUACGUGAAGGCAUCACAAACUUAAUAAUGUCGUAUAAUAUUUGGUCAGCAUCAUAUAGUAAAGACUCUUCAACCCAAGCGUGACAAUCAAAAUAAUGCUUCACAUAGUUGCUGCUGUAAGCCUCUGCGGCGAAAGCCGUCUUGUCCAAUCCAAUGCUAUCAAGUACGGCCACUACCGAAAGUUGAGGCGGUCCCUCUAUCAAUAGAUCUAAUAACUCCUCCAUUCUAUUAUCUAGACCCACCGUGUCCCUAUCCUUAAAAGAUGAGGAUGCAGGAAAAUUACCGGCUUUUGCUUCAAUCGAUUUGAGCCCAUCAAUGAUUCCGGAGUGGAUGUGCUGAACUUGCUGCAUCCGUUGUUUUAUAUCAAUGAUNNNNAUUUUGUCAAUGAUAGCCUUAAAAUCUUCUAAUUCUGCAAGAGUUUGACCCUCUUUUGCAUUGACUUGCCACAUAAACCAAGCAGUGUUGUAUCCACAGUCCCUCAGCCAAGAAGCAAUGAUUUCAGUCUCAGUGUAAAGGUUCUGAAUAGGUUGUUUAGCAGCAUCGGGCACUGUGAAUUCUUCACCAGCUGGCACCCUUCUCAGUCUCUCUGAAAAUAGUCCAAGGUUGAUGUCCAUAUCUCCUUCACUCUCAGUAGUCAGUAGCCAGCAGCUCUAGCAUGCAAAGAAAAUAAUUAUAAAAAAAAAAGUUAAAAGCUCUCCUUUUACUUCAACAUUAGUCAACAUAAUCAACUGAGGAUGGCACCAAUACCUCAUUCUAUUAAGAAGUUGAAUCAAGUUCAGGUGGUUGUCAAAGUAGAAUAGAUCAAGGCAGAGCAGUACUGGAAAAUGAAUCUUAAAACUAAAUGCUGCAGGUGCCGUGGGGAUACUGAUUGAUAAGAGGAAUUAUAUUGAGAAAUUAUUGAUGUACAAUAAUGAUUUUCUGCACAAAAUCUGAGGUAUAAUGUAUGUGUACAUAAAAUAUUCUUUAUGCAAGAAGAUAAAAGGGUGUCUUAUAAUUUGUGUUUUAUAUAUAUGUGUAUGAAGAAAGUAAAAUAGGCUAUCAAGACUAGUUUCUUUUUUGCCCUAUCAAAAGACUGAAAGAUUAAAAAUAAUUCCACUGGGACCAUAAAACUUGUCUAGAGAGAAAAAGCAUCACCUUAGAAUCUGAUUCAUGUUAAGAAAUUGAGUUUUCUCCCAAGAUCACUACAAAUAAUUUGUCAAGAAAUAAAUUAACAGAAAAAAUUAAACGGAGAAUACAUCAGUCACACAUCACAAGAUUUACAUGGAAAACUCUAAAUCCGGAAGAAAACCACGGCUGUUGUCAAAAGACAACCAGAGAAAAAAAUAUUCAUUAUGUAGAAAAUUAUUACAACCACACUCUCAGAAAUAAUUUCUCUCACCCAAGCCCCAAAUACAUGAUCCCGAAAAAUAUUCUUUAACAAAACAAACCCGUAAUACCCAUAUUGAGGAGCCAAAUACUCCUAUUGAAUGCUCUUAAUUGGAUACAAAAGUGAGGAGGAGAACCCUCCUAUUUAUAGGCAAAAACUUGCAUAAUUAUGCCCACCAAUUUUGAUCAAAAUUGGUGGCUUAGCCAUCAAAUUUGAUGAACAAAUUUUGGUCAACAAAUUUGGUGGUUAAGCCACCAAAUUUGAAGCCACCUUUCUUUUUUUUAAAUCAAUUUUCAACAAUUCAUUGAUGCAUCUAAUGCAUAAUAGUUGCUAUUGUUAGAGAUUUUCUUUUCAAGCGCUCUACAGACUACAACAGAAUACGUUAUAGUUUGAAUCGUUAGAUGAUCAUUCCAAUAGGGCUAAAGGUGUUCAUGGAUUAGAUUCAGAUAUAUAUGAUUCCAUCUGAUUUGGAUUUGGAUGUUGCCAUAUAUAUCCGAUUGGAUAAAAUUUGUGCAUCUGAUGGAUUGGAUCCACUUUAAUUUAAACAAUUUGAUUGGGAUUGCACUACUAUAUAUAUAUAUAGGAAAAUGCUUAACGUCGGGAAGGCUGAGAGAACCCUGAGAGAAACGGCAGCUUGUGCUACCGUUUCCCGCAUGUUCUCUUAGCCCCACCCCCACUUUACUUUAAGCAUUUCCUCUUUUGUUUUUUAUAUUAUUUUAUCUCUCUUUUAUUUUUUUCUUCUUUUAUCUUCUUCUUCUUCUCUUUUUUCUUUCUCUCUCUUUUGCAAUUUCUUCGUUACUUAUCUCCAUCAUCAAUUUCAUCUUCUUCAUCAACAACAUCAUCAUCACAAUUAUCUUUAAAAUUCUAGUUAUACAAUCCAAGAGGGGGGUGAAUUGGAAUUCUAAAAAUUAUUCAAUUUAUAAAGAAAAACUUAAUGCAAAUAUAAACCAAAUUCAAAGUAAUAACAAAUAAGUUGAUCACAAUAUAAAAAGAUAAGGGAAGAGAGAUUCAAACACAGAGAUUUUUACGUGGUUCGACCAACCUCGCCUACGUCCACGCCUCCAAGCUUUCCGGGCUUGAGGAUUCCACUAAGCAAGCAUCCAAGGCUUCAAAUGCUUACACUUGACUUCCAACAUGUCAAUAACCUUUACAACAAGAGAUUAUCCCAAUCUCUUUAAUCCAAGUGUAUCCCAACACUUACAAUCACUCAAAAUAAAAGAUUACAAAUUUGUUUUGCCUCUCACAAUAUUUAAGAUUACAAAAUGAUGCCCAAUAUGUGAAUAGAUGAAGCAAGAAUGUGUUCAAAGCUCUAUGAAGAUUGUAUUCUCGAGUAUAAGCUCAAUAGUCGUGUUGUGAUCAGAUUUGUUUGAAUUUGAAUGAGCUUAUUUAUAGUUGGAGCUGAAAAAACUAGCCGUUACAAACUGUCUGCCCGAAAACGGUUCGCCGUUAAGCAUUAACGGUUAACCGUUUAGGCUGGUCAAAAGUUACCGUUGGGCCAAAUUUCAAAUAAAUGGUUUGCCAUUUAGGAUUACUCUUUCGCCGUUAAAUUUCAGAGACCUGCAAGAUAAACACCAGUUAUCCGUUUACAUUAAACGGUUAAGGAUUUGCAUGAAGUGACUUCUCUGGAUAUUAUCGGUUAACCGUUUGUAAUAAACGGUUCGCCGUUUGUUUUCAGUUACCUGCAAAAUAAUUUAGCCUUAUCCGGUUUUAUUAAACGGUGCCAGAAGAGUGCAACCUUCAAUUCUGGAUUUUAUCGGUUAACCGUUUAAAUAAACGGUUCACCGUUAAAUUUCAAUAGCCUUCCCAGCUUUUUGUGUUUUCCGUUUUUCUUAAUCGGUUAGAGCUUAGGCAAUAUGUUGCUCUCUGGUUUUAAUCGGUUAACCGUUUGAAAGAAAACGGUUCACCGUUUAUUUCCAGAAUCACAUUUUAAACCAGAUUUUGCAGAGAAUCAUUUUCUAAUUUGAAAGACCAUCUUUUAUGAAUAUGAUUAGAAUGAUUAUAAGGCUUUCGUUUAUUAAGGAAUAGCUUCAACAUUUUAAUAAAAAAUCAUUUAAAGUUUGUUAUCAUCAAAAUCAAUAUUAUUAACAUAUUCAUGUUAACAAUCUCCCCCUUUUUGAUGAUGACAAACUUUAUUCAAUAUUUUGCUCCCCCUUAAUAUAUGCUCCCCCUAAAUGUAUGGCCAAAUUAAGAAAUGUCCAAUAAAAAGACUUUUGCUCGAGAAAAUAUUUUUAAAUUCAUUUUAAAUCUCCUCAUAAUUAUCUCCCCCUUCAUCAUCAAAAAGAAAAGAGAGAAAGGAAAAUCGCAAAUCCGUUAAAGAAGUUACCCGAUUUUGGCGAGUGAAAAUUUUGGCAGAGUUUCCCCUUAAAAUGGAUCAAAACCACUAAUACAAAAUGAGAUUAAAACACUUACAAAAUAUAUUAACAACAACUCCAUCAUUCAACAAACCAACAACGCCAUGAACAAACAAACCAACAACUCCAUUAACCAAUAAACCAACAAUUUCAUCAACCAAUAUCAAGUCAUCCAACAUCAAGAACAUCAUAAAAACAUGUCAUCAAAAUCCAUAAAGAGCAUAUAGAGGUAGCAAUGUAUAUAAAAAUAUAAAUGGCAACACGCAAACAACCAAAAUAUGAAAUGUAUGUGCGAAAAUAGAAUUCAGAAACUAUGGAGGUGGAGAAGAUGUGCUCCCCGGAUCAUAGCCAAAAUAGUGGAGAAGAGUGUGCUGUCCAGCGAUAAGCUCAUGCUACUGAUCAAUGCUCUGCUACUGGAAGGUCUGAAAGUCAGAACGUAACUGCUGGUGGUCACGGGAAAAAGUGUCCAACCGAUCAAGAAUCAGCUGCUGGCGCUCCGAAAUUCGGUGAACAUCAGCAAUCAACUGCUGCACAACAUCUGAAGCAUGGGGCUGAACUAGAGCUGGAGGUGGUUCAGAGGCAGAUGGGUGCUCAGGAACAUCAGAUGGCUCAGGAGCAGGAGGCUGCUUGGGAGCUAGAGGCGGCUCGGAAGAGGAGGGAAUAUCAGCACCCAUCGCACGCUCCUCAGAGUCAGAGUCAGCUGAAGGCCAAGGGACAAAACGGCGAUGAGGAGGAUGAGGAUGAGCUCCUAAUCUAAAAUCUGGAAGCUUAUUGGGAGGAUAGACAUCGUUGAGCAUCCGAUCGUCCUCUGGAGCAAUCAAGGUAUCCCGGUUUUUGGAGUUGUUUGUCUUUAUCCACUCACCAUUCUUCCUAGUAAAACCGAUACUAGUCAUGGCCUCAGGACCAAUCCCUCUAGUCUCCAUAUAAGUGGUAUCAAGAAGAGGCACCUCAAAGCGUCGUAGUAUCUUAGUAAUGAUACUGCCAUAUGGAAGCAAGUGGUGGUUAACUGCGGGAGUACUCAACAUGUGCCGCACAAUAACAUAGCCGAGGUUAAUGGGACGGCUUGAAAUGAGACUAUCUAAUAGGCCAACGUCCAACCUCGUAACCUCAUCCGAGUGAACCUUCCUAGGUGUCACUAUGUGCUGUAAAAUAGUGUGAAGAAUGCGAACUUGGAGAGGUAAAAGUUGAGACCGAAAAGGUAGAAGACAGAUCUCAUCAGACAAGUCUCGACGACGACAAAUAUUACGGACUCCAUCAGUAUGAUAAAAACUGUAAAAAAAAAGGGCUUUCCUAGAGGUGUAAAUAUCAUGACCCUCACUAGAGAUACCAAGAAAGUCAGCUAGGUCCGCAUCAUCAAAUUCAAUAGGCACAUCGCCGACUUGAGUAACUAUCCUAUUUAGGCGAGUUGCGAAGAUUUCCAUGUUCGAAUAAAAGACUCGUACUAAGUUGGGAUAAACUCGGUCAUCAAAGUCAAUGGCAGACUCCCAAGGCUGAAGCAUAUCCCUAAUACUUCUACCACAUACAACUAAGGUACUGAAAUCAUCUAUUUCAACAUAAGAAGAGUCAAGUACCUUUCGACCAUUGAAGCGAUUCUCGAACCGCUUGGCCAAGGAAGGCAUGGGGAAAUGAAUUAUUGCGAAUUCAGAGACUUCCCGUAGUGGUAUAGGGUUCCUUGGAGGCACAGAUUUUCGCCUGAGAUUUCUCCGAGGGGGUGCAGCCAUGGUGAAGCACAAAGGAGUUUGAAAAUUACUGGAGAGAUGUGAUGAGAAGAAGAUGAAUCGAUUAUUUGCUUAGGAAUGAGUAAAUGAUGUGAUUUUGAUGCUUAAUUUGGCUGAAGAAGGGGAAGAAUCGGGUUAAAAAGGAAGAAACCCGAGCGGCCGCAGUUAGGGUUUAGAUUUGGGAUUUUUCAAUUUUGGGCUUGAUUUGAGGAUUUGAAUCGGUGAAAGUGUUCUAAAGGUGAUAAGAAAUGAUGUUAUAGGUUUGAUUUGACAAGAAAAACAAGAAAAAUGAAGGUUUGAGGGGAGAGGAGGAUUCGGCUGUGCAACAAUGGCCGAAACGGUGAAGGGGCAACUGGAGAAGGAGAAGAAAAAACCUUUGAACAGUUUUAUAAUCACGAAAAUGGUUAACCGUUUAUUUAAACGGUUAAGGGGUAACUUCCAGAGGCUAAAGAAUGGGAAACGGUUAAAGGUUAAACUCUUAACGGCUGAGGAGUAACUGCUAGCGAGCUCUCUGAUUUUAAACGGUUUACCGAUUGCAACAAACGGUAAAAGGGUUAAAAGGCAGUCAACUUAAUCGAGUUUUUGGAAUAAAAUGGUACACCGUUUAUUGGAAACGGUUAGCCGUUUAUUUUAUCAAUAAUUUCGCACAUUUGAUUUAAUUUUUUGCCAGCAAAUAAUACAUUCCAAGAUCAUUUAAUUGAUCUAAAAAUGUUUCAUGAGCCAUUUUAAUGCAUGAUUCAUGAACAUGUAUUGAAGCAAUUAAUUCAUAUAAUCAAUCAAGAAUUAACAAAGCAAGCACAUCAUUUGAAUAUCAAGCUUAAGCAUUUAAAUCAUCAAUUCACCAAGAAGUCAAUCAAUUCAAUACACUCAGUAGCAUGAAUAGUAACGUUAAUGUGAAAAUUUCAUCAUUCCAAGUUCAUGCUGAAUCUUUGAAAAUUGUUCUUCACCAAGAGGUUUGGUAAAAAUAUCCCCCUUUUGAACAUGAUCUCUCAAGAAAUGAUGUCUUAUUUCUAUAUGCUUGGUUCGAGAGUGUUGAAUAAGAUUCUUUGAAAGAUUUAUAGCAUUAGUAUUAUCACACUUAAUAGGAAUUUGUUCUAGGUUAAUACCAUAGUCUCUAAGUGUUUGUUUCAUUCAAAGAGCUUAUGCACAAUAACUUCCUGCAGCUAUAUAUUCGGCCUCUGUAGUUGAGAGUACAACAGAAUUUUGUUUCUUGCUAAACCAUGAAACAAGUGAGUGACCUAGGAUAUAGCAUGUUCCACUAGUGCUUUUCCUAUCAACGUUAUAACUGGCAAAAUCCGCAUCCGAAUAACAUGUUAAAUCUAUAUGAGUUCCCCUAGGAUACCAAAGGCCAAUAUCUACGGUUCCACUCAAAUAACGGAAAAUUCUUUUAAUAGCAAGCAAAUGAGAUUCCUUGGGACAAGAUUGAAAUCUUGCGUACAAGCAUACACUAAACAUGAUAUCGGGUCUACUUGCAGUUAAAUAAAGUAAAAAUCCGAUCAUACCUCGAUAUAUUUUUAUAUCUACUUCCUUGCCUUUUUCAUCUUUGUCAAGUUUGGUUAUUGUGCUCAUUGGAGUGUUUUUGGUCUUUGAGUCAUCAAUGCUGAAUCUUUUGAGUAGAUCUUUUACAUACUUGGCUUGAUUUAUGAAAAUUCCUUUCUCAUUUUGUUUUAUUUGCAGCCCAAGGAAGUACUUCAACUCUCCCAUUAUACUCAUUUCAAAUUCAUUACUCAUGUAAGAUGAAAAUUCUUUACACAACAAUUCAUUAUUAGAACCAAAAAUAAUAUCAUCAACAUAAAUUUGAACAACAAGUAUGUCUUUUUCCUUAUGUUUGACAAAUAAAAUAGUAUCCGCUUUACCCAUUGAAAAAUCAUUUUCUAAUAAGAAAUUCUUAAGUCUAUCAUACCAUGCUCUAGGUGCUUGUUUUAAGCCAUACAAAGCUUUAAAUUACUUAUAAACAUGAUUUGAAAAUCUUUCAUUUUCAAAACCAGGGGGUUGUUUUACAUACACUUCUUCCAUUAUAAAACCAUUCAAAAAGGCACUUGUCACAUCCAUUUAAAAUAAAAUAAAAUCUUUAUGACAUGCAAAUGCCAACAAUAUUCUAAUUGAUUCUAGUCUAGCUACGGGUGCAAAUAUUUCAUCAAAAUCAAUUCCUUCUUCUUGGUUGUAACCUUGAGCCACUAAUCUAUCUUUAUUCCUUACAACCACACUGGAUUCAUCCAUCUUAUUUCUAAAUAUCCAUUUAGUACCUAUGACGGAUUGAUGUUCCGGUUUAGGAACUAAUUCCCAUACAUUGUUUCUUUCAAAUUGAUUUAACUCCUCUUGCAUUGCCAUAAUCCAAGAUCAUCAUUUUCCGCAUCCGCAAAGGAUUUGGGUUCAAUUUGAGAAAUAAAUGCAUUAUGCUCACAAGUAUUUCUAAGAGAUGAUCUAGUUGUAACACCUCGUGAGGGAUCUCCUAAAAUUACAUCCUUAGGGUGAGAAGAAACAUACCUCCACUCCUUGGGAAGUGAUUGAGAUGCACUUUCAUUGUGUUCUACAUUCAUUUCUUCAUGUUGCUCAUCUUGAUUCCCAUGAGACGUAUCCUUUUGGUUAUCUUUUGAUGAUUCUUUUUUUAAGUCUUCAUCUACAUCAUUAUCAACAACAACUUUCUCCGUAGAUGAGGGGUUAGACUCAUCAAAAGUAACAUGCAUAGAUUCUUCUACAACUAAUGUAUUUUUGUUAUAAACUCUAUAAGCUUUGCUUGAGUUUGAAUAUCCAAGAAAAAUACCAACAUUAGAUUUUGGAUCAAAUUUGCCAAGAUUGUCUUUUGUGUUCAAAAUAAAACAUUUGCAUCCAAACACUUUGAAAUAACCAAUGUUGGGUUUUCUAUGUUUCUAAAGCUCAUAUGGAGUUUUGUUAAGGUUAAGUCUAAUCAACACACGAUUUAAAACAUAACAAGCGGUGUUGACGGCCUCGGCCCAAAAAUACUUAGGCAAUGAAUUUUCAUUCAACAUAGUCCUAGCCAUUUCUUGAAUGGAUCUAUUCUUUCUCUCAACAACUCCAUUUUGUUGUGGAGUUCUAGGUGAUAAAAAUUGAUGCUCAAUGCCAAAAUCAUUACAAAAAAUCUCAAAUGCAUGAUUUUCAAACUCUCCUCCAUGAUCACUCCUAAUGCAUGCAAUACCAUACCCUUUUUCAUUUUGUAUUUUCUUACAAAGCACUUUAAAGGUAUCAAGAGCAUCAUCUUUAUUGGCUAAGAAUAAUACCCAUGUAUAUCUAGAAUAAUCAUCCACUAUCACAAAUGCAUAAUAUUUGUAAUUUAAACUAGCAUAUCUAGAGGGUCCAAAUAAAUCUAUGUGAAGAAGUUGAAGUGGUUUUGAAGUAGAAAUACGAUUUUUAUUUUUGAAAGAUGUUUUGAUUUGUUUUUCAAAUUGACAAGCUUCACAAAUCUUAUCUUUUUGAAAACCAAUUUUUGAAAGACCUUUAACUAAAUCAUUUUUCAAAAUUUUUGAAAUCAAAUCCAUACUUGCAUUUCCUAACCUUCUCUGCCAUAACCAACUAUCAUCAUGCAAUGCCGAAAAACAUUUAUCAAGAGUAGAUGCACAUUCUAUGUCAAUGAUAUAAACAUUACCACAUCUAUUCCCACUUUUCAGUCAUGUGCCUUGAACAACCAUUGUCCAAGUAUCAUUUAUUUUUCUUCUUCUUUAAGCCCUACAAGAAAAAUCUCAAGUUUUAGGUACCCAAAGCUUUUUUGGUCCUUGAGAGUUAGCAACGGUUCCUUUUGGAACCCAAAUACAUUUGACACCAUAAUAUGCAUUCCUUUUCACGGGACAUCUAUAUUUCAUGUGACCAUUUUGAUUACAAUAAUGGCAAACAAUCUUAUGAUCACGUGUGGAGGUAGCUUUAACAAAAUAAUUCUUAUAAUACUUUUGCUUCAAGUUAGGCUUAUACCCAAGUCCUCCUUUAUCAAAAACACAUUUUUGUGAGUUAAGCAUAUUAUCCAACAUCUUUUGCCCAUUUGUAAAUUUCAAAACAAUUUCAUUCAAUUCAUUACUCUUUUUCUUGAGCAUUUCGUUCUCAUUUUUCAACUCAUCUAUGUGUGAUUCUAAAUGCUCAUGUGAGAUGCUAGGUUUCUCAUUUGAUAAUGCAAUUUCAUCAUGCAAUGUUUUGUUCUCUAUUUCUAGGCAUGCAAUUCUUGCAUUUAGAGAUUCAUUUUCAUUUUUAAGCUUUGCCAUUUCCUUUUUAAGACAUACAUUCUUUUUACCAAUCUUCAUCAACUCAUUAUGCAAUUCUUUAAAAGCAUCAUACAAUUCAUCAUUGGUGGGAUCACUUACCUCAUUGAGAUCAUCAUCCCCUCUUAUUGCCAUAAGCACUAGGUUUGAUACUUCUUGCAAUCCUUCUUCAUCACUUGAAUCUUCCUCGCUAUCAUCCCAAGUUGCAACCAAUGCUUUCUUCUUGAGUUUUUUGAUAAGUGGGCACUCCGAUCUUAUAUGGCCAUGCUUCUUGCAUUAAUAGCAUGUGAUUACCUCUUUCUUCUCCCUUUGGUUCUUGAAGUUUCUGAAAUUUCUUCGCUCUACGGUUUUCUUGAAGAAUUUUCUGAACCUGCUUGCUAGCAUGGCUAGCUCUUCAUCAUCCGGUUCACUCUCCCCAUCACUCUCAUAUUUUGAAGAUUUGAGAGUAAUGCUUUUCUUCUUCUCCUCAUGCCCUUUUUCUGCUGCCAAAUCUUCUUCAUAUGAAAUGAGAGAACCAAUUAAAUCAUCGAGGGCUAAAGUAUUUAAAUCUUUGGCCUCUUCAAUAGCGGUUCUUUUUGGUCUCCAUUCUUUUGGAAGUGACCUAAUGAUUUUCUUAACUUUUUUGCUAUUUGAGAAGGUCUUUCCUAAGGCUCUUAGGGUGUUUACUAUGUCCGUAAAUCUCGUAUACACAGAGUACACACUCUCAUUUUAUUCCAUUUGGAAUAACUCAUGUUGUCGAGUGUACCUACUAAUUUUUGACUCUUUCACUUGAUUUGUGCUUCAAGUUUGUGCUAAAUUUCAUUGGCACUUUCACAACUAGAUACUCGAUGAAAUUCUUUUUUAUCAAGUGCACAAAAUAAAGCAUUCAUAGCUUUGGAAUUUAGAGAAGCUUUUCUCUUUUCCAAUUCAUUCCAUUCCGUUGAAGGUUUUGGAAUAUCUUCCCCGAAUUCAUUUUUAGUUAGGGGCAAAAACAGACCAUCGCGUACAACUUCCCAAAUUUCAUAAUCUAAAGCUUGCAAAUAGAUUCUCAUUCUAGUUUUCCAAUAUGCAUAGUCAUUACCGUCAAAGAACGGUGGUCUAGUUGUGGAUUGCCCUUCUCUAAAGGUUGAGUCAUUUAGGGUUGCCAUAGAUCUUUUACUCUAGACGAUUAAGUCCUAAUAAGAGAACAAGGCUCUGAUACCAAAUGAAAUUCUAGUUAUACAACCCAAGAGGGGGGGGUGAAUUGGAAUUCUAAAAAUUAUUCAAUUUAUAAAGAAAAACUUAAUGCAAAUAUAAACCAAAUUCAAAGCAAUAACAAAGAAGUUGAUCACAAUAUAAAAAGAUAAGGGAAGAGAGAUUCAAACACAGAGAUUUUUACGUGGUUCGACCAACCUCGCCUACGUCCACGCCUCCAAGCUUUCCGGGCUUGAGGAUUCCACUAAGCAAGCAUCCAAGGCUUCAAAUGCUUACACUUGACUUCCAACAUGUCAAUAACCUUUACAACAAGAGAUUAUCCCAAUCUCUUUAAUCCAAGUGUAUCCCAACACUUACAAUCACUCAAAAUAAAAGAUUACAAAUUUGUUUUGCCUCUCACAAUAUUUAAGAUUACAAAAUGAUGCCCAAUAUGUGAAUAGAUGAAGCAAGAAUGUGGUCAAAGCUCUAUGAAGAUUGUAUUCUCUAGUAUAAGCUCAAUAGUCGUGUUGUGAUCAGAUUUGUUUGAAUUUGAAUGAGCUUAUUUAUAGUUGGAGCUGAAAAAACUAGCCGUUACAAACUGUUUGCCCGAAAACAGUUCGCCGUUAACCAUUAACGGUUAACCAUUUAGGCUGGUCAAAAGUUACCGUUGGGCCAAAUUUCAAAUAAACGGUUUGCCGUUUAGGAUUACCCUUUCGCUGUUAAAUUCCAGAGACCUGCAAGAUGAACAUCAGUUAUCCGUUUACAUUAAACGGUUAAGGAUUUGCAUGAAGUGACCUCUCUGGAUAUUAUCGGUUAACCGUUUGUAAUAAACGGUUCGCCGUUUGUUUCCAGUAACCUGCAAAACAAUUUAGCCUUAUCCGGUUUUGUUAAAUGGUGCCAGAAGAGUAUAACCUUCAAUUCUGGAUUUUAUCGUUUAACCGUUUAAAUAAACGGUUCAUCGUUAAAUUCCAGUAGCCUUCCCAGCUUUUUGUGUUUUCCAUUUUUCUUAAUCGGUUAGAGCUUAGGCAAUAUGUUGCUCUAUGUUUUUAAUCGAUUAACCAUUUGAAAGAAAACGGUUCACCGUUUAUUUCCAGAAUCACAUUUUAAACCAGAUUUUGCAGAGAAUCAUUUUUUAAUUUGAAAGACCAUCUUUUAUGAAUAUGAUUGGAAUGAUUAUAAGGCUUUCGUUUAUUAAGGGAUAGCUCCAACAUUUUAAUAAAAAACCAUUUAAAGUUUGUUAUCAUCAAAAUCAAUAUUAUUAACAUAUUCAUGUUAACAAUCUUCUUUUUCCUCCUGUUAGUUUUGUUUCUUCUUCUCCAUCAACAUCAAAAUUUGGUUUCAUCUUCUUGUAUAAUUAAAAGGCAAGCACCCCUUUGACUUGGAAUCAAAAAAUCGAAAUCAAUACAGGUGUUGUUCUUCAUUUUUUUGGGUUUUUUAGAACAAAAAAUAGGGGAAAUACACUUGGAAUAAUGGAGAGACCGGACGAAGUGACGAACCGGACUGGUGGUGUCUGUCGUGAUGAGCUGAAGAGAAAGAGGUGGUUGUCGGUAACGAUGCCAUUGAUGAGAGAGAGUGCCGAUGAAAUUGAGGGAAGGGAGAAGAUACAGUAGUUUCUGGUGCUGGAGAGAUGAGUUGACUGCAACAAAAGGCUGACUGCAGCAAAUGUUAUGUUAAAAAGAAAAGAGAAAGUAACGUGGGAGGUGGGGCCAAGAGAACACGCGCGAAGCGGCAGCACAAGCUGUCGUUUCUCUUAGGGUUCUCUCAGCUUUCCCGACGUUUAGCACUACUCGUAUACUGCUGUACGGCCAAGGCGGAUGUACGGUACAGCAGCCCUUUCAAAUUUUUGUCUGAAAUAUUUAUCAGAUCCGAUUUAUUUUAAAUCCGAUCGAUUGUAUUUGAGAUUCAGGUUGGAUUCGAAUGAUUUUUUUUCCUAAUCCAAACAAUUCAAAAUCCAAUCGCACUUAUCCAAAUCUAAAGUGCAAUAUUCAUCUCUUUUUCAUAUAUCCUUUGCUAAAUGAAAGUAAUCAUGAUGUCGGGCCCUUCUUUAAAAAAAUAAUAAAAAUCUUCAAUUUAUAUGCAACUCCUUUCUCAUUAUUACUCUUCUUUGUGUUCGACUAUUGUAGUGCUUUUUCUUCUGAGAUAAACUUUAUAGUCCCUAGUGUGAUUGUUUUUACCUUUUCUUUCUUGAAAGUGGAUAAAACAAAUUGAUCUUUGAUUGAUACUUGAUGAUGUCCUAUUUUCUUUUUAUUUUCAUAUUUCUUUUUUCUAACAUAUUGGGGUACGCAAUUGAAAUAGAGGUUCAUUUGUCACAACAGUCCACGCUAAUAUAGACUAUCAAGUUGUGACAGGAAUUAGUCCAUUUGUGCAGCCACAUGACAACAUUUAAAGUCGUCCCACUGCAAGCAAAUAAAAUUAGGUGCCACGGAUUUAAUGGGACAAUCAAUAAAAUUAUGUCCACUGUUUUUUAUUUACUCAUAGUUUAUAAUUAAGUUUUAGAAUAAAUAUGUGACUAGAUUUUAUUUGACAAAGAAAUUGCGUACACUCGUAUGCAACUGUGACAUCUAACUAUCUCUACCAUUUCCAAACCAGAACUUCUAUGUCAUGUUUAAAACACGAGCAAGGAAUUUUAAGUUGGAGAAAGACUUUAGGUAGAAUAGAGACACAAUAUAUGAAAAAGUAAAUGUAUGCGUUAUGAGAUUUUCGAAGACAAGCAUAUUUGUUGACUCGGUAGUUACAUCGAAGUCUUACUCUUCGAGUUAAGUCAACGGUGCAAAAUUCAUGGAAUCUGCAUUUAAUUGUCUGGCUAAUGGGUUCUCAAAUUGCAAAUGAAAGAUAAAAAGCUUUGGUUACACACACACACCCAAAAAGAGAAAAAAAAAUGCCGCCACUGGGCUAGAUACUGUUUAGGAAAUGAAAUAUGGUGACUAAGAUAAAGGUGUUUGCUCAUACAUUAUCGUGCUCUCCUCAAAGUAAAAGUGAGCAAAUGGUUGAGCAGAUCACCUCGACCAGGAUGUUGUUUGGUGACCUCGAGCACAUCACCUCGACCAGGAUGUUAUUGGUCACCUCGAGCCGAUCAUCUCGACCAGGAUGUUAUUGGUCACCUCGACCAGAAUAAUAUGUGGUGACCUCGAGCACAUCACCUCGACCAGGAUAUUAGUGCUCACCUCGACCAGAAUAAUAUGUGGUGACCUCGAGCACAUCACCUCAACCAGGAUGUUAUUGGUCAACUCGACCAGAAUAAUAUGUGGUGACCUCGAGCACAUUUUCUCGACUAGGAUGUUAUUGGUCACCUCGACUAGGAAGUUACCAGGAAGCACGAUUCAGUCAAAACAUUUUCUCCGAAAUAUUAGGGACCAUAUUCUUAGUGGGCUGAAAAUUAGUAAAAAUUAGUAGUUUUCUUGAGAAUUCUAGGGGAGAGGAUAAAAACCGCUAUAGUUUCCUAUAAAAACCCUAGGAAGGGGAAGGAAAAAAGGGAUUCUUCUAGCUCUCUCUCUCUCUCUAGGCAACUGAAUCCAUUGGACCUUUUUCUCUCUCUACCACUGGAAAAUUUCUCUUUCGCUUAGGAUUUUUUUAAGAUUAAUUAUUCUCAGUUAUUUUCCUUUAAAUUUACUUAAAAGCUUUUUUGUUUAAAGCAAUCAUAAUUAAUUCACAUGAAUUGUGGUAUGGAUUUUUCCAAGUAAGACCCAAAUCGCUGACUUGAGCAUCGGAGGGUUCUUGCCAGAAAAACUUUCGGCACUUUCUGACUGUUGGUUGUGCUCACAGGCUCACAGGUUAUCUGCUCAUGAGUUCUCUGCUCAUGGAUCGUCUGCUCAUGGAUCAUCUGCUCAUGAAUUGUCUGCUCAUGGGUUGUCUGCUCAUGGAUUGUCUGCUCAUGGGUUGUCUGCUCAUGGAUCGUCUAUCCAUAGAUUAUUUGCUCAUGGAUUGUCUGCUCAUAGAAUAUCUGCUCAUAGAAAUUCUGCUCAUGGUGUUAACUAAUCAGCAGCUUCCCACCAAACAAAUUUAAUGCUGAUGCAGGGAUUUGAGAUUCGAUCCACUCAUCCGGAUUUCGGCAUCAACAGAUACAAUUAGCUGAAAUGAGGAUAUUAAAAAGAACACGUGCUCUAUUUAAUUGGUAGAGUAUUAAUGGAGCUUGUGUAAUUGUACAUUUACUGUUUUUUAAGGUUAUUUUUCAUAUAGUAGAAAGAUCAUAAAAUGUUUUUAUUGAAUUACACUCAUUUAAUGUAUGUAUGAUAUAUAUGCGUAUGAAUUAAAUAUAAAUAUAGAUAAAGGACAGUGUAUGCCAGCAAGAAAACUUUUUCUCUAGAUUGAAAAUGAUUUAAAAGAACCAUUUUUCUCCCACUAAUAUCUUCAAAAUCAUUAUUGUUAAUAACAGAACCCAAAAAAUAAUUAAAUAAUCUCUUGUUUAAUAUGUUGCAUGCUUGCAGAAAAUUGCGGAUGAUUGAACCAAUAAUUCAACCUUUACUCCAUGAGCUUUAAACUAAUAAUCUGUCAUCAGUUAUUGUCUAAAUAAAGAAAUUUAUGAAUCGGUAUAAAAUGGGGUCCCAAAUCCUGACCUACAUUGAAAAUUAGGAUAUGAAAUUUGUAACAAAUCUUAUAUAGGGUUUGUAUCUCGAUUGUUAUCUGGAUAAUUUUGCCAGCCUAGGUUCACGUAUUAACAGUUAGAGCGGGAGAUCCCAAAAAAGGGUAUCUUGAAUUUAACCAAAUUCAUUAUAAGGAUAUAUGGACCCAUUUGAUUGCCUAAGGGAUCUCGAAUGAAAUUUUCAAACAUCUCAAAUCCUGCCUUGAUUAUUAAAUUGGAAGAAAACUAGAUCUUGAAUCUCAACUCGAAUAAUAAAUCAGAAUGAGAAAUUUUUAUCAAAUCUUGUAUCAUUUAGGACGGACUCCCAAAUUCCAAUCGAGAUUUGAGGAAUUUUGUAUUAGCAACUAGAGCCGAAGAUCCCAAAAAAUAUCUUGAAAUUAACCAAAUUCACUAUAAGGUAUGAACUCAUUUGAUUGCACCCUUAAAAAGUAUUACAGAUGACACCACACAAUCAUAUUAUUAAAACAAACCAAACCACACAUAUCCAGGCUUAGCAUGUAUAUAUAAGAGCACAAAAAAUAACUUCUUUCUCGUUAUAAAGGAGAACAGAAUCAGCUAGAAGCAGGGGAAUCAAAGUACAACAGAAAAUAAAAGAAAAAAAAUGAUACACAUUCAUUUGUUCAGCAAAAACCAAUGACUAUAAGGUGAGCAUGAGGCAUCAACCUUUAAAAUUGGACAGAAUAAGCUAAUUCCUUAAAAUUCACAUGCUAAUACUAUUUAUAAUUUCUAAGUCCAAAGUUUAAAAUAAUAGGUAGUAUUUGUUCAAAACAAGCAUUUAUAAUUAUUAUUCGGAUGAUUAUUUCAAGAAUCUAAGAUAAUAACAAUCCAGUAUUCAAGUUAUUUAUGAAUGAUUAGGGCUUAAAAUCUCCAUAAAAUUGGAGAUUCUGAAGAUUAGGCAAUAUGUCCCAGUUUCUAUUUCUUGUAUUUAGUCCUCUAAUGUAUCAACAAUCAAUGCUAGAAACCCAAUCCCCGAAAUUGAAUUAAAAAAAUAUAGAAAACAUAGAGCAAAUCAACAGUAGAUUCAGCAGCGAUGAUGCCUACAUCCAAACUUCUCUUCUAAUGGAAGUGAUGCAGAAUUCCCUUAAGAUAAUUAUGACCAUUAACAUGUAUUACACAUGGUACGACCAAACCACACACGUCCACACUGAACUGGAGUUUCAAGCACAUUACGAGAAUGAAGACACACGAAUAGAAUAUACACAGUGAAUCCAAAAACUUGACAUGAUUGCUUGUAGCAGAUCCUUGAAAACAAAGAAACCCAACAAUGUCCUGCAUCAAUCCUGAGGACUCAAUAAUGUGUAGACAACAGAAGUGAAUAUUGAAAGGAUCAAGGCCGGAUUCUAGUUGAAAUUGAAACUUUUGCUGCACUACAGUUGACAAAUUUCCCGGUCUGAUUUCACCUGCGCAAGUAAUUUAAGAUCUGAAAUUAUAGUUUUUCCUCACUGUUCAACGAUCAAUACACAAGGGUUCUGAAAUUAUAGUUUUUCCUGACUGUUCAACAAUCAAUACACAAGGGAAAAUGGUCGGGGUCAACUUCAGGAUCUGUGAUGAACACUUCAUCUCUAAUGUUGAGACAAAAAUUAGAAGCAACCACAAUUAGAAAACACUUUAUAGCAUUAGGAAGCUGCGUACUAUCAAAUAUAUUGAGGAAAAGAAAAAACAUAUGUAUGAAAUUAGAUUAAUAAUUAAAGGUUGAUGAUAUUGCAUAAAAUGAAAAACUUACAUCUAAUUAAAUCCAUGCGAAUCAAAUUCCAUAAGGAUAUACUUGAUUGUCAUACUGCGCCUUAUCCUCAAAGUCUCGUAGCUUUUGUCUCAGCUUCGGCUAAGGCCUCGAAUUUGUUUAAGCUCUUUAUGCACCAAAGCUAUUCAGGAAUCUUUUUCCAGUAAGCACAAGUAUUGAGAAUCAAGCAUUCUAGUUUUGGCCUGGCUCCAAGCCUCAUGGUCCACUCCUCUAGCCAUGGCAUUGAAUUCAGGUGCACUAUCUUGAGCUUUGGGAAACCAUCAGACCUACAAGUCAGCUAUCGACCUGAAUAUGAGUUUUGCUUCAGUUUGAGCACUUGAAGAAGUGGCAACUUUUCUAGUGUUCAAGUGCAGGCAUGGGAUCAUCCAUUUGUUCAGUAUUAGAGAAACUCAAGUGGAUUAGACUUUGACGAAGUAGGUAUUUGGCACAGACGAUUUUGGAGAGCCUUGGCAUCUUGCUUUCAUUCACCAUCUUCAAUGACUAGAUGCAUGAGUUUAUUCAUCUUCCAAAAUUCAUCUACAGUGUAUGAUCUAUUUAGCUAAAGGGCAUGGCUAUGGGGUACAGAUUCAGAGAUUUCUUAAUAAUGAUGAAGCCAGGCUUUUGAGGGAAGGGAUAUUCAGCUUCAAAUAUCAAAAGAAAUAAAGUUUCAAUUUUGGAUGGAAAUUGGCUGAGAACAAGAGAUCCCAAGUCCAUUACUCAACCGAUUUUCACCCAAUCUAUGGGGUCAAGGUGGUCGCUUUCUGAAGUACAACAAAGAAUGCAGGUGCGAGUCACAAUCAUCUAAGUAAGCAAAAUCACUCUGUUUUUAAAAAACGUACACACGUUUGACAUUUUUUCGCAAUUUACCUUUUUGAUCCAGGAUAGGGGAAAAGGUAAAUUUCGCUUUGAGAGCCAUUUGCAACAAUGAAGCCCAGCAACGACUACGAAUAGGGCAUGUGUUGAUUCUACCUCCAUCGCUUCUCUUCUUUGCAUCAACAAAGACUCUAUUCAUUAGUUGUUCCAAGUACUUCUCGGCAAUUGCCUCGCUAUUGUCUGGAAUGAAACCUUCAGAUAUCCACAACUGAUAUAACUGCCUGGUGGAUGUCUCUAGGUGUACAGGAAACAUAGAUAAGUAAGGAAAACAAAGUUUCAAGCAAAAAGGUAAACAACUCUCAAUGGUCCUCUAGUAGGCACUAAAUCAAGCCAAAUAUUCUGUCCACUUUUAAACUGAAAUGAGGUGACGAUAUGAAUUUCAGUGAGUGUUAUUAGUACUCCACUUCCAUUCUGAUUAUCCGGAAGUAUUUCUUGAAUAACAUCCCACACUUCAAUGCUUCACACAUCAUCAACCACAAUCAAAUACCGCUUGAUCAUUAGAUAUUCAUGAAGAAAUUUGUUUUCAUUUCAUAAUUUUUAUCCUUUAUUACACUCAACCUAGAUGAAGGCAUUAGAAACUUAAUAAUGAUAUCUAAUAUUUGGUCAUCAUCACCAUCAUAGCUGUAAGGCUUUGGAACCUAAGCGUGACAAUUAAAAUAAUGCUUCACAUCACUGCUGCAUUAAGCCUCUGCAGCAAAAGCCACAUUGCCCAACCCAACGCUAUCAAGAUGGCCACCACUGAAAGCUGAGGUGGCCCCUCUAUUAAUAUAUCUAACAACUCCUCCAUUUUGUCUUCUAGACCCACCGUGCCCCUAUGUCCUUGUUGAGUGAUGCUGUUGAGAAUGUGUCAAUGACCUUCUCAGAUUCAUAUGUAAAGCAAUUGAUUUCUGGUGCCAAGGUCUGGGUUGUCAAUUUCAUCUUCUCCUAUUUUUUUGCAGCAGAAGCUAGGACAUAUCAUAUUCAAAGUCCCUCAGCCAAGGAGUAACGAUUUCAACCUCGGCACAAAGGUUUUGAAUAGGUUGUUUUGCAGCAUCAGGCAAUGUGACUUCUUCGCUAGCUAACGUCCUUCUCAGCCUCUCUGAAAAUAGUCUGAAGUUGAUGCCCAUAUCUCCUCAAUCCAAAAAUUAGUGCUGGCUCCCAUGCCUCCCUUCUCUUAGCUAGUACUCCACCCAAGCAGUUGAAUCAAGAUUGCUGACUCUCAAAUUAGAACAGAUCAAGGCAGAGCAGUGCGGGAAAUGAAUCUCACGAUACUCAGUCUUCCAUAUGUUGCAAAAAGAAUAAAGCAAAGAGAAAUAACUACAACAUCAUCAAGUAUCAAUCAAGACCAAUUUGUUUUAUACAUCCACUGUCAAUAAAGAAAGGGUGAAAACAAUUCCACUGGGACCAUAAAGCUUAUCUAAAAAGAAAAGAACAGAGUAAGCACAAGAGCAUUAUCAAUUAUUUAACAAUUUAAGCUGUGGAAAAAUAGAAAAUCAUGCCUGCCACUUAUUAAAGAAGCAAUAACAUAGCAACGUCAUAAAAGCAAUGGAUACAAUCAUUGCUAUAUGUUGAAAUUAACUAACUUCACAAUCUGGACAUGAACUCAUUUGAUUGCAACCAUUAAGUAGACUUAUAGAUCACAUGACACAUGAUCUUAUAAAUGGACUAAACAUAACAAAACACACAUCUCCAUGUCCAGGCUUUGGUGGCUACAUAAUUACAAAACAGCAUGUAAGUAUAUAAAUACAGAAAAAAAUUAUAAGACACAAAAUUUGUUCACAAAGUAAGAAAUUACCUCUUGUUGAUGAGUCCAGAAAUGACCGAGGUGUAGUUUUAAUUGAGCUGACGAUCUUCCUCCACAUACAUCACCAUUUUUUCUUUUUUGGACGCAAUGAGACAUGACUUGGCAUCAUUGUCAUUGAAAUACACCAGAUAUUUCUAGAAUGCCUGCGAAUCUAAUUUAUUUCCAAACACACUUGAGAAUUGGGAUUGUCAAUAAAAGAUGAACAUUGAUCAUUGAUGUGUAGGUUUCAAGUAUUUUGUGUAUGAUGCGGAGAUAAAUUAGAACUCUACAUGACCAUCUGAAGAAUUUUUUCUCAAAUGAAUCUUUUGAGUUGGAAUUUAGACAGAUUCACUAUCUAAGUAUCUUGAAGCAGUGGAGAAUACAUAUGACAAAGGUUGAAGUAACUAAUUUUAUGAGCAGGAACUGAAAUGAUUUUGGCAUGAGAUUACAACAGGUGAUUAACAUAUAUGCUUCGUCUAAGGCAGCCUCAUUUUAAGUGUUAUUUCAUCAGGUCAACAAUCUUCAGGAGAAAAAUGAAUCAAGGGCAAUAAAGGAGGUGGUUGAUGCUAGUGAUUCCUGAGUGUAGCAGCAAAAAUAAAACUAAAUUGUAGAUUUGCUGUAGUCUUACAAUAGACUCACCCUGUCCUUGUCCUUGUCCUUGUCCUUCUUCUUAUACUGAUGAAUAUGAGGCCGAUGAUAUUUCUGUGAAUAAAGAAAAUGAUAAUAGAAAUGGAACCAUUGGGCAAAUGGUACUGCUGUACCGUACAUCCGCCUUGGCCGUACAGCAGCAUCAGUAUGAUAAAAACUGUAAAAAAAAAGGGCUUUCCUAGAGGUGUAAAUAUCAUGACCCUCACUAGAGAUACCAAGAAAGUCAGCUAGGUCCGCAUCAUCAAAUUCAAUAGGCACAUCGCCGACUUGAGUAACUAUCCUAUUUAGGCGAGUUGCGAAGAUUUCCAUGUUCGAAUAAAAGACUCGUACUAAGUUGGGAUAAACUCGGUCAUCAAAGUCAAUGGCAGACUCCCAAGGCUGAAGCAUAUCCCUAAUACUUCUACCACAUACAACUAAGGUACUGAAAUCAUCUAUUUCAACAUAAGAAGAGUCAAGUACCUUUCGACCAUUGAAGCGAUUCUCGAACCGCUUGGCCAAGGAAGGCAUGGCAAAACUUAAUUAAGGCAAAUGGGUAUUCAACCACGUUGAGUUUUAUUCAACGUGGGUAUUAAUGGAUGAAUGAUUUUGGUAGAAUUAAAGUUUUUUUUUUCCGUUUUUGUUUCAUUUGUCAACUCCAUUUAAUCAAUUAAUCUCAAUGGCUAUAAGGAUCAUUUUUAAUGCAAACGGGUAUUUCUUUGCUGCAAAAGACGGCUUUGGUGUGAUUGUAAGGAAUUGAGAGUGAGCAGCACAUCCUGCGUGCCAUCAACUUCUUUGCACUACAGGCACCCUCUGCAUGCUGUGAAGGGAAAAAUGUGAAAACCAUUGCAUGCUGUGGGGCUGCUAAUCAAUCAAUAGAGAAAGAAUUCAGUAAUCAAUUCUAGCAAAGCUUCCAAAACGUGCAGCACUAUAGAUUAAAUCUUCCACUUUCAGAACUUUACUCAUUAAUCUUCUGCUCCAAAUCACCAAUGAUUAGUGCUGGUUUUUUAUUUUACAAGGGCUUAAUCUCCAUAUAUCUGAAGACUAUGAAGAUUAGGCAAUAUGCCCCAAUUUCUUUUUGUUGUGUUUAAUCCUCUGACAGUACCAAGAUCAAACACCUUAGACCAUCUUUGAUUUGAUGUAUAAAGACUCGUUCUCCGAAAUCCAAACUAAAAAUUGAAUCAAAGUGCCUAAAUCCAGUGAAGACAAGGAUACAAGCUUUCAAGCUUUCACUAUUUCACAAAUCAAGGUUACCAGGAUGUAGAGCUUGUUACAGAGAACAAGAAUAUACAACUUUCUACUUUAACUCUCUCUCUCUCUCUCUCUCUCUCUCUCCAUAGCUUUGAUGAGAUCUGAGAAGAUGACCCAUCAACCAGCCUUAUAAACUAUGAUAAGGCCAUCUCUAACAAUCCCAGAAUUUUCCUGCACUUUUUUAACUAACCCCAACUGACUUUUGACCAGCAUUCUCGCCCUUAUAAUGACUGACACGUCGGUGAAAUUCCAAAAAACCGAACAACAAUGUCGUUCUGCCAGUGUUGAGAUGAUGAGAUGAGAUCAAAGCACAAAUACUUUUCUUCUAACUGAAGUACUAAGCUUGAAGUUGAACUGUACCGCUACUUAAAAACUAGAGAAAGAAAUAAAAUAAAAAUAAAAACAUAACAUAUAUCAAUUUGAAUGUUGACAAAUUGAAUACACACCAGUGAAACUGAAAAUAGAAAGUAAAACAAUUAAUCAGACUUUUGUACAAUAUAUUAAUCUGAACAUGACAUUAUUACUUUUAGCAUGCAAAUCCUUGACAAUUUGAAUGUUGACAAAUUGAAUACACACUAACUGAAGUACUAAGCUUGAAGUUGAACUGUACCGCUACUUAAAAACUAGAGAAAGAAAUAAAAUAAAAAUAAAAACAUAACAUAUAUCAAUUUGAAUGUUGACAAAUUGAAUACACACCAGUGAAACUGAAAAUAGAAAGUAAAACAAUUAAUCAGACUUUUGUACAAUAUAUUAAUCUGAACAUGACAUUAUUACUUUUAGCAUGCAAAUCCUUGAAAACAAAGAAACCAAACAACGUGUAGACAACUCAGCAGAAGUGAACACUGAAAGGAUGAAGGCUGGAUUCUGGUUGAAAUUGAAACUUUGGCUGCAGUACAGUUAAGAUAUUUUCCGCUGUGCUUUUACCUGCACAUACAACUGAUUGAAGAUCUUAUCAUACAGUUUUUAAUGAAUGGUGUCAGCAUCAGGAACUGUGAUGGACACUUCAAGUUUAUGUUGAGACAAAAAUUAGAAGCAACCACAAUUAGAAUGUAGAAAACACUUUAUAUUAUGAUUAUAGUUUAGGCAGCUGCAUACUAUCAAAUCUUUUGUGGAGAAAAAAAAAACUUUUAUAUGAAAUUAGAUCGAUAAUUAAAGGUUGAAGUUAUUGGGGAAGAAGAAAAAACUUACAUCAAACUCAAUCAGGGCUAAUCAAAUUCCGUAAGGAUAAAUCUGAACGCCAUACUGCUCCUUAUCCUUGAAUUCCCGUAGCUUUUGUCUCAGCUCUGGCUGAGGCCACCAGCAAUCGAAUUUGUUUAAGCUCUUUAUGCACCAGAGCUAUUCAGGAACCCUUUUUAAGUAAGCACAAGGGUUGAUAAGCACGCAUUCUAGUUUUGGCAUGGCCCCAGUCCCCAUAGUCCACUCCUCUAGCCAUAGCAUUGAUUUCAUGUGCAAUACCUUAAGCCUUGGAAAACCAUCAGAACCACAAGUCAGCUUUCUACCUGAAUACGAGUUUUGCUUCAGUUUGAGCACUUGAAGAAGCGGGAGCUUUUCUAGUGUCGGCAUGGGAUCAUCCAUUAGGUUAGUAUUAGAAAAACUCAAGUGGGUUAGACUAUGAGGAAAUAGGUAUUCAGCAAGGAUGAUUUUGGAGAGCCGUGGCAUCUUGCUUUCGUUCACCAACUUCAAUGACUCGAGGCAGCUCAAUCUGCAAAUACUUUGGGACAACAAAAAUUGAUAAUAACUUAAAUCUCCCCAUAUGCAGAGAUUUCGAAGACUAGGCAGUCUGCCCAAUAUAUCUUCAGUACAGCAGCAAGGAUGCAAGGCCGAAAUGAAAUUGACAUUUUCCAGAGAGCCGCAAUAUUUUCCUGGACGUGCAGGAAGUAUGAUUGAGCCAAAAUUUAGAUGCCUGAGUUUGUUCAUCUUCCAAAACUCAUCUGCUGUAUGAUCUAUGUCGCUAAAAAGCAUAUUGAGUGUGUACAUGUUCGAAAGAUAGUUGAAAAAUGAUGAAGGAAGGCUUUUCAGGGAAGGGAUAUUCAACUUCAAAUAUCUUAAAAGAGAUAAAUUUUCAAUAUUGGACGGAUAUUGGUUGAGAACAAGGGAUCCUAAGUCUAAUACUCUGAGAAGUUUGUACAUUUCACAAAUUUUCUGCCAAUCUAUGGGGUCAAAGUGGUCGCUUUCUGAAGUGAAGUACAACAAGGAAUGCAGGUGCGGGUAAUAAUCAUCUAAGUAAGCAAAAUCGCUCUGUUGUUCUAGAGCACAGAAACGUUUGACAUUUUUUCGUGAUUCACCUUUUGCAUCCAGGGUAGGGGAAAAGACAAAUUCAGCAUUCAAAGCCACUACAAGCAAUGAAGGCCAACAACGACUACGGAUAGAGCAUGUGUUGAUUGUGCCUCCAGCUCUUCUCUUCUUUACUUCAACAAAGCCUCUAUUGAUUAGUUGUUCUAAGUACUUCUCAGCAGUUGCCUCGCUGUUGUCUGGAAUGAAACCUUCAACUAUCCACAACUGAUAUAACUGCCUGGUGGAUAUCUCUAGGUGUGCGGGAAACACAGGUAAGUAAAGACAACAAAGUUUCAAAGGAAAAGGUAACAUGCAAUGUGCGACGGAUUGAAGGAAAAGGGGCUUAUCAAUUGCUUCCCUUUUAUUUUCUUCUAAUGAGAUGCUUCCAUGGUAUAGGAUGUGGAAAGGCCAUCCUUGGUAUGUCACUCGCAAUGGUCCUCCAGUUGGCACUAAAUCAAGCUGAAUAUUCUGUCAGUUUUCGAACUGAAAUAAGAUGACGAUAUCAAUUUUAGCGAGCGUUAUUAGUACUCUAUGUUGAUGCUGAAAUCUGCUCGCCCUUUGCCCGACAAGAUUUUUACACUAACGUUCACGUUAUCAAUAAUGAAGAUAUCAAUUCCUUCUUACUUCAACGAUUGCUCCAGCCACUGAAGUUGGAGUUGUCCCUUUUUUUCUCACUAAGCCUGCGUUCACAAAAGUGGAUCAGAGACACCGGUGGUUUUGCCGGCGCAAACCCUCUGAUGCCUAAGUUAGCUAAAGGUGUUUAUGGGAAAACGGUGCAAUUAGGGUUCAAAUAAUUUCUUAGAAUUAGCUCACUCUCGGUAUUAAAAAGCGUCUGGAUACAAUUUGGCAGAGUUUUCCCUUCUCUCAUUUUUUCUUCCCUUUUCUUCAUUGAUUUCUUCUUCUUUUAUAGCCGCUGUCCCACGUUCCUGUUUAGCCUUAAUCCCUCCUUUUUCGGGUGGUGGCAGCCCCUCAUGGGACUCUAACUGCUACAUUAUGGGCAAACGUGGGAUCUCGCGUCUCCCGCAACGGUUCUGGAAAAAGCGCAACUACCGUGAUUCUGUGGGAUCGUGUUCCCACUUUUUCGGGGGAUGGGUAUCGGCUCGGUAUAUACCUCUGGUCAGUAUACUCCCCUGGUUGGUACUCGUCUCUAGUCUGCUCAUAUUUGUCCCCGUGUUCUGCUCGUACCAUUUGGCUGAGAUGAUCCAUGCCGGGGCAGAAAUAGUAGCAUGGCCGACCUGAUGCUUUUAUUUACUUAACACCAGUCCCCCAGUUUAUGGUCUUGCAAGUGAAAUGAAUUAAGAAUAGAAACUGAUAGUCAAAUGUUACCAACCCGGGGGCUUCUCAUCUGGUCUUCUAUUUACCGGGACGGACCUGAGGUACCAUUUUUCUUCUGGGGAGGUUCCGACCUGAGCAUGGGCCUUAAUGAGCAUAUCCAUUGCAUAUCUGGGCUUGCAUCUAGCCUGGCCUCUUGUAACGGUUAGUGACGUGGCAUCUCCAGACUGUUCGUAUUUGAAAUUUGAAACGACGGGCUAUUCGUCCUCGAUAUACGGUAAGUGAGCUGGCAUCUUUAUCACUUAAAUGCUUUCAUUUCCUCCUUUUCGUUUCAAAUCCCUAGACUUACAUCAUCAUCGUUUUGUUAUUCGUCUCUCCGUCGUUAACCUACCCCCUCUUUGAACUUUACUUACACUUCCCGUGUUCGGAGUAUCUACUUGCUGGGUUUUUUCUCUGUCACGGCAGCGCUAUCAGGGCCAGUUCAUUCCAGGUAUUGCUUUUAAUCUCUUCCCUGGUUGUUGUUGAUUGGGUUCUGUGUUGCCCCCUUUUGUAUCCGUAUACUUGAGUUUUCUUUGUUUUCUUUUGGGAUUCUGAUAUGUCAAAUCGGAAAAGGAAGUUAAUUGUUGAUGAGAGUGAUGAAGAAACAGGGGAUUCAGACCUUAACGUGUCAAUACCCACCGAUUUCUUAGGUCCCUCCAGUAGUGUAGGUCCUUCCCAUGGCAGGGAUAUCCUUGAAUACCCACGCCCCCUGACCAUUUCGCCUUCCCCUGAAUUAGAGCUUGUGGGGAAUAGAGGUGGACCCACAUCCAGCUCUGGUGAAGAUCACAGUUAUGGUGGGGUUGGGGUCCCUGAAGAAGUGGGUGAUGGCGAGAGAAGCAGUUCCGAGCCGAGCGGACCCUCUAGGAAAAGGAACUUUGGCCACAUAGUGGAGGCAGAUUCUUACCCUAUUGAUUUCAUAGCUUGUGCCACCACCCCCACUGAUCUAUUAAAGCUUAGGAACCUCUACAACAUUCCUGAGGAGGUUCUCCUUGUAGUUCCUGGGAAAGGUGAUGUACCUAGUCGGCCUCCGAAGGGGUACGUGACGAUGCACUUGGAGAGUUUCAGACUAGGAGCUCGGCUGCCCCUUCAACGUUAUUUUGCCAAGAUAUUGGGUGGUAUGCACCUGGCCCCAGGUCAGCUACACCUAAACGGGUGGAGGGUUCUCUCGGCUAUGUUUGUGCUGUGGGAGAGGUGCGGGUCGGAGGAGCCUUCCCUUGUUGAAGUGAAGCAUCUGUACCAGCUGCGAAGCAGCCCAAAGGAGGCGGGCUGGUACUACUUCAUGUCCAGUUUUGCAAAGAGGAAACCGAUCACUGGGUUUCCUUCUUCAUGUAAGAAUUGGAAGAACAAAUUCUUCUUUGCUGGAGGAAACUGGUGUCCAGCAGUCCGGUCGCUUGGUGGGGAUAUUUACCUUCCAAUGCAUUUUAUCACCCCAGGUCGUUCAUUUUUGCCUAUAUUCUUAAUCAAAAUUGCUACUUAUUGAGUUCUUUAACCUUGUUUGUUUUUUUCAGAAUCUUGGGGUUUGGUUAAGGACCUUGAAGACCGACCCUUGCUCCAGGUUGAAACUACUCUGGUGAACGCGUCUACCUGCCAAGACCUGCUGUCACUAAUAAACUUGGUCGGUUCGGGCUUAGUGGACAUUGUUGCCUGGAUGGAUAACAAUAUCCUCAGUGCAAUGAGCAGAAAGCGUGGUCGGGCUCCGAGCAGCUCCAGCAACCCUCCUCCUCCUCCGAAGAAAGUCAGUGUUAGCCCUUCUAAGGCUUCUGUUCCUGCUCUGCCCCCUCCUCCACCUAGUAAGAGUGUCGGGGAGAAAACUAUUGACAAGAGUUCUGAGGUCAGUACACGCUCUGGGGACCGAUCCUCCCCUCUUCCAGCUCGUGAUCAGGGUGACUACCUGAUCCUGUAUCAGAGGGACUAUGGGAAGUCAGUGGGACCGAAGAUGGUCCAGGACAUUGAGAGCAUGAAUCUCAAUGAAUUAGUUGGUUCUGUCCAAAGGGUCUCCUUCAAGUUGGCCACUCUAGUAUCUUGUUACAAGAAUAGGAUCACGCGCCAAGAGAGGAAGCUCCAAGCUGAGAACCAGGACUUGAAGAAGAGGGUUGAGUCUGUUGAUCGCUCGAAGGAGAAGCUGGUCGAGCUGAACGGGUAGAUUAUGGAGCUAGAGGAGAAAGUUGCGGUUGCUGAGUCCACUUCCUCCAAACUUGAGGGUGAGUUGGGUGACCUGAAGUCUGAUCUUCAGGUUACUCAAAGUGAAAGAGAUACUCUGAGGACUGCCCUUGAGGGAGAAAUCAAAUCCUUGAGUGAGCAGCUGGCUGAGGAGAAAGGUAAAUCCGCUGACGUGGACGAUCGGCUGGAUGCCGAGUAUGACUCUGGGGUUGUUUUCUCCUAUAAGUGCAUCAUGUCUGUGCUUAAGGAAGAAUAUCCCGAGCUGGACAUGAGCAAGCUGGAGGCUGGAGUAUAUGGCAGAGAUCGGCCAGGCAGAUAAAGAGUAGGGUGAGCAGGAUCAAGUGGAGGCUCCUUUAGAUGGGGUGCAGGAGGGGGAAGUUGGGGGACAUGCUUUUGAAGUGGGACAAGGGUCCGUGCCUCCUCCUCCCGGUAUUGCUGAUCUUCCACCUCCAGAGAUAGCUGAUCCUUCACUUGCUAAAGCCGUUGACCCUCCUAAUCCUUAGGUCUAUUUUUGUAUAGACUCUAGAUUUUCAUUCGUUUUGUAAACAUUUAAAUGCUUAUAAAUUUUUAGAUGUUCUUUACUGGCUUUCUUGUCUGGUUUUUGCUCAUGGAUUGUUUCUGCAAAUUAAUUUGACAAUUUAUCUGAUUUUGCUUGUUGGUUCUUUAGUGGACCGAGUAGGAAUAUGCAUCCGCUUGCCUUAGUAAAUUUUUGCAAAAUUGCCUGUUGGUCGUUUGUUGACCGAUCAAGAGCAGGCACUUACUUGCCUUAGUAGAAUUUUCGUAAAAUUGGCUGCUGGUCUUUCGUUGAUCGAGCAUAAGCAGGCACUUACUUGCCUUUGUAAAAAUUUAUUGAAAUUGCCUGCUGGUCUUCGUUGAUCGAGCAGGAAUAGGCACUUGUUUGCCUUUGUGGAAAUUUCGUAAAAUCGCCUGCUGUUCUUUCGUGGGCCGAGCAGGACCAGGCACACACUUGCCUUGGUAAGAAUUUCAUAAAUUUAGCUGUUGGUCUUUCGUUGACUGAGCAGGAGCAGACACUUACUUGCCUUAGUAGAAUUUUCAUAAAUUUAGCUGCUGGUCUUUCAUUGACCGAGCAGAAGCAGACACUUACUUGCCUUAGUAGAAGUUUCGUAAAUUUAGCUGCUGGUCUUUUCGUUGACCGAGCAGAAGCAGGCACUUGCUUACCUUAGUAGAAUUUUCAUAAAUUUAACUGCUGGUCUUUCGUUGACCGAGUAGAAGCAGACACUUACUUGCCUUAGUAGAAUUUUCGUAAAUUUAGCUGCUGGUCUUUCGUUGACCGAGCAGAAGCAGACACUUACUUGCCUUGGUAGAAUUUUUUUUUAUUGGGUUUGCUAGCAGGGGGAUUUCGUGCUGAAUUCAUCUUUAUUGAAAUUUGAAUGCAUUACAGGAACACAGAAUAUAUGUAUGUGCAACAAGCCAUCAUGCAUUUAAUAGAAAUAACUUAUGAAGACUUAGUAGAGCACUUUGCUUACUGGAAAUACUUCUUCAAGUGCUCGGCGUUCCACAACCUCUUUACGUCUCGUCCAUCUGUGUACACUAACUUAUAAGCUCCUGGUCCAGUUGCUCGUAUCACCCUGUACGGGCCUUCCCAUUUCGGGCCAAGAGCGCCAUGGUUGGGAUCCCUGGUGUUUUGGUUCACCUUCCUAAGCACCCAAUCUCCUGGUCGGAACUGCCUCACGCGUACGUUCUUGUUGUAAUAACGCGUGACCCUUUGCUGACAUUGGGCCACUUUCUGCGAGGCCCCUUCCCUUUUCUCCUCCAGCAGGUGCAGGCUCAAGAAGAUCUGCUCGCCAUUUUGCUCCUCAUUGAAGUAUUCCGUCCGAUGUAUUCGUACUCCAAUUUCUGCUGGGACUACCGCCUCAUGACCAAAAGCUAAGGCAAAUGGGGUUUCCUCUGUAGCGGUUUUGUGAGUUGUCCGGUAAGCCCACAGUACCCCUGGUAGCUCGUCAACCUAAGCUCCCUUCUUCUCUCCCAGUCUAGUCUUCAGGAGUUUCUUUAUCACUUUGUUGGCUGCUUCCACUUUUCUGUUUGCCUGGGGGUGUGCGGGGGUGCAGAACUUCAGGUCCACCCCUAGGUUCCGGCAAAAUUCUCUGAAGUUGUUGUCAAAUUGCCUUCCAUUGUCGGUGAUGAUGGUAUAAGAGAUUCCGUAUCUGCAGAUGAUAUUCUUCCAAAUAAAAUCCGUUGUCUUUCUCUCCGUGAUUUGGCUAAGGACCCCCACUUCUAUCCACUUGGUGAAAUAGUCUAUUGCUACAAUUGCAUGGGUUGCCGCUCCUCGGCCUUUCAGUAACGGACCAAUCAGGUCGAUUCUCCAUUGAGCAAAAGGCCAUGGGGAUGUCAUAGUGGUGAGCUUUUCUGGGGGUUGUGCGGGAACCUCUGAGAAGCUUUGGCAGAUUUUGCAACUCUUUGCCAUCCUUUUCGCAUCCUGGUGCAUGGUCGGCCAAAAGUAUCCUUGCCGGAGUGCCUUGAAGGCUAAAGUUCUUUCUCCUGAAUGAUUUCCACAUAUUCCUUCAUGAAUCUCCCUUAGUACAUAGUCUGCCUCCUCAUCAUCCAAACAUCGCAAAAGGGACAAGGUGAAUUCUCGGCGAUAGAGCACCCUAUCGAGCAGUGCAUACCUCGCUGCUCGGCGUUUUAACUUUCUUGCUUGCCUUUUGUCCUCCGGUAAAAUGCCAUCGCGGAUGUAUGCGAGAAUCGAGUCCAUCCAAGAUUCUUCGAUGCUUAUUCUCAUUACCUCUACUUCCUCUCCUAUACUCGGCGAGGCCCUCAUCUUUAGUGGAACUGACUUAGGUAAUUUGGGAUCUACUGUUGCAGCCAUUCUUGCCAACAUGUCUGCUCGGUAAUUUUCAUUCCAGGAUAUCUGCUUCACCUCUACCUUUUUGAAGAGUUCAACCAUUUGUUUCGCCUUCUUCAAAUAAAGCCCCAAUUUCUCUUCCCUUACUUGGAAUUGAUCACUGAGCUGAUUACAUAUUAGCUGGGAAUCUGCUUGGAUUUCUACUCUUUCUGGGCUUCGGAUUAUAACUCCUGCUCUAGAUCCCUGUUCACUACGUGACCCAUCAACCAUUACCAGCCACACCCCCUUUGGAUCCUUCUGUUCCACUAGUUGUUCCUCCUGGACCUCUUCCCCUGGUUCAACACGGUCAACCAUAAAAUCAGCCAGGGCUUGGGCCUUGAUUGCUCCUCGGGGCCUAUAGGACAGGUCGAAUUCGCUCAGCUCCAUGGACCACUUUACUAACCGCCCUGAUGCAUCUGGUUUUUGGAGCAUUUUCCGGAGAGGUUGGUCGGUCAUCACAAUUAUCGGGUGGGCCUGAAAAUAUGAUCGCAGUUUUCGUGCUGCCGUUUUUAAAGCCAGUGCCCAUUUCUCCAUCAAUGGGUACCUAGUUUCUGCGUAUACCAGGGCUUUGCUAGUGUAAUACACAGGGUGUUGCUUCCUUUCUUUUUCUCGGACUAACACUGAGCUGGUGGCCCAUUUUGAGAUUGCCAAGUAUAAAAACAGUUGGUCACCUUCUCUCGGAGUUGAUAGUAAUGGGGCGUGAGCCAGAUAUUCCUUCAGCUGCCCAAACGCUUCCUCACAUUCUGAUGUCCACUCCAUCUUUCUCCCUUUCUUUAUGGUUUCGAAAAAAGGGUGGCAUUUAUCUGUGGCCCGCGAGAUGAAUCGGUUCAAUGCUGCCAAUUUCCCUGUAAGGCUCUGCACCUCCUUAACUGUUCGUGGGGACCUCAUUUCUGUUACCGCCCGUAUUUUUUCUGAGUUGGCCUCGAACCCUUGGUGGCUCACCAGGAACCCCAAAAAUUUGCCAGAGCUGACCCCAAAUGCACAUUUCUCCGGGUUUAGCUUCAUUCCAUACUUCCUCAGUAGUUCAAAGGUCUCUUCCAAAUGUUUCACGUGAUCACUCGGUUCUUUGGACUUUGUGAUCAUAUCAUCCACAUAUAUCUCCAUAGUAUGACCGAUCAAUUGCUUGAAGAUCUUGUUCACCAACCUUUGAUAGGUGGCUCCUGUAUUUUUCAGGCCAAAAGGCAUCACCCUGUAGCAAAACAAACCCAUGUUAGUUAUAAAGGUGGUGUUUUCCUCAUCCUGCUCGUCCAUGGGUAUCUGGUUGUAUCCCGAAAAGGCAUCCAUGAAGCUGAGCAGACUGUGACCCGCUGUUGAGUCCACCAAUUGAUCUAUCUUUGGUAGGGGAAAACUGUCAUUCGGACAUGCCUUAUUAAGAUCUGUGAAAUCCACACACAUCCUCCAUUUUCCGUUGGCCUUCUUUACCAGUACUACAUUGGAAAUCCACUCUGAGUACUUGGCCUCCCUUAUAAAUCCUGCUUUCAAUAGUUUCUCCACCUCGGCAUUUAUGGCCUCGUACCUUUCCUAGUUAAAGCAUCUUCUCUUCUGCUUCACCGGCCUCGCCUCAUUCUUGAUUGCCAACUUGUGGCAAGCUACCCCGCGAUCAAUUCCUGGCAUAUCCUCGUGAGACCAGGCGAAUAUAUCUGCAUGAGACUGUAGGCACUUUACCAGCUCGCCUCUUACUGUCCCAACCAAUCCUGAACUGAUCUUAACCACUCUGCUCGGGUUGCUUUUGCUUACCGCAACUUCUUCCAGUUUCUCAACGGGUUCUUGGCGGCCCUUUUUAGACUCUCCUCGGUUAUCUAGAGAAGUAACCUGUAGUGUCUCCUUGGCCGCUGUAGCAUAACAACUCCUUGCCAUUCUCUGGUCGCCUUUUACUACACCAACCACUCCAUUUACUCUGUAUUUCAGUGCCAGAUAAUGCGUAAAUACAACGCAUUGGCUUAUCCUCAUGAAGGGUCUCCCCAGUAUCAUCUGGUAAGGGCUUCUUUCCUCUACCACGACAAAGUCCAGCAUCAUCGUUCUUUCAAACGGCUUUGUCCCCACAGUAAUUGAGAGUUCGAUGAUCCCCAUGGGAGUUAACCGUCCCCCUCCAAAUCCCUUUAAGGAUGUAUUUGUCCGUUCUAAUUUCAAGUCUGCAAUUCCCAUAUCAUCUAGGGCCGACUUAAACAGGAUGUCAACCGAGCUGCCCGUGUCUACCAGUAUUCGUCCCAAUUCUGUACCAGCCACCAUUGCCUUAAUCACCAGUGCAUCCUCAUGAGGAUAUAAGAUACCCUCUUCAUCGUCAUCUGUCCAUAUAAUGGGAACUUGCCGCACUUUUGCCUUCUUGGUUGCUGGCAAAUUGAAAAGCACCUCUUUGCUAGUCAUGGCGUAUCUCCCAUAGUUCUUCCGUGCCUUGUUCGAAUCCCCAGCCAAUGUUGGCCCUCCUGCUAUCACACGGAUAGUCGGCUGUUCACAUUCCAGGCCCCUCUCAGCUCCUUCAUCCCGCGUGUACUGUGAUUCAAUGACGGAGGACACCCCAUCUACAUAUUUAUCCAAAUAACGGUUUCUCACCAAAUCCUCCACCUGGAUCUUUAAGUCACGACAUUGGCUGAUUGUGUGACCGUGAGUGUCGUGAAAUUUGCAAAAUCUGCUCUUAUCCCGUCGGUGAGCAGGUUUUGUUAUAGGGGUUGGAGGGUACAACAGGCCUCGUCCCUCGAUUCUCUCGUACAACUCCUCCAUAGGGACUUUUAACGGGGUGUAUUGUCUAUACGCUGAGCUCUGGUCAAUUAGCUGGACUACUCGGCUAUUAUGAAUAUUGUCCCAAGCGGAUAUUGAAGGUAGCUGACCUGAUCGUCCCGUUCUGGAGUUGGCCGUGUGUAGUGCUUUGGGAGCGUUGUGAUAAGGAUGGUUAGCCAACUGCCGGAAUUCUCGUUGCCGCUCCAGGAAUGGGGGGCGCGGGGGCUGAGCCCUGUUGCGGUCUCUGAGCCAUGGGGUAAGGGCGAGACCGAGCUGAUACCGCACCCAUCAUUGAGGAUUCCCCAGCUCGCUUUCCCGACUCGCUCCCACUUGGGGUUCUCUUUUCCUUUCGUCUCAGCUCCUCCAGCUGUUCACUCUUUAUCCUUGCCGAUUUUUCCUCUUCAAUUUCAAUGUCUCUCUUUGCCUGCUCAUACCUCGCUGAGUAAUUCUGCACCAGGAGACUUCUCAGGUUAUACCAUAGCCAGCCUAUCCUCACACCCUCCUUUAAUCCGCUUAACGCCUGCGGGUGAUUGAAAGCUCCCAAAUUAAACACGGCUCGGUGGUAUCGUUUUACAAAAUCUCGAAGGGAUUCUUGUUCCUCCUGCUUCAUCCCCAUUAGUUCCAUCAUAUCAUCCUCUGGGGCCAUUGCUCCUCGGAACUGUUCGACUAACUCUUGGCACAUCUGCUCGUACCCUCUAAUACUUCCUCGUGACAGCUUGCGGUACCAUUCUCGAGUUCGUCCCUCCAGUGUCAAUGGGAACACCCUACACCUCUGAGCUGGUGUUAACCCCUGAACACCCGUCAUGUCGUUGAAACGUUCAAUAUGCACCAGUGGAUCACUUCGCCCGGAGUAUUUGAGGUCGGGGAAGCGAAAAUCUCUUGGGAUUACAAUACCCAUGAUCUCAAUUGAUAGUGGAGAUUCUUCAUCUAGCAUUAUCCUCCAGCUCGGGGGCUUUCUCUUGCCUUGUAUCUCCUCUAUCACUUGCGCUAAUCUGCGCACCUCUCCCUCCAAUUCUACAGCACGGUCAGGAUCACGCGCAGCUAUCUGAUCUCGCUCCUACUCGGCAUUUUGCAACCCCUGUCUGAGCUCUCCUUCAUCAAUACUGGCCCCUCGGCCAUCAGUUUUCGGUACCCAUCUAGGGCGAGGUUGGUCCCUCCCUUCAUCUACUCGUUCUCCUGGAACCCGACUAGUGCUUCUGUGGGGAUGCACCCCAUUAGGUUGGUCUGCCGGCGGAGGGAUUUCCUCAACUCUACGCCUCCGGAGGCUGGGUUCUGCUCCAACAUCAUCUCUUCCUACGGGGGUUUCACAAUCCUUUCUCCGCUCAUCCCUCAGCUCAUACAGUAUGGUCGCGAGAGUCUCCAUUUGUUUCUUCAUCCGCUCCAAUCGAUCUUGCAUCAUCCUCUCCCGGGCUUCAUUUGUAAUUUCCCAGAGAGUGAUUGUCUCCACAGUUUCAUUAUCCUCCCUCAAAGCAUCCUUCCUCGGCACAUCCAUGUCUAAUCGUUCGUUGCUUCUCCGGUAACUACUAAUUCAGUGGUAGCUUUUUAUCCAGCUCCCCACAGACGGCACCAAAAUGUUGAUGCUGAAAUCUGCUCGCCCUUUGCCCGACAAGAUUUUUACACCAACGUUCACGUUAUCAAUAAUAAAGAUAUCAAUUCCUUCUUGCUUCAACGAUUGCUCCAGCCACUGAAGUUGGAGUUGUCCCUCUUUUUCUCACUAAGCCUGCGUUUACAAAAGUGGAUCAGAGACGCCGGUGGUUUUGCCAGCGCAAACCCUCCGAUGCCUAAGUUACCACAAGGUGUUUACGGGAAAACGGUGCAAUUAGGGUUCAAAUAAUUGCUUAGAAUUAGCUCACUCUCGGUAUUGAAAAGCGUCUGGAUACAAUUUCGCAGAGUUUUCCCUACUUUCCUUUUUUCUUCCCUUUUCUUCAUCGAUUUCUUCUUCUUUUAUAGCCGCUGUCCCACGUUCCCAUUUAGCCUUCAUCCCUCCUUUUUCGAGUGGUGGCAGCCCCUCAUAGGACUCUAACUGCUACAUUAUGGGCAAAAGUAGGAUCUCGCGUCUCCCGCAACGGUUCUGGAAAAAGCGCAACUACCGUGAUUCUGUGGGAUCGUGUUCCCGCUUUUUCGGGGGAUGGGUAUCGGCUCGGUAUAUACCUCUGGUCAGUAUACUCCCCUGGUUGGUACUCGUCUCUAGUCUGCUCAUAUUUGUCCCCGUGUUCUGCUCGUACCAUUUGGCUGAGGUGAUCCAUGCCGGGGCGGAAAUAAUAGCAUGGCCGACCUGGUGCUUUUAUUUACUUAACACUCUACUUCCAUUCUGAUUAUCCGGGAGUAUUUCUCGAAUAAUAUCCCACACUUCAAUGCUCCACACAUCAUCAAUCACAAUCAAAUACCGCUUGGUCAUUAGAUAUUCAUGAAGAAUAAUUUUUUUCAUUUCAUAAUUUUUAUCCUUUAUUUCACUCAACCUAGAUGAAGGCAUCAGAAACUUAAUAAUGAUAUCUAAUAUUUGGUCAGCAUAGCAGGUGUAAGGCUCUUGAACCCAAGCAUGACAAUCAAAAUAAUGCUUCAUAUAGUUGCUGCUGUAAGCCUCUGCGGCGAAAGCCGUCUUGUCCAAUCCAAUGCUAUCAAGUAUGGUCACUGCGGAAAGUUGAGGUGGUCCUUCUAUCAAUAGAUCUAACAACUCCUCCAUUCUAUCAUCUAGACCCACCGUGUCCCUACUUUUAGAAGAUGAAGAUAUACCGGCUUCAGCUUCAAAAGUUUUGAUGGCAUCAAUGAUUUCGGAAUCCGUGUGCUCAAGUUGUUGCAUCCGUUGCUUAAUAUCAGUGAUUCUGCUUUGGGGUCCUUGCAGAGCAUUACAAAUGUCCUUGCUGCCGCUGCUUUGACUCUUUUGUUCACUGAUGCUGUUGAUGAAUGUGUUAAUCACCUUCUCAGAUUCAUACGUAAAGCAAUUGAUUUCAUCCAUAAUGUUCCCGAGAUCAGGGUCAUCAAUUUCAACUUCUCCUAUUUUUUGCAUCAGAAGGCAGGAGAUAUCAUCUUCAAAUUCCCUCAGCCAAGAAGUAACGAUUUCAGUCUCGGCAUGAAGGUUCUGAAUAUGUUGUUUUGCAGCAUCAAGCAACGUGACUUCUUCACCAGCUAACACCCGUCCCAGCCUCUCGGAAAAUAGCAUGAAGUUGAUGUCCAUAUCUCCUCCUCUCUCGGUACCACCCUGUAAUCAGUCCUGUAGCAUGCAAAGAAAUAGUUAAAAACAGAGAGUUGGAAAGAAACUUUGCUUUAAACCUCCCCUACCUCCGUUCUCUUAGCUAGUACUCCAUUCAAGAAAUUGAAUUGAGAUUGUUGACUCUCAAAUUAGAACAGAUCAAGGCAGAGGACUACGGUAAAUGAAUCUUACAAUACACUGUUCUCCAUAUGUUGUAAAAAGAAUAAAGCAUAAGAGAAUAAAUAGGUCUUGAUCAAGGAUCAAUCAAGACCAAUAUGUAUUAUACAUCCACUUUCAAGAAAGAAAAGGUCAAAACAAUUCCACCGGGACCAUAAGGCCUAUUUGAAAAGAAAAGAACAGAGCAAGAUCUUUAGUAAUUUAAGCUGUGGAAAAAUGCAAAAUCACGUCUACCACUUACUGGCGUGCAAAAAGUUUUAUGUAUCCACUGAAACAUUUAUUGUUGAUGAAUGAAACUGGUCUUAGGUUGACCUACACAACUCUUUCUCUCGGUACUCCAGUAGUGCAAGCAUGUUAGUUUAGUCAGUAGUUUCUCCUACACAUAAAUGAUGUUUAUUAUAGAAUUUUGAUAAUGGGUACAAUAAGAAAGUAGUUGCAAAGAAAAUAUUGGGGGUUGAUGUGAUAUCUAUUGACUUGGAGCAUAAUAAAUAAUUACAAAAUCACUAUUUGUCUUUAAUUUUCAUCAUACUCCUUAUUAAAAAAUUAUUAUGAUUACAUAGUCAGUGAUUUAUAUUCACAGAAGACAAAAGUAAUGAAUAAAUAAGCUACCACUUGCAAUUAAUAAAAUGGUAACCCUAUCUGGUAAGGUAGCCCUGUUCAUUGAAAGCAAAAGCAACAGAAUCGUUCACUGUGCUGCCACAAAAUGAUUGUCAUGGAAGGCACCAAAGUUUCCAAGUAACAGACAAAGUCGAAGUAGUUAGCACUAUGAAGCGAGGCUGAAAAUCUUGUUCCUCACGUUAAAUAAUAUUUAAUAACGACCUACUGCUAAUCAUUGUGUUUGUUAAUCUCUGCCUUAUGCCUUAGCUUUAAUAGCAUCUCCAUGUAAUCCUCCCAACCCACUACACGGGAUCAGAGUAUUAGCCAAACAUGUACAUAGAUAACUACUCUCUGUUUCAAUAACUUGUAAUCUUAUCUUAUAUCUCUUUACCGUUAUCUUGUAAUUAUCAUAUAGGCUAUGGCUUAGCUUGUAUUUAUCUUAUAGGCUAUGACUUAUCUUAUAGUGUUUGGCUUAUCAUCCAAGUAUGCUUGACUUGUAUAAAUUGUAACGUUACUCAUUGAUAAAUUAUUGAUUCAUACAAUUUCUUUACAGAGUCAGGCAAGUAUGAAGUUCAUCAAUAAUCAAAUCUCUUCUGUAAAUGAACAAAGCAUAUUGAUUGAGUGCCUAACUGUAGCAACUGGAGUGCUUAAAACCAGAGAUACCUCAGUUGCUGCCCAAUAUCACAAUCCAAUCAAUCAAGAUGCUACCAAGAAUGAACUAAUUUGAAGCUCAAUUGAAAAUGGAAUUGAAACAAGAUAAUGAUGAAAGAACAAAAAGCAAUUAAGAUCAAAUUGAAUUAAAGAAUUGAAAGAACCAACAGAGGAAAAAUCAAUUCAACGUGGUUCAACUAAUUUGCAUUAGCUUGCAUCCAUGGGAGGAAAUUUUUGAUCAGUUUUUAUAGAAAAUACAUUAAUCCCACUUAAUCCAAGACUAGAAAGCAUCACAAACAUUCUUUAUUUUUAUACACAGUCAACUCUCUGCUGAAAUGAAAUCUCUUACUUAAUGAGUACACAGCUGAAACAAAGACAACUGGAAUUACUUUUCAAAUUUGAUACACUGCUAAUAAUAAUGACAAUAUUAAAAUGUGGCAUGUGUUGAUUCUGCUGCCUCAAAGCUUCACUUGAGCUAGCCCUUAAUCUACUGAUUCACCUCACACGAUUUUUGUAACUUGAUCUAAGAAUCAAGUAUGAGUUUGAUAAAUUUCAUGAGAUAGAUAGCAUAAAUUUCAAAGUCGUUAGUUAAUUUGUUAUGAGAUAUCAUAUCACAAACAUAUUUUAUUAGUUUAAAUGAAGCUUAAUAAUUAUUCAACGAGGAUUUAAUUAGUUAAUUGUUUAAAUUUAUUCUUAAUGGAAUGCUAACAAACCAAAUUAAAUUUCUACAUUUAUUUAAUUAUAUACAUGCAUAUCUUGAUAACUAUUUUAACGUGUGAUCCAAUAUAGAACAUAAUUUAAUCUUGAAUUUUGCUCUGAAUAUUUUUAUAGUUGAUUUGUUAUAAAUUUGAACGAGGGAUUGCAAUUACUUGCUCUUUUAUAAAUAUUUUUAUACCGUAGGCAAUAGUUAUAAAGAUUGAUUAUUGAUGAACUUCACACUUGCACACAAAAUUCUAUUAUUGAAAGUCGAUGCUUACUAUAACACGGCGUUUUUCUAGCUUUUACUAGACGUGGUUUCAAUUUAUUGAACCAUUAGAGGGACACAUCAGUAGUCACAAAAGUGCCCCUGUAAAUGGCAAUCCUUGUAAUCAUUUUGCUGCCGCUCUUCAUUCCACUCCCAAGUACGCAGCCCAAACUUCAACUUUCUUUGGGAAGGUAAUGAAGCGUGACUUUGUCUCAGUAAUCUGUCUUUCAUAUUCCAUUGAAUGAGCCAAAGGAGGGAUGCUUCUAUAAUUAGUAGCAACUAUCAAUCAUAUUGAAGGAAUUUCUGCAACAGAUAAAGAAAGAAUAUCAGAGAACAAAGCUGUUAAUCAAUCAACACAUGUACAGCAGUAUUAGUAUUUCUGCCUCAUUGUAUUGCCUAAGCGGGUAUUAGGAUUUCUCCACAAGAACGUUUACUAAGACAUUCAGCCAAGUGUGAAGUUCAUCAAUAAUUAAUCUUUUCUGGAAAUAAACGGAACCUAUUGAGUGUCAGACUUGCCCAUCCUUUGAAACAGGAUUUCAGAGCAAGCAACAGAACAAAGACAGAAAAUACAUUCAACUCAACCCAAACACUAGCAAGCAUCACAAAUAGUAAUUAUUUUUUGUACACAAUUAACGAAACCAUGGCCGAAGCACAAAUCAAUGAACUAUCAACUGAAAAGCCAAAACAAAACUUCUUAUUUAUGAAUAGACAGCGGAAACAAAGAAACCAAAAAAAGUCCACCACCGUAGGAUCAGGACUUAUUUGUGUAGACAGCAAAUGUGAAGACGGAAAGGUUCUGGUUGAAAUUGAAGCUCGGGCUACAGUCAUGAUGUUUUCUUGUCAUGACCCAACCCGUCUUGCCAAUUAAGGUGUGGAUCACCCCUUAUAAACCCAACAUCGCUCCCGUGCUUUGCCGAUGUGGGAUUUGCCUAGGGUGUUACAUACACCUCCCCUUGGGGACUCAGCGUCCUCGCUGAGGUUUGCCCCACCAUCGCUUGAGAGGACAUGCGGAGCCGCUUUGAUACCAUAAUGUCAAGACCCAACCCAGACCUGGCAAGAUAUUGUCCGCUUUGGGCCUUAACAAGGCCUGCACAGAUUUGUUCUUGGGGCGCUCACACACCCCAAAACGCGUCUUGCCAAUUAAUGUGUGGAUCACCCCUUAUAAACCCAGUAUCUCUCCCGUGCUUUGUCGAUGUGGGAUUCGCCUAGGGUGUUACAUACACACCCCCUUGGGGACUCAGCGUCCUCGCCGAGGUUUGCCCCACCAUCGCUCAAGAGUACACGUGGAGCCGCUCUGAUACCAUAAUGUCAAGACCCAACCCAGACCUGGCAAGAUAUUGUCCGCUUUGGGACAAGUGGACACGCGAAGCCACUCUGAUACCAUAAUGUCAAGACCCAACCCAGACAUGGCAAGAUAUUGUUCGCUUUGGGCCUUAACAAGGCCCGCACGGAUUUGUUCUUGGGGUGUAUGGGCGUAAAGCGGACAAUAUCUUGCCAGGUCUGGGUUGGGUCUUGACAUUUUUGCUCUAAUUUCACCUACACAAGUCAUUGAAGAAAUUGUGAAAAAUAAGAAAUCUAAAUUUUUUUUUCUUAACUACUAAAACAAAUGAACAUCGAUGUAUUGAAGAGGGUUGAUGAUUGGGGUGAGCAUUAGAAACUCUAAAGGGUAUUUAAUGUUGAGGCAAAUUAGAAGAAAACAAUUUGUAUAACCAUUUUUGUAUUGAAGAAAAGGGGAAAAAAUAUAUGAAAUUGGAUAAAUAAUUAAAAUUUGAAGAAAUUGUGUAAAAUGAGAAACAUACAUCAAGUUCAAUAGGGGCUAAUCAAAUUCCGUAAGGAUAGCCACUCGGCCAAAGGCCGAGUGGUUAGAGUUGCUGCCCUCCAAGUUGGAGGGCAGCAGUUCGAACCCCCACAAAUGCAUUGUGGGGGUAUUUCCUUCCUUCAUUAAAAAUUGAGUGAAGGUAGUCUUCCUUCUUACCCAAGAGUGAGGAGUAGACAUUCCUCGAAUAUUUGUGAGGGUUAAAAUUUGGGUAGAGCUCCAUUAGCAUUGAUGUAAGUUGGUCCCAGUAAUAGUCUGAUUUAUAAAUAUCAGUUAUAACCUCAUGUAAUAUGAGUUGUAGUUUGAGCAAUAGUCUCAUGUAAUAAAAAAAAAUUCCAUAAGGAUAUAGUUGAAUGCCACACUGUUCCUUAUCCUCAAAUUCCCGUAGCUUUUGUCUCAGCUCUGGUUGAGGCCACCAGCAAUCGAACUUGUUUAAGCUCUUUAUGCACCAGAGAUGUUCAGGCAUCUUUUUCAAGUAAGCACAAGGGUUGAUAAUCAAGCAUUCUAGUUUUGGCAUGGCUGCAUUCCCCAUAGUCCAGAAGUCAGCUUUCUGUAUGAAUACGAGUUUUGCUUCAGUUUGAGCACUUGAAGAAGCGGCAACGUUUCUAGCACCGGCAUGGGAUCAUCCAUUCGGUCAGUAUUAGAAAAACUCAAGUGGGUUAGACUAUGAGGAAAUAGGUAUUCAGCAAGGACGAUUUUGGAGAGCCAUGGCAUCUUGCUUUCAUUCGCCAGCUUCAAUGACUUGAGACAGCUCAAUCUGCAGAGACUUUGAGACAGCAAAGAUUGAUCAUAACUUAAAUCUCCCCGCAUUCAGAGAUUUUGAAGAUUAAGUAGCCUGCCUAAUAUAUCUUCAAUACAGCAGCAAAUGUGCAAGGCUGAAAUGAAAUUUAGAUUUUCCAGAGAGCCACAGUAUUUUCCUGGAUGCGCAGGAAGUGUGAUUGACCCAAAAUUUAGAUGUCUGAGUUUUUUCAUCUUCCAAAAUUCAUCUACCGUAUGAUCUAUAUAGCUAAAGGGCAUGUCUAGGGUGUAGAGGUUCAGAAGAUUGCUUAAUAAUGAGGAAGACAGGCUUUUGAGGGAAGGGAUAUUCAACUUCAAAUAUCUCAAAAGAAAUAAAUUUUCAAUUCCGGAUGGAUACUAGAUGAGAACAAGAGAUUCCAAGUCCAACACUCUGAGAAGUUUGAACAUUCCACAAAUUUUCUCCCAAUCUAUGGGGUCAAUGUGGCGGCUUUCUGGAGAGCAGCACAAGAAAGAAUGCAGUUGCGAGUCAUAAUCAUCUAAGCAAGCAAAAUCACUCUGUUGUUCUAAAGUGUAGAAACGUUUGACAUUUUUUUAUGAUUUACCUUCUAUAUCCAUGAAAGGGGAAAAGAUAAAUUCCACCUUGGAAGCCACUCCUAACAAUACAGGACGGCAACGACCGGGAAUAGAGCAUGUGUUGAUUGUGCCUCCAGCUCUUCUCUUAUUUGCUUCGACAAAGCCUCUGUUGAUUAGUUGCUCUAAGUACUUCUUAGCAGUUGCCUCAUUAUUGUCUUCAAUGAAACCUUCAGCUAUCCACAGUUGAUAUACAUGCCUGGUGGAUAUCUCUAAGUGUGCGGGAAACACUGAGAAGUAGAGAAAACAAGGUUUCAAGCAAAAAGGUGACAUACAAUAUAUGAUACAUUGAAGCCCAAGGGACAUGGUCAAUACUUUGUCUAUAUUUUCUUCCAAUGAGAUGCUUCCAUGAUACAAGAUGUGGAAAGGCCAUCCUUGGUAUGUAGCUCUCAAUAGUCCUCCAGUGGGCACAAAAUCAAGCCCAAUGUUCUCUCCGUUUUCGAACUGAAAUGAGGUGACAAUCUUAAUUUGAGCGAGUGUUAUUAAUACUCUACUUCCAUUCUGAUUAUCGGGAAGUAUUUUUCGAAUAACAUCCCAUGCUGAUAUUCUCCACACAUGAUAAAAAAAUAAUCAAAUACCGCUUGGUCAUUAGAUAUUCACGAGGAAUAUUUUUUUUAUUUCAUAAUUUUUAUCCUUCAUUUCACUCAGUCUAGAUGAAGGCAUUAGAAACUUAAUAAUGAUAUCUAAUAUUCGGUGAGCAUCAUAGCUGUGAGGCUCUGGAACCCAAGCGUGACAAUCAAAAUAAUGCUUCACAUAGUUGCUGCUGUAAGCUUCUGCGACGAAAGCCGUCUUGUCCAAUCCAAUGCUAUCAAGUAUGGCCACUGCUAAAAGUUGAUGUGGUCCUUCUAUCAAUAGAUCUAACAAAUCCUCCAUUCUAUCAUCUAGACCCACCGUGUCCCUAUUCUUAGACGAUGAAGAUGCAAGAAAAUUACCGGCUUCAGCUUCAAUUGAUUUGACUUCAUCAAUGAUUCCGGAAUCGAAGUGCUGAACUUGUUGCAUCCGUUGUUUUAUAUCAAUGAUUUUGCUUUGGAGUCCUAGCAGAGCAUCACAAAUGUCCUUGCUACGCCUGCUUUGUCUCUUCUGUUGAGUAAUGCUGUUGAUGAAUGUGUCAAUGAACUUCUCAGAUUCAUAAGUAAAGCAAUUGAUUUCAUCCAUAACGGUCCCAAGAUCUGGGUUGUCAAUUUCAACUUCUCCUAUUUUUUGCAUCAAAAGGCAAGAGAUAUCAUCUUCAAAUUCACUCAGCCAAGAAGUAACGAUUUCAACCUCCGCAUGAAGGUUCUGAAUAGGUUGUUUUGCAGCAUCAGGCAACGUGACUUCUUCACCAGCUAACACCCGUCCCAGCCUCUCGGAAAAUAGUCUGAAGUUGAUGUCCAUAUCUCCUCCUCUCUCUGUGCCUAGUGGUCCUAACAUGCAAAUUGAGACAUAAUUGAGAGAGACAAUGAUUAAAAGAUUAAAAAAAUAAUAAUAAGAAAUUUCCAUGUCUCUCAAUUCAAACAUUAACUAGCAUUAAUUGUUGAUGAAACUCUACUCAGAACCCUAUGCCUGAUACCUCCUUCUCUAAUUAAUCCUGCCGAGUGUUGCCAUUCAAAAAGUUAAAUCAAGAUUGCUGACAGUCAAAUUACAAGAGAUGAAAGGCAGAGUGCCGGAAAUGAAUCUUAUAUCCUCAUGUUGAGUAUGCAUUCUCAAACCAAGAUUGUUGACUAAUCGUUACGUAAAACGAAUAGAAAGAAAAUUUUUAUAAAAUGCAAAUUAGCUUGGAAAGAUUCUACCUAGAAACCAUCAUGUGACAAAUUAAUCUCUUUCUUAACGCAUUUCUAAAUGUAACAUAAUAAAUUUCGUCCUGGAAAUGAGCAAGAUUGUGCUUGUACUCAAAAUAAGCAAGCUUUCAAUCUUUUUUUUUUUUAAUUUCCCCCUUUUUAUUUGAUUUGUGAUCAUAUGAAACGUGUGAGGAAAAACAUAACUUGUAAACAAGAAUCAAACACAAAUAAAUCAUGAACCUCACAUUCAUGAUAUAAAAAUAAUAAAAUGGAGUUAUUUUGUGGAUAAUUCAGAUAUUAAACUACCUGUUUUUUCUUAAAGUGAUCACAAACUUCAAUAUCCUGACGAUAUAUAUCUUAUUUUGAUUAAAAACAACACAAUCAAAUUAUUACAUAGAAAGAAUAUGAAAAGGAAUGCUGAAUUUUAUUCAAAUUGGGUAUUGAUAGAUGAAUGAUUUGUUAGAAUUGAAAAUGAUCGUGCAUGUGAAAGAAAAAUAAGUUCAGAGAAAAAUAAAAGAUCAAGAUUAGUUAAACUUUACUUGUAAGUAAAGGAAAAAUCUUGGUUCAAGUAAAGAAAGAGAUACCAAACUCACAAAAUGGAAAAGGAGAAAGGUUAAACAAAGACUUAGUUCAAAGAAAAGAACAUGAUGCUGAUGUCCUGUAAUCUUUUUUUUGUUUAUUAAUUUUCAUUUUUCUUCUUCCAAUUUUUGUUUUUCCAAUCCAAAAAAUGAAAGCAAUAUGCAUUUGCUAACUGGGAAAAAAGUCAUUUGUCUCAAAAUAAAAUGACAAUAUAUCAUGAUUACAAGAUGUCUUGGACAUUCUUAAGAUAGCAAAAUCAAUAAACUCAACAUUAUGUUACUGGCUAAAGAGUGGUAAGAAUCCAAUGACAACCAAAGCAGAAGGAUCAAUUUGAAUACAAAAGGGAAUUCCUCUGCUGCAAACAAGGGCUUUGAUGUGACUGUAAGGAAUUGAGUGAGCAGCAGCACAUCCUCUCGCCAUCAACUUCAUUGCACUGCAUUACAAGGCACCCUCUGGAUGCUGGAAGGGAAAAUGUGAAAACGAUUAUAGCUGCUCUUUAUUCUUUUAGUGCAAUUGGGCUGCUAAUCAACCAAUAGAGAAAGAAUUCAGUCAUCAAUUCUAACGAAGCUUCCAAAAUCUGCAACGCUACAGAUUAAAUUUUAAAUCUUCCACUUUCAGAACUUCACUCGUUAAAUCUCCUCUUCAAUUCUACCUAGUCCUUACUAGAUCCCUAAAGUCACCAAGGAUUAGUGAUGGUUUUUUAUUUUACAAGGGCUGUUGGACAACCCAGAUUGACGAGGGCUAAAAUCUCCAUAUAUUUGGAGUCUAUGAAGAUUAGACAAUAUGCCACAGUUUCUUUUUUGUUGUGUUUAAUCCUCUGUUAGUACCAAGAUCACACACCUAAGACCCUCUUUGACGUAUCAAGAAUCAUUCCGGAAACCGAAACUCAAAAUUGAAUCAAAGUGCCUACAUCCACUGAAGAACAAGGACCAUUUCACAAUCAUUCCAAGAAUAUGCAACUUUUUCUCUUUAACUCUUUCUCUUUCUAUGGCUUUGAUGAGACCUGUGAAGAUGACCCAACAACCAGCGUUAUAAACUACAAUAAAGGUUAUUUCCAACAAACCCGAAAUUUCCAUGCUCUAUUUUAACGAACCCCAACUGACUUUUGACCAGCAUUGUCGCCCUUACAUUGGACGACACGUCGGCGAAAUUCUAAAAAACCGAAUGACAAUAUCGUUCUGUCAGUUUUAAGAUAAUGAGGUGUGAUCACAGCACAAAUAUUUUUCGUUUAACUAAAGUAAUGAGAUUGAACUGUACCACUACUAAAAAACUAGAAAAAUAAAAUAAAAUAAAAAACAAUAACAUAUAUGCAACUUCAAUGUUGACAAAUUGAAUACACACCAGUGAAUGGGAAAAUAGAAAGUAAAACAAUCAAUAAAACUUUUGUACAAAUUACUAAUCCGUGAAAACAAAGAAACCAUACAAUUCUUAUCAAAAAAAAAAAAAAGAAACCACACAAUUUCAGUGAAGGCUGGAUUCUUAUUGAAAUUGAAACUUUGGCUGCAGUACAGUUAAGAUAUUUUCCGCUCUGCUUUGACCUACACAUACAAGUAAUUGCAUAUCUUAUUUUACAGUUUUUCUUGAUUAUUUCAACAACCAAUACAUAAGGGUUCUGCCUCUUCUAUUAAUAAGCGAUUAAUGAUUAGUGUCAGUAUCAGGGAAUGUGAUGGACACUUCCAAGUCUUUGUUGAGACAAAAAUUAGAUUGAAAACACUUUAUGGUAUCAUUAUUAUUUAGGCUGCUGCGUACUAUCGAAUCAAUCAUAGAGAAUAGAUGUUUACCUGAAAUUAGAUAAAUAAUUAGAGGUUGAAGUUAUUGGAUAAAAAGGAAAAAAAACUUACAUCAAAUUCGAUCCACGCUAAUCAAAUUCCAUAUGGAUAUAGCUGAAUGCCAUACUGCUCCUUAUCCUCGAAUUCCCGUAGCUGUUGUCUUAGCUCCGGCUCAGGCCACUACAACUCCAAUUUGUUUAAGCUCUUUAGGCACUAAAGCUGUUCAGGAAUCGUUUUCAAGUGAGCACAAGGGUUGAUGAUUAAGAAUUCUAGUUUCGGCAUGGCUCUAAUCCCCAUAGUCCAUUCCUCUAGCCAUAACAUUGACUUAAGGUGCAGCACCUUGAGUUUUGGAAAGCCAUCAGAGCUACAAGCCAACUAUCUACCUGAAUACGAGUUUUGCUUUAGUUUGAGCACCUGAAGAACCGCCAGCCUUUUCUAGUGCCGGCAUGGGAUCAUCCAUUAGCUCAAUAUUUGAAAAACUCAAGUGGGCUAGACUUGGAGGAAAUUUGUAACGCCACAAAUUUCCAUAAUAUUAAAUUAUGGAAAUUGGGCUUUCAUUGAUAAUUAUGGGUGGCCUAUAACCCUUAUUAAAAAAGGGAUACUAAAUUAUAAAUAGAGGUUAUUUAUGAGAUAGUUUUGAAAAAGGGUUAUUUUUCCUUAUUAAAUAGGGUUUCUUAAGAUUCCCUAUAAAUUCAUACUUUUCCUCUUCCAUAACCCUUAGUCCACGACGUUUAUUCUUCUUCUCUGCUGCUCUUUACGCUCCUACCCAAAUCCUAGGAUUCAAACCUUUGUUUAGGACAGAAUCAAAGCAACGGGUAAGUUAUUCUCCUUAUUCUCAACAGAUUUCUAAUCACUCUAUCUAGGGUUUAUAUUGGCACGAUUNNNNNNNNNNNNNNNNNNNNNNNNNNNNNNNNNNNNNNNNNNNNNNNNNNNNNNNNNNNNNNNNNNNNNNNNNNNNNNNNNNNNNNNNNNNNNNNNNNNNNNNNNNNNNNNNNNNNNNNNNNNNNNNNNNNNNNNNNNNNNNNNNNNNNNNNNNNNNNNNNNNNNNNNNNNNNNNNNNNNNNNNNNNNNNNNNNNNNNNNNNNNNNNNNNNNNNNNNNNNNNNNNNNNNNNNNNNNNNNNNNNNNNNNNNNNNNNNNNNNNNNNNNNNNNNNNNNNNNNNNNNNNNNNNNNNNNNNNNNNNNNNNNNNNNNNNNNNNNNNNNNNNNNNNNNNNNNNNNNNNNNNNNNNNNNNNNNNNNNNNNNNNNNNNNNNNNNNNNNNNNNNNNNNNNNNNNNNNNNNNNNNNNNNNNNNNNNNNNNNNNNNNNNNNNNNNNNNNNNNNNNNNNNNNNNNNNNNNNNNNNNNNNNNNNNNNNNNNNNNNNNNNNNNNNNNNNNNNNNNNNNNNNNNNNNNNNNNNNNNNNNNNNNNNNNNNNNNNNNNNNNNUGGUUUAGAUUAUGUGAAAACAGUUUCGAAUUUGCUGAGAAGUAAAUAGUUUUUAAAAUGUUUUUGAUAUCGGAUUCUCUUGUAAAUUUUACAUGGGGUACUCAUGGAUGUCCAGAAUAGUUCCAUAGAAUAUUAUAUCAUUCUGAGUUUUAGAUUAAGAGUUAAAAUUCUGAGAAUCAGACCUAUACAGAUAUGAAUUAGAAAAUCAGAUUCUUAGAAUAAGUUAUUAGUUAUCAUAUAUUGUAUUUGUUUAAGGUAUUGAAGGUGACUGAGGCUCUUAGAAGCUUAGAGGUGUGUUAAUUCAAAUUCAUUUGUCGAGGUAAGUAACUUCAUUCCUAAUGUACUGGAUAUGUAUAAGUAUUUUGAUAUUAUUAUUAUAAGUAUAAAUGUUUUGAUACUACUUAAAGGAUUACUAAUUUUGAUAACAAAAUUAGCUUUAUGUAAAUGUUUUCAAACCAUUCUUUUUAACAAAGUAUUUUAUAAAUGCUUUUUAAUAUGUAAAUGAUUUUAUGACAUGACAACCUUUUAUGAUUUUAUUUUUAAAAUGUUAUGCAAGCCUAAAUUAUUGAUAUGAACUUUUAUGAAACUGAUACGAAUGUUUUGUACCUAUGUUUGAUUUCAAUUAUUGAUGAUUGUAUGAGAUUCUUAAUGUUUUGGCUCAUUGUCCAUAGUUAUUCUGAUUCUGAUUCUGAUUCUGAUUGUAAUAUACGAUAAAAUUUUGGAGAAACAAAAUUUCAUGAUAUACCAAAUUUUAUUUUGAUUCACACCAUCUUACCAUCCACCUUAUGAAUAACACAUCAUUUAAAAAAAAUUAGGAUAAAAUAACUCGGGAUAAAAAAAGCAGAAUAACAUUUGAGAUGUCUAGUUUUUAAUUAAGUCUGUGUAUGUGUAUGCUGAAGAAAAAAAUUAUGAUCAGAAUCAGAAUUGGAUGUUCGAGCUGUGGUUUCGGUAAUGGGGUGAAUUGGCAUUUUGAUAACAAAAAAAUUAGGUUUCUUUUAAUACAAUUUUACAAAUUUUGUUUAAUCUAAAUCAAACAUAGGUACAAAACAUUCGUACCAGUUUCAUAAAAGUUCAUAUCAAUAAUUUAGGCUUGCAUAACAUUUUAAAAAUAAAAUCAUAAAAGGUUGUCAUGUCAUAAAAUCAUUUACAUAUUAAAAAGCAUUUAUAAAAUACUUUGUUAAAAAGAAUUUAGGUUUGAAAACAUUUACAUAAAACUAAUUUUGUUAUCAAAAUCAAUUAAUCCUUUAAGUAGUAUAAAAACAUUUAUACUUAUAAUAAUAAUAUCAAAAUACUUAUACAUAUCCAGUACAUUAGGAAUGAAGUUACUUACCUCGACAAAUGAAUUUGAAUUAACACACCUCUAAGNNNNNNNNNNNNNNNNNNNNNNNNNNNNNNNNNNNNNNNNNNNNNNNNNNNNNNNNNNNNNNNNNNNNNNNNNNNNNNNNNNNNNNNNNNNNNNNNNNNNNNNNNNNNNNNNNNNNNNNNNNNNNNNNNNNNNNNNNNNNNNNNNNNNNNNNNNNNNNNNNNNNNNNNNNNNNNNNNNNNNNNNNNNNNNNNNNNNNNNNNNNNNNNNNNNNNNNNNNNNNNNNNNNNNNNNNNNNNNNNNNNNNNNNNNNNNNNNNNNNNNNNNNNNNNNNNNNNNNNNNNNNNNNNNNNNNNNNNNNNNNNNNNNNNNNNNNNNNNNNNNNNNNNNNNNNNNNNNNNNNNNNNNNNNNNNNNNNNNNNNNNNNNNNNNNNNNNNNNNNNNNNNNNNNNNNNNNNNNNNNNNNNNNNNNNNNNNNNNNNNNNNNNNNNNNNNNNNNNNNNNNNNNNNNNNNNNNNNNNNNNNNNNNNNNNNNNNNNNNNNNNNNNNNNNNNNNNNNNNNNNNNNNNNNNNNNNNNNNNNNNNNNNNNNNNNNNNNNNNNNNNNNNNNNNNNNNNNNNNNNNNNNNNNNNNNNNNNNNNNNNNNNNNNNNNNNNNNNNNNNNNNNNNNNNNNNNNNNNNNNNNNNNNNNNNNNNNNNNNNNNNNNNNNNNNNNNNNNNNNNNNNNNNNNNNNNNNNNNNNNNNNNNNNNNUUCUUUGACCCCUUGUAUGGUUGAGGCAUUGAUAUGUACCGAAAAUUGGUUACAAGCUAAACUUUUUGCUAAUCCUGUCUACAACCUUCAGGAAGAUAUUAAAGCUGCUGUACCGUACAUCCGCCUUGGCCGUACAGCAGCUAUAACCCUUAUUUAGAAAGGGGUACUAAUUAAAUAGAGGUUAUUUAUGAGAUCAUUUUGGAAAAGGGCUAUUUUUCCUUAUUGAAUAGGGUUUCUUAAGAUCCCCUAUAAAUACAUACUUUUCCCCCUUCCAUAACCCUAAGUUCACAACGUUUAUCCUUCUUCUCUGCUGCUCUUUACGCUCCUACCCAAAUCUUAGGAUUCAAACCUUUGUUUAGGAGAGGCUCAAAGCGACGGGUAAGUUCACAACGUUUAUUCUGAACAGCAUGAGUAUCUCGAAUUUUUAAAGCUAUAUUUUCUGAACGAAUUUUCUUAUAAAAUUUAUAUUUCUGGAAACUAGACAUGUAGGGCUUCUUGAUUAAAUUUUAUUUCAUUAAAUUCAACUUCGUUUUCAAUUUUAUACGUAUUUUGGAAAUAGAAACCACUGCACUGGAAAUCCACGAUUCCAGUAUUGUGAUCAGAUUCACAAGACUAUUUGUACCACCAAAUGAACUCAAACAAUUCUGAAAGUUUAUAUUUAUGUUAAUAUAUGUGUCUAGGAUUCCCAGUUUUAAUUUCAUAAUUUUCUGAUUAGUAUUUUAUUUUAUAAAAAUCACGGAACCCGUUCUGUUUGGUUUAGAUUAUGUGAAAACAGUUUCGAAUUUGCUGAGAAGUAAAUAGUUUUUAAAAUAUUUUUAAUAUUGGAUUCUCUUGUAAAUUUUACAUGGGGUACUCAUGGAUGUCCAGAAUGGUUCCAUAGGAUUUUAUAUCAUUCUGAGUCUUUGAUUAAGAGUUAAAAUUCCGAGAAUCAGACCUGUACGGGUAUGAAUUAGAAAAUCAAAUUCUUAGAAUAAGUUAUUGAUUGUCAUAUCUUGUAUUUGUUUAAGGUUUUGAAGGUGUUUGAGGCUCUUAGAAGCUUAGAGGUGUGUUAAUCCAAGUUCAUUUGUCGAGGUAAGUAACUUCAUUCCUAAUGUACUGGAUAUGUAUAAGUAUUUUGAUAUUAUUAUUAUAAGUAUAAAUGUUUUUAUACUACUUAAAGGAUUAAUUGAUUUUGAUAACAAAAUUAGUUUUAUGUAAAUGUUUUCAAACCUAAAUUCUUUUUAACAAAGUAUUUUAUAAAUGCUUUUUAAUAUGUAAAUGAUUUUAUGACAUGACAACCUUUUAUGAUUUUAUUUUUAAAAUGUUAUGCAAGCCUAAAUUAUUGAUAUGAACUUUUAUGAAACUGAUACGAAUGUUUUGUACCUAUGUUUGAUUUAGAUUAAACAAAAUUUGUAAAAUUGUAUUAAAAGAAACCUAAUUUUUUUGUUAUCAAAAUGCCAAUUCACCCCAUUACCGAAACCACAGCUCGAACAUCCAAUUCUGAUUCUGAUCGUAAUUUUUUUCUUCAGCAUACACAUACACAGACUUAAUGAAAAACUAGACAUCUCAAAUGUUAUUCUGCUUUUUUUAUCCCGAGUGAUUUUAUCCUAAUUUUUUUUAAAUGAUGUGUUAUUCAUAAGGUGGAUGGUAAGAUGGUGUGAAUCAAGAUAAAAUUUGGUAUAUCAUGAAAUUUUGUUUCUCCAAAAUUUUAUCGUAUAUUACGAUCAGAAUCAGAAUCAGAAUCAGAAUAACUAUGGACAAUGAGCCAAAACAUUAAGAAUCUCAUACAAUCAUCAAUAAUUGAAAUCAAACAUAGGUACAAAACAUUCGUAUCAGUUUCAUAAAAGUUCAUAUCAAUAAUUUAGGCUUGUAUAACAUUUUAAAGAUAAAAUCAUAAAAGGUUGUCAUGUCAUAAAAUCAUUUACAUAUUAAAAACAUUUAUAAAAUACUUUGUUAAAAAGAAUUUGGGUUUGAAAACAUUUACAUAAAACUAAUUUUGUUAUCAAAAUCAAUUAAUCCUUUAAGUAGUAUAACAACAUUUAUACUUAUAAUAAUAAUAUCAAAAUACUUAUACAUAUCCAGUACAUUAGGAAUGAAGUUAUUUACCUCGACAAAUGAAUUUGAAUUAACACACCUCUAAGCUUCUAAGAGCCUCAAUCACCUUCAAUACCUUAAACAAAUACAAGAUAUGACAAUUAAUAACUUAUUAUAGGAAUCUGAUUUUCUAAUUCAUACCCGUACAGGUCUGAUUCUCAGAAUUUUAACUCUUAAUCUAAAACUCAGAAUGAUAUAAUAUUCUAUGAAACUAUUCUGGACAUCCAUGAGUACCCCAUGUAAAAUUGGUAAGAGGAUCUGACAUCAAAAACAUUUUAAAAACUAUUUGCUUCUCAGCAAAUUCGAAACUGUUUUCACAUAAUCUAAACCAAACAGAACGGGUUCUUUGAUUUUUAUAAAAUAAAAUAAUAAUCAGAAAAUUAUGAAAUUAAAACUGGGAAUCCUAAACACAUAUAUUAACCUACAUAUAAACUUUCCGAAUUUUCUGAGUUCAUUUGUGGUACAAAUAAUCUUGUGAAUCCGAUCGCAAUGCUGGAAUCGUAGUUUUCCAGUGCAGUGGUUUCUAUUUCGAAAAUACAUAUAAAAUUGAAACCGAAGUCGAAUUUAAAGAAAUAAAAUUUAUUCAAGAAGCCCUACAUGUCUAGUUUCCAGAAAUAUAAAUUUCAUAAGAAAACUCCAUAAUAAAUCAAAACCCUAAACAAAGCCUAAAUACAUUCUAAAUCAUGCAUUAUGAUCUAUAACCAUCUAGAAUCGUGCCAAUAUAAACCCUAGAUAGAGUGAUUAGAAAUCUGUUGAGAAUAAGGAGAAUAACUUACCCGUUGCUUUGAUUCUGUCCUAAACAAAGGUUUGAAUCCUAGGAUUUGGGUAGGAGCGUAAAGAGCAGCAAAGGAGAAGAAUAAACGUCAUGGACUAAGGGUUAUGGAAGAGGAAAAGUAUGAAUUUAUAGGGAAUCUUAAGAAACCCUAUUUAAUAAGGAAAAAUAACCCUUUUUCAAAACUAUCUCAUAAAUAACCUCUAUUUAUAAUUUAGUAUCCCUUUCUUAAUAAGGGUUAUAGGCCACCCAUAAUUAUCAAUGAAAGCCCAAUUUCUAUAAUUUAAUAUUAUGGAAAUUUGUGGCGUUACAGAAGGCUUUUCAGGGAAGGGAUAUUCAAGUUUAGAUAUCUCAAAAGAAAUAAAUUUUCGACUUCGGAAGGAUAUCGGAUGAGAACAAGAGAUCCCAAGUCCAAUACUCUAAGAAAGUUGAACAUUUUACAGAUUUUCUCGCAAUAAUUGGGGUCAAGGUAGUGGCUUCCUAAAGUGAGGUGCAACAAAGAAUGGAGGAACGAGUCAAAAUGAUCUAAAAAUUCAAAAUCAUUCAAAUUUCCAUGAGCGGUGAAGCGUUUCACAUUUUCUCGUAAUUUAACUUCCUGAUCCAUGAUUGGGGAAAUGACAAAUUCCCCCUCGAAAGCCCCAGUCAACAACGCAAGACUGCAACGCCCAGGAAUAGAGCACGUGUUGAUUCUGCCUCUGUCACUUUUCUUCCCUACAUCAACAAAGCCUCCAUUGAUUAGCUGUUCUAAGUAUCUCUCAGCAAUUGCUUCAUUGUUGUCUGGAAUGAAACCUUCAGCUAUCCACAACUGAUAUAAUUGCUUGGUGGAUAUCUCAAAGUAUACAAGAAACACAGAUAAGUAGAGACAACAAAGUUUCAAGUAAAAAUGUAACAUACAAUAUGCAACGACUUGAAGCCCUCGGAGUUCAUCAAGUACUUCCUUUAUAUUUUCUUUCAGUGAGAUGCUUCCAUGAUAUAAGAUGUGGAAAGGCCAUCCUUGGUAUGUAACUCUCAAUGGUCCUCCAGUGGGCACAAAUCAAGCCUAAUGUUCUCUCCAUUUUUAAACUGAAAUGAGGCGACGAUUUCAAUGUUAUAAAAAAUAAUCACAGUGAGUUAAACAAAUAAACUAGUAGCUAAUUUGACUACAGCAAAACAACAACUGAUAUAAACAACAGGAAAAAAAAUAACAACUGAAGAAAAUAAACUCGAGGCCUGUAAUACAGUGUCCUUAAAACAGAUUUACCACCUAUUGAAGUGCUUUAGGUUUACUGGUAACUGUUUCCCAGGAUACAACGGGCACGAAUUUUCUGUCAAGCACAGACAGAUAAUUCCGGCGAACUACAACAACGGUAAACUCGAUCAGAAAACAAGACAAAAGAAGGAAGAAAGAAAAAUUGUAAGUGCUCUGUGUGCUGGUUUCAGUGUGUGUAAAAACAGAAGAAGAAGGUGCCUUUUUAUACUCAUGUGGGUACGUAACAAUAGCAUAAAAAUUGAAUUUCAGAAUUCAAUAUAUGCAAUUUAAUUGCUGUAACAGCCAUUGAAUUUUAAACAAUUCAAUUCAAAAAUUGAAUUGCAGAACAACCCAAAAUAAUUGCGAAGCUAUUACAAAUCUUUUGAAUUCAAAAGGUGUGAAACUAUUACAACAAAUUUAAAAGGAAAUAAAACACGUGCCAUGCGUGCUUGGGAUGACAUUCGCGGGCGCACACAAGUUCAACCAAAUCGGUCAUGGAUUUGCCCCCCUCCCCUCGCGUACACGCGUGUGGAAAGAGUCUCUAUCCUUAAAAUUCUUGUUCAUGCAUGGUUAAAUGUUUAUAUAUAAAUACAAAUCCUUGGCUUCUUCAAUGAGGAUAACAAAGCCUCCAUUGAUUAGCUGUUCUAAGUAUUUCUCGGCAGUUGCCUCAUUGUUGUUUGGAAUGAAACCUUAGGCUAUCCACGUCUGAUAUAAUUGCUUGGUGGAUAUCUCAAAGUGUACAGGAAACACAGAUAAGUAGAGACAACAAAGUUUCAAGUAAAAAGUUAACAUACAAUAUGCAAGGACUUGAAGCCCCCGGGGUUCAUCAAGUGCUUCCUCUAUAUUUUCUUUCAGUGAGAUGCUUUCAUGAUAUAAGAUGUGGAAAGGCCAUCCUUGGUAUGUAACUCUCAAUGGUCCUCCAGUGGGCAUACUCAUCUCUGAUCGGCUCAUAUUUGUCCCCGUGUUCUGCUCGUACCAUUUGGCUGAGGUGAUCCAUGCCGGGGCGGAAAUAAUAGCAUGGCCGACCUGGUGCUUUUAUUUACUUAACACUCUACUUCCAUUCUGAUUAUCCGGGAGUAUUUCUCGAAUAAUAUCCCACACUUCAAUGCUCCACACAUCAUCAAUCACAAUCAAAUACCGCUUGGUCAUUAGAUAUUCAUGAAGAAUAAUUUUUUUCAUUUCCGAACUUUCUUCCAUAAUUUCACUCAACCUACUUGAAGGCAUCACAAACUUAAUAAUGUCGUAUAAUAUUUGGUCAGCAUCAUACAAUAAAGACUCUUCAACCCAAGCGUGACAAUCAAAAUAAUACUUCACAUAGUUGCUGCUGUAAGCCUCUACGGCAAAAGCCGUCUUGUCCAAUCCAAUGCUAUCGAGUAUGGCCACUACCGAAAGUUGAGGCGGUCCCUCUGUCAGUAGAUCUAAUAACUCCUCCAUUUUAUUAUCUAGACCCACCGUGUCCCUAUUCUUAAAAGACAAGGAUGCAGGAAAAUUACCGGCUUUUGGUUCAAACGAUUUGAGCUCAUCAACGAUUCGGGAGUGGAUGUGCUGAACUUGCUGCAUCCGUUGUUUUAUAUCAAUGAUUUUGCUUUGGAGUCCUAGCAGAGCAUCACAAAUGUCCUUGCUGCAUCUGCUUUGACUCUUCUGUAGAGUGAUGCUAAUAGCAAAUGUGUCAAUCACAUUCUCAGAUACGUAUGAAAAACAAUGAAUUUUGUCAAUGAUAGCCUUAAAAUCUUCUAAUUUUGCCAGAGUUUAACCCUCUUCUGCAUUGACUUGCUACAUAAACCAAGCAGUGUUGUAUCCAGAGUCCCUCAGCCAAGAAGCAACGAUUUCAGUCUCAGUGUAAAGGUUCUGAAUAGGUUGUUCAGCAGCAUCGGGCACCGUGAAUUCUUCAGCAGCUAGCACCCUUCUCAGUCUCUCUGAAAAUAGUCCAAGGUUGAUGUCCAUAUCUCCUUUACUCUCGGUAGUCAGUAGCCAGUAGCCCUAGCAUGCAAAGAAAAUAAUUAAAAAAAAAUUGUUAAAAGCUCUCCUUUUAAUUCAACAUUAGUCAACAUAAUCAACUGAGGAUGGCACCAAUACCUCCUUCUGUCAAGAAGUUGAAUCAAGUUCAGGUGGCUGUUGAGGCAGAACAGAUUAAGGCAGAGCAGUACUAGAAAAUGAAUCUUAAAACUAAAUGCUGUAGAUGUCGUGGGGAUACUGAUUGAUAAAGAGGGAUUAUAUUGAGAAAUUAUUGAUGUACAAUAAUGAUUUUUUGCACAAAACCUGAGGUAUAAUGUACGUGUAUAUAAAAUAUUAAUUAUGCAAGAAGAUAAAAGGGUGUCUUAUAAUUUGUGUUAUAUGUAUAUGUAUAUGUAUGAAGAAAGUAAAAUAAGCUAUCAAGACUAGUUUCUUUUUUGCCCUCUCAAAAGACUGAAAGAUUAAAAAUAAUUCCACUGGGACCAUAAAGCUUGUCUAAAGAAAAAAAGCAUCACCUUAGAAUUUGAUUCAUUGAUGCAUCUAAUGCAUAAUAGUCCCUAUUGUUUAGAUAUUUUCUUUUCAAGCGCUCUACAGACUACAACAGAAUGCGUUAUAGUUUCAAUGGUUAGAUGAUCAUUCAAUAGGGCUAAAGGUGUGCAUUGGAUUGGAUUCGAAUAGAUCUGAUUUGAAUUUGGAUGUUUUAAUCUAAACAAUCUGAUUGGAUUGAACUACUCUACAUAUAUAUAUAGAAUUCAUGAUUGUUUUGUAAAAAUUAUCAAAAAGACCUAAAUUCGAAUUCAAUCCGAAUUUAAAAUACUAUUUGAAUUUAAAUACUAAACAAUCUAAAACCAAAUUCAUCUGAAAUAUCGAUUUAUUUUGAAUCGAAUUGAUUGUAUUUGAGAUUUAGGUUGGAUUUGAAUGAUUUUUUUUUCCUAAUCCAAACAAUUCAAAAUCCAAUCGGAAUUAUCCAAAUCUAAAGUGCAAUAUUCAUCUCUUUUUCAUAUAUCCUUCGCUAAUUGAAAGCAUCAUGAUGUCGGGCCCUUCUUUAAAAAAAAAAUAAAAAUCUUCAACUUAUAUGCAACUCCUUUCUCAUUAUUAGAGCUGACAAAAUUUGACACGACCCGAUUACCCGACACGAACACGACAUAAAUAAAUGGGUAUGGGUCGUCAAAUUUAACACGAUUAUUAAAUGGGUCGAGUCCGGGUCAACACUAUUUUUUUCCGUGUCGGGUUAGGGUUAAAAUUCUUGACCCAUUUACCCGAUCAAUGAUCCGAUUAUAUUUUCUAUUUUAAAAUAAUUUACAUAUUAUUAUCAUUAAAACUCAAAUAUUAGAGAUGAUUUUUUUUUUAUUCUUUAAAAGGGUGAAUAUAAACACAGUGUUUUAUUUAUAAAAUUUUAAAUACAUUUAGAGCUUCAAUAGUGUAAAUAUGUAAAAAUUGAUAGACAUGUAUAUUUUAUAAUAUACAUAUAUAUAUAUAUAUAUACAUACAUACAUAUAUAUAUAUACAUACAUAUAUACAUACAUAUAUAUAUAUAUAUAUAUAUAUAUAUAUAAAAAUUCGUAGAUAUGUAUAUUUUAUAGUAUCGAUAAAUUAUGUAUGUAUGUAUGUGCAUACGUAUGUACUAUAGUGCAUAAAUAUUUGAUGUAACUUUUGUUCAAUAUAUAGAUAUUAAACGGGUUAUUGGGUUACCCGAUUAUUUUUCCGUGUCGGGUUUGGGUCUCAAUAUUUUGACAUGAUUAUUAAAUGGGUCGGGUUUGGGUCGACCUAAAUUUGACACGAUACGAAGCUGACAUGACACGAAUACGACCCGAUGACCCGUUUUGCCAGCUCUACUCAUUAUUACUCUUCUUUGUGUUCGACUAUUGUAGUGCUUUUUCUUUUGAGAUAAACUUUAUGGUCCCCAGUGGGAUUGCUUUUACCUUUUCUUUCCUGAAAGUGGAUAAAACAAAUUGAUCUUUGAUUGAUACUUGAUGAUGUCCUAUUUUCUUUUUAUUUUCAUAUUUAUUUUUUUUAACAUAAUGGAAGACUGGAAUAUAGAUAAAAGACAGUGUGUGCCAGCAAGAAAACUUUUUCUCAAGAUUGAAAAUGACUUAAAAAAACCAUUUUUCUCCAACUAAUAUCUUCAAAAUCAUUAUUGUAAUAACAGAACCCAAAAAAUAAUUAAAUAUUCUCUUGUUUAAUAUGUUGCAUGCUUGCAGAAAAUUGCGGAUGAUUGCACCAAUAAUUCAACCUUUACUCCGUGAGCUUUGAACUAAUAAUAUGUCAUCAGUUAUUGUCUAAAUAAAGAAAUUUAUGAAUCGGUAUAAAAUGGGGUCCUAAAUCCUGACCUACAUUGAAAAUUGGGAUAUGAAAUUUGUAACAAAUCUUAUAUAGGGUUUGUAUCUCGAUUGGUAUCUGGAUAAUUUUGCCAGCCUAGGUUCACGUAUUAACAGUUAGAGCGGGAGAUCCCAAAAAAGGGUAUCUUGAAUUUAACCAAAUUCAUUAUAAGGAUAUAUGGACCCAUUUGAUUGCCUAAGGGAUCUCGAAUGAGAUUUUCAGACAUCUCAAAUCCCGUCUUGAAUAUUAAGUUGGAAGAAAAUUAGAUCUUGAAUCUCAACUCGAAUAAUAAAUCAGAAUGAGAAACUUUUAUCAAAUCUUGUAUCAUUUAGGACGGAUUCCCAAAUUCCAAUCGAGAUUUGAGGAAUUUUGUAUUAGCAACCAAAGCCGAAGAUCCCAAAAAAUGAUAUCUUGAAAUUAACCAAAUUCACUAUAAGGUAUAAACUCAUUUGAUUGCACCCUUAAAAAGUAUUACCGAUGACACCACACAAUCAUAUUAUUAAAACAAACCAAACCACACAUAUCCAAGCUUAACAUGUAUAUAUAAGAGCACAAAAAAUAACUUCUUUCUCGUUAUAAAGGAGAACAGAAUCAGCUAGAAGCAGGGGAAUCAAUGUAUAACAGAAAAUAAAAGGGAAAAAAAAUGAUACACAUUCAUUUUUUCAGCAAAAACCAACGACUAUAAGGUGAACAUGAGGCAACAACCUCUAAAAUUGGACAGAAUCGGCUAAUACCUUAAAAUUCACAUGCUAAUACUAUUUAUAAUUUCUAUGUCAAAAAUUUAAAAUAAUCGGUAGUAUUUGUUCAAAACAAGCAUUUGUAAUCAAUAUUUUUCCUACAUUCUUAUUUGGAUUAUUAUUUAGAGAAUCUAAGAUAAUAACAAUCCAGCAUUCAAGUUAUUUAUGAAUGAUAAGGACUUGAAUCUCCAUAAAAUUGGAGAUUCUGAAGAUUAGGCAAUAUGCCCCAGUUUCUAUUUCUUUUAUUUAGUCCUCUGAUGUAUCAACAAUCAACGCUAGAAACGCAAUCCCCGAAAUUGAAUUAAAAAAAAUAUAGAAAACAUAGAGCAAAUCAACAGUAGAUUCAGCAACAAUGGUGCCUACAUCCAAACUUUUCUUCUAAUGGAAGUGAUGCAGAAUUCCCUUAAGACAAUUAUGACAAUUAACAUGUAUUACACAUGGUACGACCAAACCACACACGUCCACACUAAGUUGGAGUUUCAAGCACAUUACAAGAAUGAAGACACACGAAUAGAAUAUACACAGUGAAUCCAAAAACUUGACAUUAUUACUUGUAGCAGAUCCUUGAAAACAAAGAAACCCAACAAUGUCCUGUAUCAAUCCUGAGGACUCAAUAAUGUGUAGACAACAUAAGUGAAUACUGAAAGGAUCAAGGCCGGAUUCUGGUUGAAAUUGAAACUUUUGCUGCACUACACUUGACAUAUUUCCCGGUAUGAUUUCACCUGCGCAAGUAAUUUAAGAUCUGAAAUUAUAGUUUUUCCUGACUGUUCAACAAUCAAUACACAAGGGUUCUUCCUCUUCUAAAAAUAAUUAAGGGAAAAUGGUCGGGGUCAGCAAUAGGAACUGUGAUGAACACUUUAUGUCUAAUGUUGAGACAAGAAUUAGAAGCAACCACAAUUAGAAAACACUUUAUAGCAUUAGCAAGCUGCGUACUAUCAAAUAUAUUGAGGAGAAGAAAAAAAAAUGUAUGAAAUUAGAUUAAUAAUUAAAGGUUGAUGAUAUAGCAUAAAAUGAAAAACUUACAUCUAAUUAAAUCCAUGCAAAUCAAAUUCCAUAAGGAUAUACUUGAUUGUCAUACUGCGCCUUAUCCUCGAAGUCCCGUAGCUUUUGUCUCAGCUCCGGCUGAAGCCACCAACACUCGAAUUUGUUUAAGCUCUUUGUGCACCAGAGCUAUUCAGGAAUCUUUUUCUAAUUAGCACAAGAAUUGAGAAUCAAGCAUUCCAGUUUUGGCAUGGCUCCAAGCCUCAUAGUCCACUUCUCUAGCCAUGGCAUUGAAUUCAGGUGCACUAUCUUGAGCUUUGGGAAACCAUCACGCCCACAAGUCAGCUAUUUACCUAAAUAUGAGCUUUGCUUCAGUUUGAGCACUUGAAGAAGUGGAAACGUUUCUAGUGCAGGCAUGGGAUCAUCCAUUUGUUCAAUAUUUGAAAAACUCAAGUGGAUUAGACUUUGAGGAAGUAGGUAUUUGGCACAGACGAUUUUGAAGAGCCUUGGCAUCUUGCUUUCAUUCACCAUCUUCAAUGACUUGAGGCAUCUGAAUCUGCAAAGGCUUUGGGACAUCAAAAAUUGAUAAAAAUAUAAAUCUCCUCAUAUCCAGAGAUUUUGAGGAUUAGGUAGUCUGUUCAAUAUAUCUUCAAUACAGCAGCAAGGAUGCGUGGCUGUAAUGAAAUUGAGAUUUUCCAAAGAGCCGCAAUAUUUUCCUGGAUGUGCGGGAGGUAUGAUCGAGCCAAAAUUUAGAUGCCUGAGUUUGUUCAUCUUCCAAAAUUCAUCUGUUGUAUGAUUUAUGUAGCUAAAGGGAAUGGCUAUGGUGUAGAGAUUCAGAGAUUUCUUAAUAAUGAUAAAGCCAGGCUUUUGAGGGAAGGGAUAUUCAGCUUCAUAUCAAAAGAAAUAAAGUUUCAAUUUUGGAUGGAAAUUGGCUGAGAACAAGAGAUCCCAAGUCCAUUACUCAAAACAAUUUUCACCCAAUCUAUGGGGUCAAGGUGGUCGCUUUUUUAAGUAUAACAAAUUUUCAUCCAAUCUAUGGGGUCAAGGUGGUCGCUUUUUGAAGUACGACAAAAGAAUGCGGGUGGGAGUCACAAUCAUCUAAGUAAGCAAAAUCACUCUGUUUUUAAAAAACGUAGACAUGGUUGACAUUUUUUCGCGAUUUACCUUUCUGAUCCAGGAUAGGAUGAAAAGAUAAAUUCUGCUUUGAGAGCCGUUUGCCACAAUGAAGGCCAGCAACGACUACGAAUAGGGCAUGCGUUGAUUUUGCCUCCAUCACUUCUCUUCUUUGCAUCAACAAAGACUCUAUUCAUUAGUUGUUCCAUGUACUUCAAAAAGGUAAACAACUCUCAAUAUUAUGUCUGCUUUUGAACUGAAAUGCGAUGACAAUAUCAAUUUCAGUGAGUGUUAUUAGUACUCCACAUCCAUUCUGAUUAUCCAGAACAAUUUCUCGAAUAACAUCCCAGACUUCAAUGCUCCACACAUCAUCAACCACAAUCAAAUACCACUUGAUCAUUAGAUGUUCUUGAAUUUUUUUUUCAUUUCAUAAUUUUUAUCCUUUAUUAUACUCAACCUAGAUAAAGGCAUUAGAAACUUAAUAAUGAUAUCUAAUAUUUGGUCAUCAUCAGCGUCAUAGCUGUAAGGCUCUGGAACCCAAGCGUGACAAUUAAAAUAAUGCUUCACAUCACUGCUGCUGUAAGCCUCUGCAGCAAAAGCCACAUUGUCCAACCCAAUGCUAUCAAGAUGGCCACCACUGAAAGCUGAGGUGGUCCCUCUUUCAAAAUAUCUAACAACUUCUCCAUUCUGUCUUCUAGACCCACCAUGCCGCUAUUCUUAGAAGAUGAAGAUGCAGGAAAAUAGUCAGCUUCAUCUUCAAUACUUUUGAAAUCAUCAAUGAUUCCGGAAUCUAUGUAUUGAAGUUGUUGCAUCCGCUGUUUUAUAUCAUUGAUUCUACUCUGAAGUCCUAGCAGAGCAUCACAAAUGUCCUUGUUGCACCUGCUUUGACUCUUCUGUUGAGUGAUGCUGUUGAGAAUGUGUCAUUGACCUUCUCAGAUUCAUAGGUAAAGCAAUUGAUUUCUGCCCAAGGUCUGGGUUGUCAACUUCAUCUUCUCCUAUGUUUUGCAGCAGAAGCCAGGACAUAUCGUAUUCAUAGUCCCUUAGCCAAGGAGUAACGAUUUCAACCUCGGCAUGAAGGUUCUGAAUAGGUUGUUUUGCAGCAUCAGGCAAUGUGACUUCUUGGCCAGCUAACACCCUUCUCAGCCUCUCCGAAAAUAGUCUGAAGUUGAUGCCCAUAUCUCCUCAUUGAAAAAUUAGUGUUGGCUCCCAUUCCUCCCUUCUCUUAGCUAGUACUCCAUCCAAGAAGUUGAAUCAAGAUUGCUGACUCUCAAAUUAGAACAGAUCAAGGCAGAGCAGUGCGGGAAAUGAAUCGUACAAUACUUUGUCUUCCAUAUAUUGUAAAAAGAAUAAAGCAGGGAGAAAUAAUUACAACAUCAUCAAGUAUCAGUCAAGGCCAAUUUGUUUUAUACAUCCACUCUCAAGAAAGAAAGGGAAAAAGCAAUAAAGCUUAUCUAAAAAAAAAAAGAACAGAGUAAGCGAAAGAGCAUUAUCAAUUAUUUAACAAUUGAAGCUGUGGAAAAAUAGAAAGUCAUGUCUGCCACUUACUAAAGAAGUAAUAACAUAGCAACUUUAUAAAAGCACUGGAUACAAUCAUUGCUAUUAUGUUGAAAUUAACCAACUUCACAAUCUGGACAUGAACUCAUUUGAUUGCAACCUUUAAAUAGACUAAUGGAUCACUUGACACAUUGUCUUAUAAAUGGACUAAACAUAAUUGUGAUAAUUUUUUCCCAAACACACUUGAUCGUUGAGAUUGUCAACAAAAGAUGAACAUUGAUGAUUGACAUGUAGUUUUCAAGUAUUUAGAGUAUGACGCUGAGAUAAAUUAGAACUCUACAUGACCAUCUGAAGAAAUUUUCCUCAAAUGAAUCUUUUGAGUUGGAAUUUAGACACAUUCACUAUCAAAGUAUCUUAAAGCAGUGGAGAAUACAUAUGACAAAGGUUGAAGUAACUAAUUUUAUGAGCAGGAACUGAAAUGAUUUUGGCAUGAGAUUACAACAGAUGAUUAACAUAUAUGCUUUCUCUAAGGCAGCCUCAUUAAAAAUGUUAUUUCGUCAAGUCAACUGUCUUCAGGAGAAAAAUGAAGCAACGGUAAUAAAGUAGGUGGUUGAUGCUCGUGAUUCCUCAGUGCGGCAGCAGAAAUAAAACUAAAUUUCAGACUUGCUGUUGUCAUAGAAUAGAUUCACCCUGUCCUUGUCCUUGCCCUUGUCCCUCUUUUUAUACUGAUGAAUUUGAGGCCGACGAUAUUUCUGUGAAUAAAGAAAAUGAUAAUAGAAAUGGAACCAUUGGGCAAAUGGUAGUGUAACCUUUAGUCGACGAUGUGAGUUCACCUUUAUGUACUAUUUAAUUUCCAUUUGUUUCUUGAAACAUAUAUAUGCAAACUUUAGAACAUCAAGGGAAAAACUUGGACAAAGAUUCCAUUUCUUUAUUCACAUAAACAUAUCAACAUCAGUACAUGUCUUUUCUUCUUAUACUUCUUCAAGUUCACCGUCUCUCUUCUUAUCUUAUUUUCAACCGUUAAUAGAAAAAACAUUAGUAAUUAAGAUUUAAAGUGAUAAAACUCAAUUAAGGCAUGCAUGCAAAUUUCAGACCCCCUCUCCCAAAACCAAAAAAAAAAAAACCCACAUUGCCAACAAUUACAGUAAUUUUAGAAAUUUUAAUUAAUUGCAUUUGUAGGUAAUAAGAAUGUUAGGACCCUACUAGUUUAUUUUAUUUUAAUUGCUUGUUUUAAUUUCUUUCCUAUUAGUAUUAGGUUUUCUUAUUUCAAUUAAAGUCGUUAUUAAAUUACAAUUAGGAUUGUCUUGAACUACUAUAAAUAAGUGGUUCUUAUUAUAAUUUUAGGAGACAAGUAAUAAAAUUAAUUCUAAUUCCUAUUAAUUCUUCUCCCUUCUCUUUAAAUUCUUCAUCUAUUCUCUUUUAAUUCUCUAAUCAAAACCCUAGAAUCCUAUCAUCUGGUAUCAGAGCACAUCCUUCCUGCCACCAUUUUUUUUUUCGUUCACUAUUUGAAAAAAAAAACAGCAACCAAACUUUUGUCAAUAUCUCUUGGCUUUUGGAGACUUGAACCGGGCACACCCUCCAAACUUUUUCCAGCAUCUAAAUUUUUCAACCAAACGUGAAUUUUCUUCGAACUUUUUUUAGGCAUCAUGACUGUUAAAGAGCUUGAAGGCCAAGUUGAGCAGUUAUCACAACAAUUCCAUGACAAGUUUACAGCCAUCGAUGAAAAGGUUACAACCUUAGCCAAGCAGAAUAACGAUUUGCAGGAACUCAUGCACGGCAUCCUUCAGUAAUUGAGUUAGUUGUGAAAAGGCAAACAACCAGCUACUGAUCAACGACAAGUUGAUAUAUUUACUGGAGGGACCUCUGCUCCUCAAACGGUCAUUGCUACCCAUUCCCCUCUUGAACCUACUGAACGCAUUGGAAGUACUCUUGUGCAAGCUCGUAACAUAUGCCUUGACUUUCCUAUUUUUCAUGGUGACAAUCCAACGGGAUGGAUUUUUCGAUGUGAGCAAUAUCGUCGCCUUACUGGAUUAUCAGAUGCUGACUUAUUGUCUUUAGCUAUUGGCCAUCUUGAUGGUGAUGCGGUACCUUGGUUUCAUUGGCUAGAGCAGACUAUGGGCGAAAUGACUUGGGCGCAAUUUACACGGGCUUUGACUACUCGAUUUGGGACAUUAGAAGAGAAUGAUGCAGUUGGCAGUCUUACCAAACUAUGUCAAACAGGGACUGUUCUUGACUAUCAACGACAAUUUGAAAAGUUGGCUGAUCGGACUAGCAAUUUAACGGAGCCUUUCUUCAUUAGUUGUUUCCUCUCUGGGUUACGUGAAGAUAUCUAGGCUGGCGUACAACUAUUCAAACCUGUUAGUCUCCUACAAACUUUUGAACUUGCUAGAUUUCAGGAAAAGGCAAUUACUUUACAAGGCAAUUGUUCCCCUAUUCCUGCCAUCCAAGAUCCACUCCCACAAUUACAGUCAACUCCUACUCCACCAGCACCCUCUUUAUUAGGACUGGUUCCCUCUAUCUUACCUAAUAAUGUCAAACGUUUAUCCUCAACUGAGCAGGCGGAAAGAUGUUCUAAAGGGCUUUGUUUCAACUGUGAUGAGCAAUUCAAGCCUGGACAUCGCUGCAAACAAUCUCAACUAUUGCUUUUAGACGCUAAUAUACCUCUUCACAACCCUCAAAAACCACCUGACCAUCAUGUGGAUUGGAAGAUCUCGGUUAUUGAAACUGGGUAAAAGGCUUGCGGACAAGCCUGUUUUAAGGGGCAGUGAAUGUUAGGACCCUAAUAGUUUAUUUUAUUUUAAUUGCUUGUUUUAAUUUCUUUCCUAUUAGUAUUAGGUUUUCUUAUUUCAAUUAAAGUCCUUAUUAAAUUAUAAUUAGGAUUGUCUUGAACUACCAUAAAUAAGUGGUUCUUAUUAUGUUUUUGAGGGGCAAGUAAUAAAAUUGAUUCUUAUUCCUAUUAAUUCUUCUUCCUUCCCUUUAAAUUCUUCAUCUAUUCUCUCUUAAUUCUCUAAUCAAAACCCUAGAAUCCUAUCGAAGAACUUUCAAUCUCCAUCGAAUUUUUUUUUCUCUAAGCUUAUCAAUGUUUCAGUUUAUCUCCAUCUCCAAAAAUCAACCACUAAAUUGGAUAUGCAAUUUAAGUCGGAAGCCAGAAAUUGGUCUAAUUAAAUAAACUUUGGAAGCAAAAUAAAAGUAAUUAGUGGAAACGUUGAUUAACUUACCUCGGAAUUUCCUGAAGAACGAAGCCUCGCUACUAGGUUUCCGUUCCAAAAUAAAAUUUAAAUCAGCUUCAGGUUUUAACUUGGUGGGACACGUACCACAUUUAAAUCAUUUCAAAGAAUUAUUUAAAAAAUAAUUCACAUUUUUUCAAUUUAAAAUAAAUAAAAUUUAAACAAUUAAUCAAUCAGAUCUUUCUUGUAAUUAGUAAAUUUCAUGGGAAAAAUAAUAUAAAUUUUUUGAGAUAUCAUAUCAUAAAUGUAUUUUAAUUAUUUAAUAAGGAUUUAAUUAGUCAAUUGCUUAUUUUAUUCUUAAUAAUUUGAAAUCGUUAAAAAUAAUGUGAAUUUUUUAUGAUUUAAUUUUUUAAAGUGAGGUAGGUUUACAAAAUUUGAGCGAUGGGAAUAUCACCACCCUAUAUUCAAUUAUAAAGCAAAGCAAGAUCUCUCUCUUUAUAUUAUAGAGAUUCCGUGUGAUUUUCUACAACAUCAUGUGGUAUUAUAGUCAAUUGUAAAAACAUGUUAACAUCAUAUGAUUUUGUAGUGAAUCCGCAUGAAAUCCAUAUUUAGACUUCUGCAUUUAAAAGCUUUGAUAUAUAGAAAUUCUCAAGUGUCGAUAUGUAAAUUUUGUGUAAAUUCGCUAUAACACUAUAUAAUGUUAAGUAUAUGCACUCAAGAAUCUCUCUCUCCCUAUAUAUAUAUUAAAUUAAUAUUUUUAAAAAAUCGUUAUUGAAAUUUGACUUCCGAUCUUAGAAUUCUAAACGACUUCCACAAAAAAAAAAUAUUUAAAUUGUUACAAUCUAAAGUGUAAUGAGAGUCUAGAUAUGUAUAAUUUUAGUACAAAUAAAGGUCUGGCAAACAUUUAUUAAGAUGUAUAUAUAGCUAGUACAUAUGAUUUUAUUAAAUCCUGAAAAUCAUGUAUCUCAAGACUUUCGUAAAUAUAUAGUUUAAUUCAACCUUGGGCAAAAAAAAAAAAAAACUCAUAUAUAUAAUAUAUGGACUUAGCAUUUCAAUUUAAAAUAAUUAAAAUUCAAAACCGAGUUAGAAGUUUGAACUCUUUUAAAGGUAGUGAGGUGCAAAGAUCAAAUUAAUUUUUAUCAUCUUUCCUCACCACAACUCAAACUUAGGUGGUUAGCUAAAUAAAACUACUUGAAAACUAUUGAGUUAGAGCUCCAUGGAGGCACACCACUAGCAUCUUCAUUCAUGUGAUAUAAGACCUGUAAAUCUAAGGAUUUAUACGCAAGAGUGUGGCAAGUAUGAUGUUCAUUGUUGAUGCCGAAAAACGACCUCAACAGCUAAAUUUGUUUUCUUUUGGGGAAUUACAGUGCGAAUCCAAGCUCAAACGUCGGUCUGAACCCAGCUUUAUAUACCUGACAACUAGAAAACACGGUUAGGAUACGCCUGUGGGGUCUCGACGUAGACCAUCUGAUUCUUAAGUUAGAAAUUGUGUAUAAGAAAAAGGUAAACGAAAAGGGAAAACUGAAAAUUAAGGAUUUUUUUCAGUAGAGAAAACUAAAAAUAUUGUCGGGAAUCCUAUGACUUUUAGAUAGGUGACUUAUAAAAUUUUUGGUUCAUUUUUCUAACCCCUUCCUCAGAUGCCCUUUUUAGCUUAAAUAGGCCCUUGGUCGUGGGUGGUUACCACCUUUAACUUCUGCCCAUUUUCUUCAACAGUUGCACGUGGUCAUCAAUUGCAGACAGUUUAAAUGGAUUGUGGCACACAACUUUCCUAGAAAUUAGGCCACGUUAUCUCAAUCGAUAGCUUUCUAUGUCAAGCUAAUUUUUGGGUCGAACAAAUAAAUUUCGAGAUCAGAUUUCUUCACUUUCAGGUCGGACCAGUGAAUUUCCUGGUCGCUCAUAUAGGCUUAAGGUUGUAUUCUUAAAUCAGGUCAUUUACAUAAAUCUCAUAUCAUACUUGUAAACCAGGCCGCCAAAAUAGGAUCUAGGUUGUACUUACGAGAUUAGCUCGACGACAAUGAGUUCUGAGUAGAUUGGGGUCGACUAUAUUUCUAAAUAUUACUAGAAAAAUCCAACCCGAACAAUGUUGACUCUUUCUAGAGGUUAUCAGAAAAAUCCAACCCGAACACCAGUCUCAUAGUUUUCAACAUCAGGAAGCUAUUUUCGGUGUUGGACACUAAUUAAUGAAAAAUAUAAAAAUUCUUAUAAAUUGAACACCAGUCCCCUAGUUUUCAGUACUGAGAAGAUAUGAACGGUAUUGGAAACUGAAACAAUGAAGAAAGCGUAGUAUGGUCUCCAGCAGAACAGGGGUAAUGUGAAGUAGAACAAGGAUAGUGUUGCGUUAAAAUAGGCUUAAAAGUAAGAAUUUGGCAAAAAUAAUAAUAAAAAAUAAAAAUAAGGAAUAAAUAAAGAAUAAAGUAAAUAAAUAAAAAAGCGAGACCAUGGAGAAAAAGCAUAAGCACGUGACUUAAAGGCAAAUUGAAAACAUACAUUUUGUCUUUUCUCAAUACCUUUUGGCUUCUGUUUCGUUUGGGCUUCUGUUUCGUCCUCAUCCUCCACACUUUUUCACAAUAAAAGUGAAAUAUUGAGCUGUCGCCGUCCUGCGAUUUUUGGGUAAAUUGAGCAACGACGCUACAGAGCCAUAAUCAAACAUGUUAGUGAGUACCUCGCGCGCCAUCUUCUGUUGUGCUUUUUUUUAUAAUAAAUACCAGAUCUAUAUAUGUGUGUAUUGAAACCAAACGCCCUUUUUUUUUUUUUUAUAAACAGAACUCGCCUUUUUUUUUUGUUUGUUUUUGUCACAACUCAACUUCUUCUUCUCUUUGCUGCGUUUCUCUCUCUCUGUUUUUUUUUUUGUUUUGCAUUCUCCCUCUCUCUUUGUUAUUGUCGAAACUCAAACUUCUUCUUCUCUUUGUUGUGUUUCUUUUUUUUAAACUACUCUCAGCUAAUGUUGCAUUUUAUUGAUGUAGAACCAAUGCUGAAUGAUGUUACUAUUGUUGACUAUCAGCAAAACUGGAAUCCAUUAUGACUAAAGGAGAUCCGGUGAGUUGUCUCAUCCCAAGCGCAUUUGCUUGUUGCUGUGUUUUGUAUUGUGUUGGAUGUGAUGUUGACAAUGAAAGGUUGCUUGUAAUUUGCUGUUUACAUACUGGGUGUUAAUAUUGACUGGAAAUGAGGUUUUGUUAAAUGUAACAUUAGGUAAUAAUGGAAUUAAGGAGUGAAGAUGGGUCACUUUGUAGCGAUUCGCAAAAUGCGAAUAAGGAGUUGUUGGACGGGCUUAGUGAUAUUGCAUCGGGUGUAGAUGAUAAUGGAAAAGUCAGGGAAGAUAAUGUAGAAUUAAAUUGUAACGUGGCCGAAAAUAAGUCUAAGAAAAUAAGACGCGGAAAUGAGGUGAAUGAGGAAUCGAGUUGUGCACAAUUUGAAGAUGAGGGAGAUGAGCAUGAAGAAUAUGGCGUGAAUAGACUAAACUUUGAUAAGACUAAACUUUGAUACAAAAGAGAAAGAGAUUGAAGAGUUGAGGAAGGAAUAUCUUAUUGCAGACGAUAUUACACUUAAGUUAUUGGGCGAAGAUGAGGUGGCAAGCAAAUUGGGUAAUGGAAAUUUUUUAACUUGGUUUCAAGUUGCUCAUUCAACCUUACUUUGCUCGAAUGUUGGUGAGAGUGGGUUUGAGUCCAGGUCAACUUGACCAAAAUGGCUGGAGGGUUUUAGGUGGUAUGUAUGUUGUAUGGGCUGAGCAGAAUAUAACCGAGCCGUGUUUUAAGGAGUUUACUCACUUAUAUUUUUGUAAUGAGCAUGGGAUCAAUCACAAAGGAUAGUACUAUUUUAUGUCAAAAUCAAAUAGUAGAAGAAUAGUACUUGACUUUCCAAGCUCAUGUAGAGGUUGGAAAAACAAGUAUUUCGUGGUGGGUGGAAAUUAGGGUAGGGAUGUAGAGCUGACCAAGGGUUGGUUUAAAAUUCCCACUCGUUUUAGUAGACUAGGUAAUUCAAGUUUUGUUCAGGUUGAGGUCGAAAUAAGGAUACAAUCUAACACAUGUUUUUACUGCAGUGACUUUGAAGAAGAAAGUUGAUAUAAAUGACAAGCUGAGUGCUAGAGUUGAGAAAUGAUUGCUAAAUGCAGGAAACACGUCUACUGCUAAGCGUACCCCUGCAGAAAUUGCAAAAGCCGUGAUCAAGGAGAUAUCGAACGAGAAAGGAAAACCACAUAGUAAGAAACCAUGGCGGGCAUCACAGAAAAACAAAGCUGAUGAGAAAAAAGAAAAAUAACUUGCUGUUUCAGCUUGCAACAUGCUACCUCAGAGCAAAAGUGACCGAGCUAGCGACUCUCGUCCCUUGCGCAUUUUACCACCUACCUCUUCCCCGAUAUGUCCGAAAGGAAGCUUGCUUGAAAGCAAUGACAUCAUAGAGUCAAAGUGAGGAAGAGCGGAGGACUUACUACCCAUGGUGAACUUAGCUGCUCGAUUUGUGAGCCAGGGUACCAUCAAGAAUUUUUCCCACUUGUCAGCUACUCAUGCUCUUGAAGUGCUUGCUCGAAACCAAGCUGAGGUGGGUAUUAAUUCACAAUCUUUAUUUCUUUGAUGUUUAUACUUUUCUUCUUAACCAUCAUGCUUUCUUUCACAGCAAUCCUUGAUCAUGGCCGCGGAUAUCGAGACGUUUGCAAAGUCAUUGAAAGGCCAUGCAAAAAUAGAAGAAGUCGAGCGCGCUUUGAUGAAAGACAACCUCACGAACAAAAAGACAGCAAGCGAGCGAGAUCAGCUCAAGCGUGACCUCAAUGCUCACAACGAUGAAAAUACUCACUUGGCAGAAGACUUGGUAGCCAAAAAGAAAUCUAAUGCGAGUAAAGACUCCAAGAUUGCCGAUCUUAGCUAUGAGUUGGAAAAAGUUAAGUCUGAUGUUGAUCAACGCAUUCGACUGGAGAAAAGGCAACUGAAGGCAGAUGUCAUUUAGACAUGCAUUGAAUUGUUCCAAGAACAACACCCGGACAUGGACUUUCAAUGGAUGUUGACUGCUUAUGUGAGCAAAGAAAAGGCUAAGAAGAAGUCAUCGAGUACGGAUCAAGAAGAAAAUCGAGUUCUUCAGGGUGAUGAGAUUAGAGUUGAGGGUGAGACAUCUUUAACUAGCAGAGUUAUUGAAGACGAAGAGCAUGCUUCCUAAGUAGAUUUGAGAAGUUGUUAUAAGGCUUGCCUUUAUGUAAUGUUACGAACUGAUAACUCUUGUUGAGCUUUCAUUUUGUUUUUGUAUUCGGAUAAUCGUUACGUAGCCUGGACGCUAAUUUUUAACAAAGCUAAUGCCGACCACAACAAGACUGAAGAUGUUUAGGCUAUUGCUGAUUGUAACUAGGCUGGAAAGUCGACCUUAAGAAGCGCGAAGCUGACCUCAUUAUAGAUUCUUACAAAGUUAAAAUGUUGCCCUCCACCGUAGGUCUUCCAAAUCUAAAGUGUCGACCUCAAUCGUAGACCUCAAAAAACUAAAUUGUCGACCUCAAUCGUAGAGCUUACAAAGCGAAAGCUUCAACCUCGACCAUGGAUCUUACCAAGAUAAAAUGUCGACGUCAACCGUAGGCCUUACAAAUUUAAAGUGUCAACAUCAAUCGUAGACCUUACAAAACUAAAAUGUUGACCUCAACCGUAGGCCUUACAAAUCUAAAGUGUCAACCUCAAUUGUAAACCUCACAAAACUAAAAUGUUGACCUCAAUCAUAGAGCUCACAACUCAAAAGUGUCAACCUCGACCAUAAAUCUUACCAAGCUAAAAUGUCGACCUCAACCGUAGGCCUUACAAAUCUAAAGUGUCGACCUCAGUUGUAGAUCAUACCAAACUAAAAUGUCGAUCUCAAACGUAUGCUUUGCAAAACUAAAAUGUCGACCUUAAAUGUAGAGCUCACAAAGCAAGUGUCGACCUCAACCGUAGGCUUUACAAAACUAAAAUGUCAACCUCAGUUGUAGAUCCUACCAAACUAAAAUGUGGAUCUCAAUCGUAAGCUUUACAAAACUAAAAUGUCGACCUCAAUUGUAGAGCUCACAAAGUAAAAGUGUCAACCUCGACUAUAAAUCUUACCAAGCUAAAAUGUCGACCUCAACCGUAGGCCUUGCAAAUCUAAAGUGUCGACCUCAGUUUUAGAUCCUACUAAGCUAAAAUGUUGACCUCAACCGUAAAGCUCACAAAGCAAGUGUCGACUUCAACCGUUGGCUUUGCAAAACUAAAAUGUAGACCUCAAAAGUAGAGCUCACAAAGCAAGUGUCAACUUCAACCGUAGGCUUUACAAAACUAAAAUGUCGACCUCAACCGUAGAGCUCACAAAGCAAGUGUCGACUUCAACCUUAGGCUUUACAAAACUAAAAUGUCGACCAAAGUUGUAGACCUCACAACGCAAAGGUGUCGGCCUCAAUUGUAGACCUCACAAAACUAAAUUGUCGACCUCAAUCAUAGGCCUUACAAAUCUAAAGUGUCGACCUCAAUAAAUUGAAAAUUGUAGAACUUAAAUGUUAUGGCUAUAGCCGACCUCAACGAGUUGAAAAUUGUAAAUCUUAAAUGUUAUAGUUAUAGUUGACCUCAACAAGUUUUCACGUUGGACCUCAACAAGGCCAAAAUGUUGAUCUCAAUCUCAAUAAGCUUGGAUAAAUUUUUCAUGUUCGGUCUCAAUAAGGUCUAAAUGUCGAAACUCAAUCUCAAUAAGAUUUGAUAAAAAAUUUCACGUUGGACCUCAAUAAGGCCAAAAUGCUUAUCUCAAUCUUAAUAAGAUUGGAUAAAUUUUCACAUUCGGCCUCAACAAGGCCCAAAUGUCGAUCUUAAUCUCAAUAAGAUUUGAUAAAAAUUUAUGUUGGACCUCAAUAAGGCUCAAAUAUGCCAAUCUCAAAGAAGAUCAGUCACAAGUAGGUAAGAAAUAAAGUUGCAUUUCUGAAUAACCUCAUUGAUAUUAAUAUGACAGAAAUUACGUAAUUGAACACAUAACGAAUUGAAAUAACAAAGAAAAAAACUAUCAUAACAUAUUUAAAAAAAAAACAAACAAGAACAUCAUAAAUAGGAUUGGCCAACUGAUAGUAUUUUUGUAAGUGCUCUGCUUUCCAUGACUUGCCGACGACCCUGCCAUCCGGAUAACCUAACUUAUAUGCGCCAUUACCAAAUGAGUGUAGUACUUUGUAUGGUCCUUCCCAGCUCGGCCCCAGAACUCCAUCAGCUGGCUUUUUGGUUGAUUGAUUGACUUUGCGGAGCACCAGGUCCCCCUCCUAAAAUUGUCGUAGCUUGACAUUCUUGUUGUAGAACUUAGCCACUUUUUACUGGUAAAUUGCUACUUGACCUCUUGCCGACUUUCUCUUCUCAUCAAGCAAAUCUAAAUCCAACAAUAUAUAUUCCCUGUUUAUUGUCUCAUCAUAAUAUUUUGUGCAGUGUGUCUCCAUGCCAACCUCAGCUGGGAUUACUGCCUUAUGUCCGAAAGCAAGUGAGAAUUGAGUCUCCCCCGUUAAAGUCUUCACGGUCAUUCUAUAGGCCCACAGUACUCCUGAAAGCUCAUCCACCCAAGCUCCCUUCUUCUCACCUAACCUUUUCUUCAACAAUUGCUUUAUAGUUUUGUUCGCCGCUUCCACUUGUCUGUUUGCCUUCGGAUGAGCAGGUGAGCUAAACCGAAGUUCAAUAUCAAGCUGACCACAAAACUUCUUGAAAUUCUCAUUAUUGAAUUAGGUUCUAUUAUUAGUGAUAAUAGCUUGCGGUAGGCCAUAUCUGCAAAUCACAUUCCUCCAUAUAAAAUAUGUUGUGCGCUUCUCGGUUAUCUUUUGUAACGGCUCAACUUCAAUACAUUUAGUAAAAUAAUCAAUGGCUACCACCGCGUAUUUCAUUUGGCCUCUCCCGGUUGGCAUUGGUUUGAUAAGAUCCACCCCCCAUUGUGCAAAUGGCCAAGUGCUCCCCAUUGUCAUCAUGUUUUCUGGUGGUUGUCUUACAAUUACGACGAACUUCUGGCAUUCAUCACAUCUCCGAACUAACUCUUGUGCAUCUUCAUGCAUGGUCGACCAAAAAUAACCAUACCUUAUUAUUUUAUGGGCCAAUGCCAUACCUCCGCUGUGAUUUCCACAAAUUCCCAUAUGCACCUCUCUCAUCACAUAGUUGGCAUCAGCUGAGCCCAAACAUCGCAGGUAAGGUAAAGUGCAACUUCUCUUAUAAAGCACAUCUUCGAUAAUGGAGUACCGUGUUGCCUGGCAUCGCAGCCUUCUUGCCUCUGCUUUAUCUUGAGGUUGUUCCUCAAAUUCAAUAUACCUCAUGAUAGGCACCAUCCAGUUCUUCUCAUCUUUUACCAUACAAACUUUCAUUUCAGAAUUAACUAUUGGCUUUGAAACUGACUCCAAUGGAAUUCCUCGUUGGAACUUUGGGCAUUCUAUAACUGCCAGUCUUGCUAUAUAACCUGCUCAGUAAUUCUUUCCCCUCAGAACUUUCUCCAUUGUAGCGUGAUCAAAACUACCACAUAACAGUAGUGCUUUGCUCAGAUACUUGGACAUGUUCUCACUUUUGGCUUGAAAUGUCCCAUUCUAGUAGUUCACUACCAGUUGAGAGUCACUUUUCACCUUCAAAUGCCAAACUCCCAAUGCUCUUGCUAAUUUUAGACCCGCACUGAGAGCUUCGUAUUCUGCUUCAUUGUUUGUAGGAUGGAAUUCAUACUUGAGAGAGUAGCAUACUUCUUCCUGGUCGGGUGAAACAAGAACAAUUCCCCUGCCUGACCCUUAUGGGUUUGCAGCUCCAUCUACAUUAAGCUCCCAUACAUCAUUCUUCUUCUCUGCCUCUUUAAUCUCCUGCUCGGCAUCCAUCUCUUCACUCCCUUCACUGCAAUUAUUAAUGAAGUCGACCAGAGCUUGUGCUUUAAUUGCUGACCUCGAUUGGUAACCGAUGUCGAAUUCACUUAGUUCUACUAACCACUUAACUAGUCUUCCUGAAAUGUCUUAUUUUUGAAAAAUUGAUCUCAAAUGUUGAUUAGUGACUACCACGAUCUCAUGAGCUUGAAAAUAUGGCCUCAGCUUUCUUGUAGCUACAACAAAAACCAUUGGCCACUUUUCUGCAAUAGGAUAUCUUACUUUUGCCCCUGUAAGAGAUCUGCUCAUGUAGUAUACAAGUUGUUGUACUUCAUCUUCUUCUUUUACCAUGACUGAGCUAGUUGAAUAAUUUAAGACCACCAAGUAGAUCAAGAGAACAUCACCCACUAAGGGCUUAGCCAAAGUGGGUACAUUGGCCAAAUAUGCCUUUAAUUGUUGAAAUGUUGUCUCACAUUCUUCCAACCACCUCAAUCUUUUUCCUUUCUUCAUCAAUUCAAAAAAUGGAUGGCAUUUCUCUGAUGAUUUCAAAAUGAACCUACUCAGCGCAGUAACCUUUCCAGCUAAGCUCUGAACAUCUUUAAGAUCCUUCGGCGACCUCAUCUUGGGGAUGACUUCUACUUUUUUCAGAUUAGCUUCUAUCCCCAUUUGACUAACUAGGAAGCCCAAAAAUUUCCCUGAUUCCACUCCAAAGGCACACUUUUCCGAAAUCAACUUCAUCUUAUCUUUUGUAGCACUUCAAAUGUCUUACGCAAAUGCGUUGUAUGUUCCGCCUGCUCAACAUACUUGGUUAUCAUGUCAUCUAUAUAUACCUCCAUCAUUUUACCAAUCAAGGGCUUGAAAAGCUUGUUUACCAACCUUUGAUAAGUAGCUCCAGUAUUUUUUAAUUCGAACGACAUCACAUGGUAGCAAUACAAUCUUUGGUCGGUCACAAAAGCUGUCUUUUCUUCACCUGCUGUGGACAUACGAAUCUGGUUGUAUCCUGAGAAUGCAUCCAUAAAACUCAUUAAGUCAUGCCCGAUUGUUGAAUCCACUAACUAAUCAAUCUUUGAGAGAGGGAAACUAUCUUUAGGACAAGCUUUGUUGAGGUCGGUAAAGUCUACACACAUCCUUCAUUUUCCAUUCGCCUUUUUAACCAUUACCACAUUCGAAACCCAUUCUGGAUAGUUCACUUCCCUUAUAAAUCCCACUUUCAACAAUUUAUCUACCUCAUUAUGGAUGGCCGCAUACCUUUCCUGGUUGAACACUUUUCUUUUCUACUUCAUUGGCCUAUGUUUUUUAUCUAUAGCCAACUAGUGACACAUGAUUCGUGGGUUUAUUCCCAGUAUAUCUUCAUGUCUCCAAGCAAAUAUGUCAUUAUACUCCACCAAUAAAUUCUGAAGCUCAUUAAAAAUGUCAUCUGUUAUCUUUGUUCCCACUCUUACUACUCUGCUCGGAUCAUCCUCACUUACUGGUACUUGUUUCAUUUCUUCAUUAGGUCGCUAUUGGCAUAACCUAUUUUCAGCUCGUGGAUCGAUACUUGUGAUCUUCAUGGAUUCUCUCACAAUUUUAGUGUAACAGCUUCGAGCCACUUAUUGUUGGCCUAUCAUCACUCCAACUCCACCUUGAACUCUAAAUUUCACACAUUGCAUAUAAGUUAAGCUCACUACUCAUACUAUCCUAUUGAACGGUCUGCCCAAAAUAACUUGAUAAGGGCUAAGCUCAUCAACUACCAACCAUGUCACUAUCACUGUCUUUUGUAGUGGGUUGGACCCUAUUGUCAGCGGCAAGUCAAUCAACUCAAGUGGAAUCAGCUCAAAUCCACCAAACUCCUUUAGCGAUGUUCUGACGGGAUCAAGCCUGAGGUCUCCUAUUUGUAGAUCAUCCAAAGUUUGCUUAAACAAAAUGUCUACCGAGCUUCCCCCAUCUACAAAAGCUCGAUUCAAUUCUUGCCCUGCCAAGACAACCUUCACUACAAGCAUAUCCUCAUGUGGAUGUACGAUCGCUUCCUCGUCCUCGUCCGUGAACAUGAUCGACACCUUGUGAAUCCGCUGCUUCUUUAGUGCCAGAAUAUUAAAAUUCACCUCGAAACUUUUUAGUGAAUAUCUGCUAUAAUUUCUCCUCAAGCGGUUUGAGUCUCCUGCUAAGGUCGGCCCUCCUAUAAUCAUCAUCGCUAUAUUAUCUCUAAUGUCUUCUCUUCUCCCACCUCUUCUUUGGUCAUCCACAUACUUCUUUAGAUAUUGAUUUUACACUAGCCAUUCAAUUUGUUCCUUCAAGUCUAUGCAAUCUACAGUUCCAUGUCCGGUCACCUUGUGAAACUCACAAUACUUGUGGUGAGCAUUUCCACUCAAACCCCCUACAAUCGGCUUUGGCAGUGUUAGUAACCCCUUAUCUUUUAUUGUAACAUAUAUUUCUACUUUGCUUAUGUUUAGUUGUGUGUAUCUUCCACUCUGUUAUAAUAAAUUCACCCCAUUAGCAGGUCUCGAUCCUCUUCGGUCUACAGGUGGUGGCAACCUAUUGUAAUCUUAUACUUGGCUCUCCCGUUGGUUCCUCUCAUAAUUAUUUCCUCCCUCUCGACCCCUUCCUACUAAUGAGAUUUUUCUUCUUUCAUGAUUUCCUUCCUAAUUUUGACUCGGCCUUUCUGGUUGUCUAUAAUUGAACAAUCCUUUGUCGUAAUGAUGCUUAUCAUUCGUGUUCAUCCUCGAGCUAUACCCAAAGUUAUCUCAUCUUCUUCUCAGGUCCCCCCUUCUCAUCGGAUCCCAUGUCUGCAUUUCCAUUCUCCUUGUUUCUUCCUCUGCAUCUUCAAUUUUCAUAUCCAAAUUUUCCUGGUCAUACGCCUCAGUAUAUGUUGUUAUCCUCUUACUAUAUGAGUUAUUCCACAAUCGAUUGAUUCUCAACCCUUUCUUUAAUCCCUCUAGAGCAUCUGGAUGAUCAAAGGCCCCUAGAUCAGUAAUCUCUUUAUGAUACCUGGUCACAAAACUCCUCAAACUUUCAAAUUCUCGUUGGACUAAUUUUUUUCAAUCUACUCGUAUCUUACUCUAGUAUGCAUGAACAUCUAAAACGCACAGCGAAAAGCUCACAUAACUCAUUGAAAUUUUCUAUGCUUCCCUUCUUUAAUCUCUGGUACUACUCCCGUGCUCGUCCUUCUAAGGUUAAAGGAAAAACACGACACCUUUGAAAAUUAUUCAAACCUUGGAUCCCGGUCAUCUUAUUAAACUUCUCCAUAUGAUGAUUCGGGUUAGUUUUUCCUUCAUACACCAAGGCUGGAACCACAUACUUAGAUGGCAAAGUUACCGCCAUCACUUUACGUACUAAGAGGGACUUGUCAUCAAGUAACAACCUUCCUACCACUUGCUUGCCCUCUGUUUUCGCCUUUAAUGCCUCUAAAGUUUUUUAAAAUUGCAGCAUUCGCUGCUCAAGCUCAUUUGCCUGGUGGGGGUCUCUCAGCUCUUCCCUCUCUCUUUCUUGAUUCAAGUCAUUGAUUCUCUAUCUCAACUCAUUCACUUGUUCUCCUACACUUCUAUUUUCUUGUCGUACCCCAACUUGUGGUAGUCCCAUUCUGCUCUACUGUUCACCACCAAGCUCUUCCCUCUCUCGCGCUCCACUACUCCCUGGGUCACUAGCUCGAACUUGAGCCCCUCUGACUUGGGCAUUAAUCAGCCCCCUAACCAUCUCCUCAAAUUUUGCCAUGUGCCUCUCGAUCCAUUCUCUCCAUCUCUUAUCAGCCCCCUAACCCUGUCUGGUAUGCUAGCUCUGUUCAUUGAAAGCAAAAGCAAUGGAAUCUUUGACCUUACUGCCACAAGAUGAUUGUCAUGGAAGGCACCAAAGUUUCCAAGUAUGUAUGCAUAUCACACACAUACUUGCAUGUAUGUAUAUCACAGAUAAAAUUUGUAUCCCAGGGUUAUAAAUGUGAAUUACUCAAAUAAAUAUGCAUUAUUAAUCAUGUCCGAUGCUCUCUUAUUUCUUCAACGAGAUUUAGAGAAAGUACUAAAUCCUUUGUAAAAUUUUAUAUUUAAUAUAUCUUCAUUUUAAAACUACAUCCAUAUCCCGCAGAAAUUUGGGGAUCUUUUUAGCAUUAUUUUUUAAGAAAUGCAAAAUGAUAAAGAGUUCUAACCGUGACAUAAGGGUGACAAAAAUAAUAGUAAAUUGUGUAAUGUUACAAUGUUAAUUCAAAAAUAGUUAUAAUUUUUUAUUUAAUACUGUAAAUAAAAUUUACAAUUGUUUUGUCAUCAUUGUAUCAUUCUUUGAUUCAAAUAUCAGUAUUAAAUGAACCCUCACCUUUUUGAAAGGAUUACAUCUUAAGAAACUAUUUAUAAUUAUUUUCAUUUGAGUCCUUAGUGUUAAAAAUAUAACAAUGAAAUUAAUGAUAGUCGAAUUCCAAGUAGGAAUGACAGAAAAAUCCGGUCUAACUAGAGCAUGUUUUCUAAGUACUCUGGCUGGACUUGGACUUUGGUUUAAAAGCCCGAACCCAACCAGAAAGCCCAAAAAAUAUUGAAAAUUUUAAAAAUCUAUAUUACUUUAAUUAAAAUACAACUUUUUACAUAUAUGUAAUCCACUUAUAGCAUAUAUUUAAAGUUUUAAGUUAUUUGAACCCAACUAUUAAAGCCUGAUCUAACAAAGAAAAAACUAAAUUUUAUAAACUAUAAAAUUUGUAAAAUAUAAUGAAAAAAGUUUUUUAAAAAAAUACAGAAUGUAUACUUCAAGCUUUUUGGCUUGCCUUUGGAAAAAAAAAAACCAAUGUUUUGUCAUCCCUAAUUCCAAGCCUUAAAUACUUCUCCAAAUGUAUAGUACAAUAUUGUAUAAUAGGACCAAUCACAUGGAGAUGAUUUGUAAAUUUUUGCAUGCAAUUUUAAUAUGCACAUCAGAAGAGAGGCAGCAAUCUUAGUUGAUACUUUUAUUUGACAUAUGAUGUAAGAAAUGAAACAAAGAUUGUAACGUUACAAAUUUUGCAAUUCAGCAUCCAAAAUAUCACUAGAACUUGCAAUACAAGCUUUAAUCUCUUCAACAACACAUUGAAUUGCGUCCAGGAACACAAACAAAAAUAUAGUUAAUUAUGCAUGCAUUAAAAAGAUGAGGAAGAGAAGAUUAAGGAACAACAUGAGGCCACCAAGAGAGUGAUGAAAAAUGUGGAUUUAAGUUUAAGUUCCACAAUGUUUAUGUAAGCAAAAGUGAAAAACUGAGAGUCUGAGGAUAAUGAUAUUAUUAAAUUUAAUAUGGGUUUGGUUCGUUUAGAUUCAUGAGUUUCUCUAGACAGUAUAUAUGGGGAGGCCAAAACUACUUUGCAUUGUAGGUUUUGUACACCACUCAUUUGUCAUUUACCAAAGUCACCGUUGGAUUUCAUCUGAUGGCUAGAAAAGAAACACAUAGAGAAAUAGGAGUAACUAGAAAAACAAAUAAUGGGCCGGUCACCUAGAUUGGUAAUUGAGCAUAGGGAAAUUAAAAAAAUUAACCUAAAAAUUUAUGAAUUAUUGGCUACUUCCAGCAAAAAUCUAAACCAGCAGUUUUUGAUCAAGCAAAUAAAUUAAUGGCAACAACAACGGCUAAUCGAUGCCGCGACGACAAUGGCUACUUCCAGCAAGAGCGGCCUCUUUAAUUUGAGUUAGUUCGCUGAGUUUAUGUCCAAAUUCUUAAAUGGAUAAUGGAUUUAUUGUUUUAGUACUAAUUGUUGAUGAUUAUAGGUUAGAUCUUGUUGAGCGAUUAGUUUUGUAACAUUAAGCUUGAACUAGGAAUGAAAAUUGAUAAAAUGCUUAUGGAAAUAAGUUUGUUAAAUAUGACAAUACAAAUGUUUGCUAAAUGCCUCAAAGAAUACAAUUUUUUGUAUAGGCUUAAUUUUGCUAUUAUUUUACUUGAAUGAAUAUUUAAGAAGGUUGCAACUAGUAUUGUGGCUUGAAUAUAGGCAAUGGUAUGGUGUUAUAGGUGAUUAUGAGCAAAAGUUGUUUGUCACGAUAAACUUAUAAGUGAAAACCUUCUUUUUCUCAAACAAAACCCAGAUUAAGAAGAUUCAAUACUUCAUCAUAGCUUUCAGAAAACAGUAUCAAGACAAUAAUGCCAAGAACCAUCGCCUGUAAACUUUAUCCGUCGGAAAAAUCGCAAAUGAUGCUUACACGUACAAACUUUUUUUUUCGAUUUACAGGUGCUACGCCUUCAGCUGGUUACCCAUUUUCCAAAUGUUAAAUCUCAAUUGUUAGAUACAUUUCUUCACAUUCUAAAGGCUCAUUCGCUAUAAGACAAAGGACUAGGGUACCAAAGUCAUGAUGCAAGAUAGCUGGAUCCUAUAUGGGGGAAAUUUAAUCCAUUUGACAACUAAAAAAUUCAGAAAUCAGACCUCAAUUUGACAAAUUAGAAAUUGAAACAAUUAAUUUUGUUCCAUAUGCAUGCAGAAAAUUAGAUGUAUGUAACUUGUCAUAUGAUAUAUAUAUUCUAUCAGGUGGAAGAUUUUCCACUUCAUUUGUAUGAAAUAUAUGGUAUCAAUCAAUAAAUUCUUAUUUUGUUAUAUAUACUAAUAGUAUCUUAUAGUAAACUAAGAAAUAUUAAAGAUCUUCUAGUGUGUUUUUGAGUUGUAAAAUGUUUUUUUUAAAAAUUGAGUUGUAAAGUAUAAUUAACUAUUUUGUGUUCCAUUACAGGUAUUAUGAAAGGUUUUUGAAGUUUUUAGAUGUUUUUUGACCCAUUUGUCAAUAAGUGAAACUAUUAGCACCACUUUAAACUCCUCAUAAAACCUUUCUUCUAAAAAUACACCAUUAAAAACAUAUGUAAAUCACAGUACUUUUAACAACACCUAUGUUAAUUCCACAAAUAACCUUAUAUAUUCUUUUUUCUUAAAAAAUCAUAUGAAAACAAAAAUCUUUUAGUACAAAACCUUUUCACCAAUUCAAUCUGAAGCCCUUGUUCGGUCCAUGAGAAUCAACUUUUCAAUUUAGAACUGUUUGAGCUUCUUUUUCCAAGUUUUUAUUCUUAUUCUUAUAUAUAAAUGAGAUUCUUAUAAUAUAGAAUUCAUUUUAUUACUUUAUUUUAUCAUUCCAUGGGAAAAGAUAUCAAAACAUUACUAUGAAGUAAGUUAAACUAGUAGAAAGUAGAAUCUAAAAACUAGAUAAGAAAUAUUCUAGGCCAUCCUCUUGAGUGGAUCUAUUUUAAUUCCACAAACGUCCUUGUACACUUCUUUCUCACUAACUUUACUAUGAGAGAGAGAAAAAAGAAUUAAAUAAAUAUUUCUUUUAUACUAAAAAAGAUUGUUUGAAGCUAAUCCAAUAUUAUUUUAUACUCUGAAUGUGACAAUUCACAUACUUUUAUAUGAACACGUAAAUUGAUAAAAUCAAGAGAACAAGUAGCCAUAAAAAAAUAAGCCUUUCAUAAUUUGAAAAUAAUGAACUAAAAUUUCAGUCCACCAGAAACCACUAAUUUAAGAAUAAAAAUAAAAAUAAAAAACAUUUUCACUAAAACAACAAAAUUAUCUUUUAUUUAAUAAAAAUAAAACCCAUGUGGGGUUAGAGGAAGAUAGAUGAAUAGUCAAACGUGAUUUGAUUAAAGUUAAAAAUAUAAAUUUAAGAUAUAAGAAUUCUUUUGGAGGUGCCAAUAGCUCCACUCUAUUCUCUUUUUGUAGUUCUGCAAGUUUUAAACACAGGGUUCUAUGAAGGUCUUAGAGGGUGCCGAUAGCUUUCAUUAAUGUGCAUAUAGGUUAAACAAUAUCAAAUUAUUAGAUGGACCUUACUACCUUGCAGAUUCUGUGAGGUACACCUCUCUAAUAAGAAUGGAGCGUGUCUCACUUAAGACCACCUUUAUUUUACUUAUUUUGGAUGGACGUACCUUACAGAAUCUAGGUACCGUCUUCUUAUUUGAUCCAAUGUAAUCAAACAAUCUAAUCUAAUUGACUUGCUGCUUUAUGUUAAUAUAUAAUUAUGUUUUCUUUCAAUUGUUCUAAUAGUUGAGAGUUUUAUCGGGAAGAUAGCUCGAAAAUCAGCACUAAUUCCUACUCAGAAGGGAGGGGAAAUAAAUUGUGAUAGAAAAUAAAUUAUUUGAGUGCUCUGCGAGUCGAAGACCCACUCUCAGAUAAACAACUAUCUUUGUAAAGCAGAGCAGAAUUUAGAAAUGUCAUUCUUCUCAUUGGGUCAUUUCUUCAAACGUCCUCCGUACAAACAACUCACCCGCCAUCAGAAUCUAUUUCCGCUCAUAAAUCAAAAACCCAGAACCCAAUCAACAGCACCCUCUUCCGUUCUCAUAAAAGUUUUAGCCCGUUCUUCUUAUCUCUCAGUUCGCAUUUGCUGUCAAAAACAUGCCUUAGUGAGUUUCACUUUUUUUACUUGUCUGUGUUUUUAAGCAUUUUGAAUUAGUAAUUAUUUGGCAUUAAAAUUGAGGUGCCUUAACUUGUGUUGUCAGGAUAUGUUUUCUGAAGCUCUUCUAUGUUUCGGUGCAAGUUCUACAAGCGUGGAUGAACAUGAUAAUGAUGCUGAUGAGAAUUCUGAUGAGGUUGAAACUUUAGUUUUUAAUUUCUUCUUUUUUCUUUUCUUUGAUUAUUGAUUCAUGUCUUGUAAAGGAUCUUGAGAGCAACAAUAAACAAGAAAUGAAACUCAUUUCCCAUUUGCAAAUUGGCUUCUAUUUGUGUUAAAAAUGUGCUUCUAAUUUCCAAUGUAAUGUUACCAGUUAGCCUUAGAUUUUUGUUGACUUUGUUGGUUCACUUGCUAGAAAGGUAGCAAGAGGAAAAAAUUAAUAAUAAUACUAAAUAAGCACAAAAUUUUCAAUGUUUGGUAUGGAAUUGAAAAUUGUCUUCUUUCUGUGUUAAAAGAGUGCCUCGAAAACGCCAUUAUAAUGUUACUAGCUGGUCUUAGAUUUUGUUGAAUGUAGAGUGGCUUCUGAAUAAAAACUAUAGUUGUUUUAAGUAUUACUUACAGAUUGCUUUUAUGCAGAUCUAUAUUUAUUCCAUAUUUCCUGAAUGCGAAGACGUGGAUGAGUGCAUAUUAAAUGCUGCUAAUUCCAUUGGCUCGAAAGAGACACCGCGCUAUGAAGUUAAAAUGGGCGAGCAAUGCAAUUGGAUAAAGAAAACUCAGGUUUGUUUGCUCUCCUUUUUCUCUCUAUCACAACGGUAUAAUUGGAAUUAUUGUUAUGUCAAUUUGAUUAUGUUUUCUUACAUGUUGCAGGAGUCAUUUCCUCCCGUUGAGGUGACAAAAUGACUAUGGAUUGUGCCCGAGUGGAGUACACCACCAAUAUGAUUAUGUCACUCCCUUGGGAGGUUUUGUUGCAGUAAUUUCUCAUCUUUUAUAGGGUACCCUCUUCUUCAUUGCUUCCGUAGAAGUCAUAUCAGCUAGUUGCUUCCGAAUCUUUAAAUUUCUUCAAUGAGGAACCUUCGUUUGGAAAAUUGAUUUUCAUCUUAUUCGAGAAGGUUGCUUUGAAGGAGAGAGCUUAUGAAAUGCAGCAAGCAAAAUCAUAACUACAAAGCAGUAGACUAAUUGUUAGCUGACUCUAAGCAAAGGCAACAUUCAUAAAAGAUGAAGAAGAGUUUCUAAUAUUUACCAAUAUAACUUAUAGCAAGUGCACAGAAUAGAGCCAUAUGAACAUUCAGGAGCAUAAGAACAACCAAUGUAGCUGCAAAGAUGAGAUGUAAUUACUACCGUGAAGACGAGGAAAGAAUUCCAUUAUUUAUCAACAGCUAGACUGUAGUAUAAUGGAAAGACUUGCUAAGGAAAGUUUAAAGCAACACUCAUCCAGAGAAGGCAAGAACAAGUAUAGAAGCAAAAGUGCACACAUUCAUAUAUAGGGGUAACGAGUAAUGUAUCAUAAAUCACUUGCUCUAGCUCAGGAAAAAAAAAACAACGCAAAAUUGCAAAUUCAUAGUGUUGUUAUUUAUCAAUUGGAACCCAGAAAAAAAAAAUCUAUACUUAAUUAUUCAUUUAAGCAGAUUGAAACCCUUACAAACACAGGUAAGCAAAUCAAAAUUAUCAUUAAAAAUCCAAUCAAGGCCACAUAAAUCUAAUCACAUCCAAAACCAUCCCAAAAUCUCGUUCAAAAUUCAUAUACCCACAUACAAAAACCAUUCAGAAAAGGAAACUAAAUUCUUACAGAGAGCAAGCAAAGAAGAGGAUGAACAAAAAAACAGAAUUCCUGGCAUAAAGUUUAACAUUCUCAUGAACUCUUAACUUAAGGGUGUGUGGGGAAGAGGGAAACGAGUAAGACCCAAGAGCCCCAAUAAACUCACGGGUCCAAGAUGGGGUCUUGGCUGAGAAAUCAUCAGUGGUGAGUUUAGCAAAAGGGUUGACGAUAAGAAGAGCGACAAAGGUGUAUAAAUAAUGUAAAAGGCUGUGAGUUAUGGUCGUGGCUGUGGCUGUUUCUUUGGUGGAGGCUGUUGUGACGGCGGUGGCCGACGUGGUUGUGGCGGUGUUGAGGAUUUCGAGGUAGCCUGAGUC